rnacentral:lncRNA from 1 species
UUACGAAUUUGGUUCCUAGUGCAACAACUGCCCAGCUUUUAGACUCUGGAAACCUUGUCCUCAAUAAUGGUGAGGAUGGAGGAAGCAGCUUAUGGGAGAGUUUUCAAGAUCCUUCUAAUGCCUUCAUUGAAACUAUGGAGAUCGGCACUGAUGUUAAAAAGGGUCGUAAAGUGGAGCUGAAAUCAUGGAAAAGAAUUGAUGAUCCAUCUGAUGGUAACUUUUCUUUUGCCAUUGAACCUUUCAACAUCCCAGAGGGCAUCAUUCGGAAGAAUAACAAGCUCUAUUUUCGUACCGGUCCCUGGAAUGGGAAUAUCUUUCUUGGCGUAAUACUCACCGGUUAUCUUGAUGGGUUUUAUAUGGCUGCAGAUAAUCAACAACAAACGUACUAUCUCACUUAUAAAUUUUCUAAUAACUCUAUGUCGAUGUACUAUGAACUGAAUUCUCAGGGGAAAUUCGUCGAACGACAAUGGGAUCCGGGGAAAGGGGACUGGAUAAACAGGUACCCUAUUCUUCAAACCGAUUGUGAUGAUUAUGGGAAGUGUGGGCCAUUUGGGAUAUGCGAUUCAACGAAAUGACCCAUUUGCAGUUGCUUGAAGGGGUUUAAGCCUAGGAAUAUAGAGGGAUGGAGUAAAGGUAAUUGGAGUAGUGGGUGUUUGAGGACUACCCCUUUGCAGUGCCAAAGAGAUAGCAACAAUGGGAGUGAAACAGGCCAAGGAGAUGAUGGGUUUUUGAAGCUGAAGAUGAUGAAAGUGCCGGCAUUUCCGGACCGGUCAUCAUUAAUUAACAGGGACUGCAAAGAUCAAUGCUUGAAGAAUUGUUCGUGCGUGGCUUAUGCGUAUGAUGAUGGCAUUGGUUGCAUGUUUUGGGGUGGAGAUUUGAUUGACGUGCAGAAAUUCUCCAGUCAUGGAGUCGAUCUUUACAUUCGUCUGCCAUCUUCGGAAUUUGGUAAACUUGUCUUCCAUGUCGACCAUGUGUUUCAAUUAAUCUGCUUUUUUAGUGUUGAAGUUUUAUAAACCAAGUUUCUGGAUUUGCAGAUAAAGGGAAAAGCAAUAAGGUCAUUGUCUUUACUACAGCCAUUGCGGGCAUAGUCAUAAUAACAAUUUCUGCACUCUUCUUAUGGUGUAGGAUGGCUAAACAAAGAGGUAAUAAAAUGUGUAGACACCUUUGGAAGAGAUUCAAAUUCUAGAUAGAAUAAAACUGGACUUGGACUGAUUUGAAAUUGCUGCUUGGAAUUCAAGUGAAAUUGAAUUAUAGAAAAAUUCAACUCUGUGCUUCUCUGAUUUCUAUCUCAGGAAGGAAUAAAAUAUGGAAACAGAUCAAACUCCAAUUUUAUAGUGAAAAUGUAGAAGAAAAUUUAAAUGGAGCUAAACUCCAGCAACUACCACUAUUCAAUUUCAAAGAACUCGCCACCGCGACGGACAACUUCCAUGACACAAAAAAGCUAGGGCAGGGUGGUUUCGGUCCAGUUUACAGGGUAAUAAACGAUGGUGAUUUCCAACAAAUCUAGAGUCAUUGAAAUGACCCCUUUUUUUCCAUAAAGUCUUAUGAGCUGAAUUUUGUGCAUAGGGAACAUUAGACGAUGGAAAGGAAAUAGCAGUGAAGAGACUGUCGAAAGCUUCGGGGCAAGGAUUGGAAGAAUUUAUGAAUGAAGUGAUGGUGAUUUCUAAGCUCCAACAUCGAAAUCUGGUUAGAUUAUUUGGGUGUUGUGUUGAAGGAGAAGAGAAGAUGCUGGUGUACGAGUAUAUGCCCAACACAAGUUUGGACGCUUUCCUCUUUGGUUAGAAUUUAUCUGAAUUAGACCAGAAACAAAGGGCAAAGCUUUUUCAAAAUUUUCUUCAUUUACAAUUUAAAUUUAAAAUGUCAUUUAAGCGUAUUGAAUUUCUUAUCACUCGAUCGAAUAAAUAUUGGUACAAAUUUUUUUUUUAGAACUUAAGUCGAUGACUUACCCUCUACCUAAUCUGAUAAGUCCAACUUGUUUGACUUGGUAGGUCCAAUCCAUAUUGGUUAGAUAUUGGAUAUAGUUUGGACUUCUAUCUAGCCAAAUCCAACUUAACUUUAAUUAUAUAAAUAUUAGUAUAUAUUUUUAGGGUUAAAUAUGUUAAAGUCUUUGUAUUUUUUAUAAAUUUGAAAUUUAGUCUCUGCACUUUUAUUUAUAGUAAUUUUAGUUCCUCUGUUUUUUAGAUUUCAAAAUUUAAGUUUAACUAUUAACACUAUUCGAAUCAUUAUGUUAAAUUCAUGUUCUUGACAAUCUCAUUUUUUUAGUCACAUGAUUAUCAAGUGAGUUUUUUUUUUAAAUUUCAAAAUGUUACAUCAACAAAUUUAACAAAAAAAAAACCACUGAUAACAAUUGAACUUGAAUGUUGAAAUUUAAAAAAUAGAGAGACUAAAUCCUUAGAAAUAAAUAUAUAGAAACUUACGACAUAUUUUAACCUAAUCAAUGGAUAUGCCUAGACAAUCAAAUAGCUUGGACAAUGAUCGGAUUGUUCAUCUAGUUCGUACAAGUUAGGUCGAGAACUAGAGUUUUCUACGUUCAUACUGAAAUUAUGGUUCAAAGUAUUACUAUUAUUUACUUUAAAUUUAAUUAUAAAAUAUAAAAAUAUGAUUCAAAGUUUUUAUUGCUAAUGAAAUUGGUCCCAAAUUUUAUCUGGUGCAAGCCUAUGUAAGAAGAUAUGAAAAAUAAGUUAUGGCUCCUAAUGUAGUUAUAUUCCGAGAUUUAAAUAGGAACAACAUAACGUUUUAACUCUAUUCAUUUUUGACUAUUUAUUUCAAUUGAUUUACAUAACAUCAAUUUCGUUCACAAUCACGAAUAUAAUAUGGUAGAAAAUACAACGACGAUUGUAGUUUAGAUCCAUUAUUAUAGGAGUUAGCUAUUAAUCUUGUAGUUCUUAUUGUUUAAUUUUUGUUAUAGAUCCAUCUAAACUAGAUGUAUUGGAUUGGAGAAAACGCUUCAAUAUUAUUGAAGGGAUUAGUCGAGGAUUGCUUUAUCUUCAUAGAGAUUCAAGAUUGAAGAUUAUACACAGAGAUCUAAAAGCAAGUAACAUUUUACUUGACGAAGAGUUAAAUCCAAAAAUUUCAGAUUUUGGGAUGGCCAGGAUUUUCGGAGCCAAUGAAAAUCAAGCCAACACUAAAAGGAUUGUUGGAACUUAGUAAGUUCAAACUUUCUCCUUAUCAUUUAAUUUUAUUCAUUUUUUGGACAAAAUAUGACAUAAAUAUGUCUAUGGUCAGGUAGACCUCAAUCUAGUGUGGCCUAUUUGGGUUUUAGACUCAUUUUACUGAUUUAAAAGACAAAAUAUUAAAAAAAUAUUAUUUUUUAUAAUUUUAUAAUUUAAUUUAAUUCAAAUCCGCUCAUGAAUAAGUUUAAGUUAAGGUUGUAAUUAAUGUUGUUUUUAAUGUUAAAAUUCAGUGGUUAUAUGUCUCCUGAGUAUGCAAUGCAAGGGCAAUUUUCAGAGAAAUCAGAUGUAUUCAGCUUUGGAGUUCUAUUGCUAGAGAUUGUUAGCGGAAAAAAAAACACAAGCUUUUACAACAAUGAGUAUGAUCUUAGCCUCUUGGGAUAUGUAAGUAUAUAGGAUAAUUUUUUUAUACAAUUCCUAUUGCUAUUUAUAACUCCCCCAAACCCAUAAUUUAGAGAAAAAUACAUGCUUAAGUGCGCUUAAACCUAUGUUGUCUUGUACUAUGCCAACUAAGAGAACUAAAAUAGGAGGGGGAUUAAGAAGCUAUAUUUGGAAGAUAUUUGGGUUUGGUUCAAGAAAACUAGAAUUCAACUCAGUAAUUGCUGAGUUGAGCUAUCAUGCAAGUUGAAUUUGAGAAUCUUAAUACUUGAAUAAAGUACCUUGCAAACUUAAUUGAGCUUUUUUUUUUUAAAAUUAAUAUUGAAAAAUUUUCAAUUCAAACUCAAGCUCGAGUACAAAUAAUCAAGUUUGAAGUUGAGCAUGAAAAUAAAACUUGUUUUAAGCUUAGGUAAAACAAACCUAAUCAAGAGAGUUCAUAUAGUUCGUUCUUUAUAUCAAAUUGAUCCAAUUGAGCUCUUUUGAAGCUUUGAGUUUAGCAUUUUGGGUUUAGUUAGGCCAGAUAAUUUAAACAAAGUUGUUUUUUGUUUUCAGGCAUGGAAACUAUGGAACGAAGGAAAUAUUUGGGAUUUAGUAGACAAGGUUAUUUCAGAGUUUGAAUCAGAUUCAAAGAAUGAGAAAGAAAUAAUGAGAUGCAUACAUGUUGGAUUGCUAUGCGUUCAAGAAUAUGCUAAAGAUAGGCCCAAUAUGUCUACAAUUGUUUCAAUACUUAACAGUGAGAUUUCAAAUCUUGACACUCCAAAACAACCUGCUUUUACUCAAACACCACUAAUUACCCAUGAUGUUGGAAAUACGGUUUCACUUAAUGAUGUAACUCUUACAAACUUUGAUGGUAGAUAAAGAUACAAAUGACUUACUUUUAACUUUUAGAAAUAAAAUCUAAGUAUUGAAAUUUAUCUUUAUCUAUAUUAGUAUAAUAUGUUUGACUAAGUUGAUGUAAUUCAAUAAUCAAGUCCUGACUCAAUUGUAAAAUUACCAAUAGCUCAAUAUUAUUUUUGAAAUUUUUUACAUCUUUUUAUACUCUAUAUAAGUAUCGAAAGAUACAUACAUUUAAAGAGAAUCAUUGACAUUUGAAUUCAAAACAUUAUAGUCUUUACUAUUUUAACUUUUAUAUCAAUUUUUCAUAAACUUGUUAUAUAGUUAUUUUAUUGAAGUGGGUGUGCCAUAAUUUAGUAUAUUUUAUUUUGAUUGUAAUUAUCAAUUUAUUUGUUUGAAUGUAGAGGGAACUCAUUAUUGUACUUUAAAGUUGUUGCUUUUGUCUCAAAUUCUAAAAUUUGACCCAACUUGAAGUCAAAUGAAUCCAACCGAAAUCCAGAAAUAACCUAAACCUAAAAUAACUGAAAAUUAAAUUCAUUAACUCCCAACGUAUCUGUCAAAAUUUAAGACUUAGUAGACAAGGUGAUUUUUAGAGUCAAAAAUAGAUUCAAAAUAUGAGGAAAAAAAUAGAUAUGCAUGUGUAACGAGGCCAUACCAUCAUGUCUUUUGGGUAGAGGUUAAUGGUCCCGUAACAGAUAGUAUCAAAGCAACACUUCAUUGCUUGAUUUCAUGUUAAACAUAUCAAUUAGUGAGGUAAGCAGAGUGGGCCAAUUGUGAUGGAAAAUGUAAUAAUUCGUUUUUCAGUUGUGCCGGAAACAGUGGUUUCAAGACCACAAUUCUAUUGAGUAAGUCAGUAAAUAUUAUUUAUUUAAUAUUUACGAGGUCAUUUUGUUGUAUUAAAAUUUGGUUCAGUAAUUUAUUGUUUGCAUGGUUAAUUAAAGAAAAAAAAAGACUAAAUUGUAAAAGUUGCAAAAAUAAUCGCAAUUAAGUUAUAUGUGUUAAAUGGAUAUAAAGACAUGAAUUGAGGAUGUUAAGUAGAAAUUAGACCAUAAGUUUUAUAGUGGACGGUCAGUGGGUUAUUAAGGAAAUUUUAAAUAAAAUAAAAGGGUAAAAUGGUAAUUAACAAUUUAAGACAUAAACUAAAACAAAACUAAAGCUAUCAUCUUCCUUAUUUCUUUUGUGUUCAACCAAAGUCACCAUUUUUGGAGGCAAAAGAAUCGGCCAAGCUAGGUUAUCUUGCAUGUGAGUGAUUUCUUUGCUUAUUUUUAGUGAUUUUUAUGUUUUUAGCAUCGUUGUAGCUUAAUCUAGUUAACCCGGAGACUAAUUCAUAAAAGUGUUAAAUGUUUAGAAUGUUACCAUGGAUGAAUUUUGGAUGUUCUUGAAUUUUUAUGACAAAUUAUUAAGUUUGAUAGUUAUAUAGUAGAAUUUUGUAAAGUGGUUUUUGUUAAUUUUUAAGUUUAGGGAUUUAAUUGAAAAUAAUGAAAAUAUGACAUGUUUUUCUUGUGAAAUUUUAGCAUGUGAGGAUUGAUUUGGGAUGGUAAUGAAUUAGGUUCAAUGGGUAUAGGGUUUAGUUGUGAAAAUAAUUAUAUCUUGGUCUUAAGUAUCAAAUUGAAUAAAAUGUAAAAGUUUGGAAAAAUGUGAAAAGUUGUAAAUAGGAAGCCAUGUGCAUUAAAUUGAAUAUUACAUGAAAUUGAUGCUAAUAAAUUGAAAUAAACUAUUUUAUAGAUCAAGAACAAGUAGAUAAUCGUGAAAAAGUGAAAAUUGCUGACUAGUCCUUAAAACUUUUGUUAUCUCUGCAGUUUAGCUCUAGUAAGUUUGUUCAAUUUAGUUUAAUAUAAUUUGAAAUGUUAUAUUGAUUAUGAAAUGUGGUUGUUGAAUAUUUUUAGUAUAUUUAAGUUGUUAUAAACUGUUGUGAGUUGAGAAAGUAAUUGUCUUGAACAUUGUUAACCUAAUGAUAUGUUUUGAGCCCGAAUGAACGUAUGAUAGGGUAUAAUUGGCAUGCCAAUAGGUUAUAUUGCACGUUGUAGGGGAUUGACUUGUGAUGAGAUGAUGAUUCCUGAUUUGUUGUUAUCCAUUGAAUAAACUAGAGUUAAACAUUUGUUACGGGCUAUCAUGUUAUAUUUAUAGUGAUUCUGACGUGUUACUAGGGGUGGAUGUAAAGCCUUCAGGCUUGACACUUGGUGCCCAGGAAUAUUUCUAGAGGGAUGUUAGCCUACGGGCUAGGCACUUGGUGCCAAGGUGUGUUCUCGGUUGUUUAGCUUGUAUGAGCUCUCUGGCGUGUUUUGGGUGGAUAAUUGCGUAUCCAUAUAUGUUAUAUCGUUCACUGGGCAAAUUUCUAGUGGUAGAUGACUUGUUAUUGAAUUAUAUAAAUGUUUGCAUGAUUUUUCGAUAUUAUCGUGACUUGAUAUCGAAUGGUCUCGUGUGAUUGAAUAGAUUAUGCAACUUGUACAUUUAUAGAUAUUAGCUCACUUGUUGAAUGAUUGUGGGUGAGAUGAUUAUUGUUUAAUAAUCUUGUUAAAGUAUAAUUGCUAUGCUUAUAAGGUAAAUUUUAUCGUUUCAACCGUUGAACUUACUAACUUUAUUGAAGCUUACUCGUGUCUUUUCUUGUUUUUUUUGUAGAUAACGUUUUGUGGAAUAGGGCGAUCAGAUCAACCUAAAGAUCACACUAUCCAGAUAUCUAUUGGUAGAUUUUGACAUGUUUACCUUUGGGUUAUAUGACAUGUAAUAGGUGUCUUGUAUAUGUUUUGGAUACUUAUUACUUGUGAUGCAUCUUAUACUUAGAUGAUGUUGUGUAAACUUGAUUUUGGCUCACUUGUAUAUAUAUCUUUGGCUUUUGGCUUGUAAAUGUCCAUAUAUAUUUGUUUUGAUCAUUUUGGUUUAAGCUACUUGUGAAUGAAUAGGUUAUGGUAGAACUAGAUAUGAAUGGUAUGGAUGAAUUGUAAAUUUGGUAAGUGUUUAAAGCAAGUACUUGUGAACUUUGAAUGUGAAUUGGUUGGAGUAUGAAAUGUAGUGCCUUUGAGGGCAUAUUGGUUAGGCACUUAGGUUGAAUGUUUUGACAUGUUUUAAGCUUGUUUGAUUAUGUUUUGAAGGCAUGUAAAUGUUUGAUUUUGAUUUGGCUUGACACCUAAGAAAUGAGUAGUGUUUUGGCUUGUUUUAGAAGUUAUUUUAAGUGCACACAGCCUGGGACAUGGGCUGUCACACGGUCAUGUGCCAUACAUGGUCUCCUCACACGACCGUUUGUCAUUUUGAUUUUAAGUGCCGACUUUUUCACAUGGCAUCGGGAUGUUACACAGCUUGGAGACACGACCGUGUAACCUUAUUUCGAAUCUCACACGGCCUGACACACGGUCUGCGACACAGUUGUGUGACCUUUUUUUCUAUUUGCACACGAGCGGGCACACAGUGACUGUGUGACCAAAGUUUCGAAUUGUAUAUGAUUUGGCCACACGGCCAUGUUCCUGGGCCACAUGGCCUGACCAUAUGGUUGUGUGACCCCUAUUUCCAAAAUUUUCCAUAUUUUUCUAUUUGUAGCUGUUGCGCGGAAGCGUGUGAAAGAGUAAAAUUAUUGUACUAAAAAAUCACACUAAGUUCAAUUCCCAGGAAAGAGAGGUGAAUCACGAGGAUCACUUAAGUACCAAGUCUUUCCUAGCCAGAAUAUCCCUCUAUCGUAAUUUAAUAGCACAAUAAAUCACUACAAUCACACUCAUAAAAUAUGAACAUUAAAUAGUAAAGAACACCAAAAUUUUAUCGAGGUUCGGCAAAUCUUGCCUACGUCUUCGGGCACUACCAAAUAUAUUUCACUCUAAAAUACAAGUGAAACUUUACAAAUAAGGAGAGAGAACAAUGCCUUAAGUAGAGAAUGGCAAAUGUGGGAUGAUGAGAAUGAGAAAUGGUUGGCCUAUUUAUAGUUGAGAUUUAAGGGCCACCUUGCAAAGUCCCUAUUCACUUAGGGACCAAAAAUUGCUAUUAUCCCAUGCCCAACACUAAAUAAAUAUUUGGUGCCCAUAACUUUGACCUUUCCAAGGUAUGGGUAGGUAUGGGAAAGGUAUGGGCAAGGUAUGGGAUAUAUUCUAAUAAUCUCCACCUUGAAGAUUUGAUUAGGAUAAUCUUAUCUUCACACAAUUCUUUUUGCCUUUGACAACAAUACUUGAUAGUGCCUUCUUCGACUGUUAAACUUGCAGGAUAUUGAUCAAGUUCAAACAAUGUUCGAACUUGGUUGCUGUUACCACCUUGGUCAUCAUAUCUGCGGAAUUAUCUGCAGUCUUGAUCUUAUGAAGACAAAUUUUCCCCUCUUCAAUAAUUUCCCGCACAAAAUGGAAUCGUACGUCGAUAUGCUUUGUACGUGCAUGAUAGACCUGAUUCUUUGCUAAAUGAAUAGCACUUUGACUAUCACAAUACACGUUAAUAUGCUCCUGAACCAACCCCAAGGUUUUAGCCAUACCUUGUAACCAAAUAGCCUCCUUUACAGCCUCUGUUACAGCCAUGUACUCGGCUUCUGUGGUUGACAACGCAACUGUAGACUGUAGUGUAGACUUCCAACUUAUUGGUCCUCCAGCAAGUGUAAACACAUAACCGGUGGUUGAUCUUCGCUUGUCCAAAUCACCGGCAUAGUCAGAAUCAACGUACCCAAUAACACAUUUACCAAGUGUAUUAUCCUGCUUGAACAGUAAUCCAACAUCUACGGUCUUCUGAAUAUACCGUAGAAUCCAUUUCACAGCUUGCCAAUGUCCUUUUCCAGGAUUAUGCAUAUACCUGCUCACUAUACUAACUGCCUGUGAAAUGUCGGUUCUUGUACACACCAUUGCAUACAUCAAGCUACUCACUGCAUUAGAAUACGAAACUUGCAACAUGUAUUCUCGUUCCGUAUUCGUCGAAGGAGAUAGUUGUGCAGAAAGCUUGAAAUCAGAAGCCAACGGGGUACUUACAGGUUUUGUCUGCUCGUUCAUGCCAAACUGCUGUAGUACCUUUUUCAAAUACUGCUUCUGAGAUAAGCUAACUCUAUCAUGAGCUCUAUCUCUCCAUAUUUCCAUGCCGAGAAUCUUUUUAGCUUCUCUUAGAUCUUUCAUCUCAAACUCGAGAUUGAGUUGAGUCUUCAAUCUUUCAAUCUCAACUUUGCUCUUAGAUGCUAUUAGCAUAUCAUCAACAUAUAAGAGCAAGUAUAUGAAAGUUCCUUCUUGUAGCUUCUGAAAAUACACGCAAUGAUCAAAUUUACUUCUUGUGUACCUUUGCCCUUUCAUGAACUGAUCAAAUCGCUUGUACCACUGCCUCGGAGAUUGCUUCAAUCCAUAAAGCGACUUUGUCAGUUUGCAAACCCAAUUUUCUUUUCCAGCAACCUUGAAUCCAUCUGGCUGAGUCAUAUAGAUUUCCUCUUCCAAAUCACCGUGUAAAAACGCGGUCUUCACAUCAAGCUGAACUAGUUCAAGAUCAUAUUGCGCAACCAAGGCUAGCAAAAUCCGAAUAGACGAAUGCUUCACAACUGGAGAAAACACUUCAUUGUAGUCUAUUCCUUCUUUCUGAGUGCAACCCUUUGCUACUAAUCUAGCCUUGUAUCGAAUUUUAUUUUUAUCAGGAAAUCCUUCCUUCUUUGCAUAUACCCAUUUGCAUCCAAUUACCUUCUUUCCCUUGGGUAGUGUCACCAACUCCCAGGUCUUAUUUUUAUGAAGAGACUGCAUUUCUUCAUUCAUUGCUUGCUUCCACUUUACACCAUCAGGGUUACUUAUUGCUUCUGUGUAAGUAGAAGGAACAUCAUCAUCUGCAAUUGGAAGUGCAUAGGCCACUAUAUCAUCAAAGCGAGCAGGCUUACGAAUCUCUCUUUUUGGCCUCCUAUAUGCAAUUGAAUCUUGUUGCUGUAGAGGUUCUUGGGUAGGAACCUCUUCAUCAUUUGUCCCUUCAAUAUUAGCUGGAUCAUCGUUAACCUUUUCAAGCUCCACCUGCUGCAAAGUACUACUGGUUUUGCCAUCCUUUUGUGAAUCCUUGUACUUUAACAUGGUUGAUUCAUCAAAAGUCACAUCUCUACUGAAAACAAUCUUCCUUGUAUCAGGACACCAGAGACGAUAUCCUUUUACUCCAUCAGUUAUACCCAAGAAUAAUGCUUUCUUUGCUCUUGGGUCUAACUUAGAUUCUUUUACAUGAUAAUAUGCAGUAGAACCAAAUACAUGCAAAGAAUCAUAAUCAGUAGCAGAUUUACCAGUCCACAUCUCCAUAGGAGUUUUUCCAUUUAUUGCAGCUGAUGGCAAACGGUUAAUUAGAUGGCACGCAUAUGUAACUGCCUCAGCCCAAAAUUCUUUGCCCAAUCCAGCAUUGGACAACAUACAUCGAACUUUCUCCAGUGUAGUUCGAUUCAUUCGUUCUACCACCCCAUUUUGCUGUGGUGUAUCCCGAACAGUGAAGUGUCGCACAAUGCCCUCAUCUUGGCAUACUUGUAGAAAUGGAUCGUUUUUAUACUCAGUACCAUUAUCUGAUCGAAGUCGUUUGACCUUUCGACUAGUCUGAGUCUCCACCAUCUUCUUCCAUUUCAGAAAUGCAUCCAAAACUUCACUUUUUCUUUUCAUUAGAUACACCCAUACUUUUCUUGAAUAAUCAUCAACAAAAGUAACAAAAUAGUGCAUACCUCUCAAAGAAGCUACUUUGGUAGGUCCCCACACAUCACUGUGAACGUAGUCCAGAAUUCCUUUCGUAUUGUGAAUUGCUGGACCAAAUUUUACCCUCUUCUGCUUGCCCAGAACACAAUGUUCACAGAAUUCCAUUUUGCAAGAAUUUGCACCUUUCAAUAAGCCUUGCUUCACCAAUGUCUGCAAAGUUUUUUCACCAGCAUGUCCCAAUCGCAUAUGCCAUAAUCUGGUAGCCUCUGAAUCUACAUCUUUUGUAGAAACUGUUGAUGUUGAUCCAAUAACUGUACUUCCAUUUAAAAAAUACAAGUUAUUUCUUCUUGUGCCUUUCAUCACCGUCAGUUGCCCAGCUACUACUUUUAGUAAUCCAUCUCUCAAAGUGAUUGUGAGCCCUUUAGAUUCUAGGGCACCUAAUGAGAUGAGAUUUUUCUUCAGGCUGGGUACGUAGCGAACAUCUGUCAAGACUUGGAUUGAGCCAUCGUGAUUCUUCAAUUGGACUGUACCCACUCCCAUUGUCUUACAAGCACUAUCAUUGCCCAUAAGAACAAUUCCACCUUCUAGCUCUUUAAGACUAGAAAACCAGUCCUUAUUAGGACACAUAUGGUAAGUACAUCCUGAAUCCAAAAUCCACUCAUCCGUUUGACAUGCCAUUGCCAUGCCAACCAAGCUAAAGUCUGACUCCUCAUCAUGCUCCGCUACACAUGCAUUAGAAAUAGCCUUGCCCUUUUGUAGCUUAGGACAAUUCUUUUUCCAAUGCCCUUUUUUCAUGGCAAAAGGCACAUUCAUCUUUGCGGGUCUCCCUUUGGACUUUUCCCUUCUACCAGAUUUGCUGCUGUGUGAACGACCUCUUACUGUUAAGACUUCUGCGGUUGUAUCUCUGUGAUCUCUUUUAUCUUUCUUUCGAGUCUCAGAUCUAUACAACGCACUACAGACUGCAUCAAAUGUGAUCGUGUCCUUCCCAUGAAGCAAUGUGGUGGUAAGAUGAUCAUAUUCAUCAGGAAGGGAAUUCAACAACAAUAAUGCCUUGUCUUCAUCUUCAAAUUUCUCAUCCAAAUUUAGCAAGUCUGCUAAAAUUUUAUUGAAUGAGUUCACAUGGUCAUUCAUCGACAUACCGGGUGCAUACGUGAAUCGAUAAAGUUUCUUUUUCAUAUAAAGCCUAUUUUCAAGACUUUUCGUUAGAAACUUUUCUUCCAGUGUAUCCCAUAACUUCUUCGCUGAUGUCUCCCUCAUGACAGAGUACUUCUGCUCUUUGGCCAAACAUAGGCGGAUUGUACCACACGCCUGUCUAUUGAUCUUGGCCCACUCCUUGUCAUCCAUCUUGUCAGGUUUUUCUUCAAGGGCUAUAUCUAGCUCUUGCUGACAUAAGACAUCCAGGAUCUCACAUUGCCACAUACCAAAAUUAUUGGUACCGUCAAAUUUCUCUACUUCAAAUUUUGCAUUUGUCACAGUAGUCCUUGCUGAUGACGAUGCUGCUGCUAUUUUUCUCAUCAAUCCCAACUACUGUAUACGUGAACAGUGCCGUAUACGUGAAUAGUGCCGUAUACGUGAAUAGUACCAUAUACGUGAAUAGUGCCGUAUACGUGAAUAGUACCGUAAACAGUCUUAUUCCCCAAGUACGAACCUGGCUCUGAUACCAAUUGUUGCGCGGAAGCGUGUGAAAGAGUAAAAUUAUUGUACUAAAAAAUCACACUAAGUUCAAUUCCCAGGAAAGAGAGGUGAAUCACGAGGAUCACUUAAGUACCAAGUCUUUCCUAGCCAGAAUAUCCCUCUAUCGUAAUUUAAUAGCACAAUAAAUCACUACAAUCACACUCACAAAAUAUGAACAUUAAAUAGUAAAGAACACCAAAAUUUUAACGAGGUUCGGCAAAUCUUGCCUACGUCCUCGGGCACUACCAAAUAUAUUUCACUCCAAAAUACAAGUGAAACUUUACAAAUAGGGAGAGAGAACAAUGCCUUAAGUAGAGAAUGGCAAAUGUGGGAUGAUGAGAAUGAGCAAUGGUUGGCCUAUUUAUAGUUGAGAUUCAAGGGCCACCUUGCAAAGUCCCUAUUCACUUAGGGACCAAAAAUUGCUAUUAUCCCAUGCCCAACACUAAAUAAAUAUUUGGUGCCCAUAACUUUGACCUUUCCAAGGUAUGGGUAGGUAUGGGAAAGGUAUGGGCAAGGUAUGGGAUAUAUUCUAAUAGUAGCAUUAGUCCCUAAUUGUGUCCAAACUACUUUUAAGGUAUGGGAAACUCAAUAUAAUGCCUGUAAUUUUAUAUAUUCUAUGGUUAAUGUAUGGAUUAAAUAUUGAUGUUUAAAUUAAUAAUUGAAUGGUUUUAUAAUGUUAUUUGUUUCAAUGUGUGCUAUAAUACUUCGUAACAUUAAUCUGACGACGGAGACGAGUUAUAAAUGUUACAGAAAAACUUUUAAUAAAAGAGUCACGAGAUUAAAUGAGAAAUAACAUUAUGGCAAUCACACUAAAAAAAAGUCGGUAGGGUGCAUUCAUCCACGAAAAUGAAAGGGAAAAAAAAAUCCUUGGAUAUAGAAGAGCAAGGUAAUGGUCUCAAGACUCAUUCAUGUUGUAUUGGUCUGCGUUGUUAACACUCCAAAACAACCUCUUUCACACCAACACCCAUAAUUAUGUUUAGUGUUGAAAGUUAAACUGAUGACUAUAUAGGAUAUUUAUUAAUGCUAUCUCAUAUCAUAUUUAAUUUGAUUAUAUGGACGCCUGUUUAUGGGUUGGACUAUUAGUUCAAUCUGACAAUACCGCUUUGACUUUGAAAUUAAGUUAUAAAAAAAUUGAUAAAAAAUAAAAUGUUAAUAUUGAAUUUUUUAAUAUUUCAUUAUUAUUAAUUAAUAAAUCGGGUUAUGGGAAUUUACUAACAAAUUAAAAAAAUUGAAUUUUUUUUAUACUUAAAUAACAUUAAUAUAUGUGCAAUUUAGCAAGCAAAUGCUUCUAAAAUAGUAACAAAAUUAACAAUAAAAUAAGAGUUAUACAAUAUCUAAAUAAUAAUAGCAAAAUAGUAGCAAUAUAAUAGUGAAAAAGCAGUAAAAUAGUAUUAAAACAAAAACAAUUUUUUUUCUAGUUCGGGUUGGGUCAAAAAAACUUACUCGAGACCCGAUCCGUCUAGAAAACAAGCUUAAUUUUUUGCCUAAACCCAUUUUUUGAACUUAUAAUUUUAUCCAAAUCUUUUCAUUUUUCAGAUAAAUCUUUAAAUUGAGUUGAAUAACUUAAUCAUGAUCCAGUCUAAUGAUGAAAGAUAGAAUUAGAUUUUUUUGGUACCCCAGUGGAAAUAAAGUGGUAAUUGACACUUCUAAAUUACGUAUGAAAGCAUUGGAAAUAAUAAAAAUUCCCAAAAGUCAAAAGGAGAUUUCGUUCAAACCAUACAAUUGAUAUUGAAAUUUUGAUGUAAACAUUUGCACCUGCUAGGUAUUUGAUCUGCUAUUAAACAACAAUUAAAAUAUAAUCAAAUAACCUGAUUUGUCACAGUGAUAGUGAUCACUUUCAUUUAUAUUUCGAUAGUUACCUCAAAAUAUAUUAAAAUUAUAUCUCAGCAAGACAAUGAUAAGAGUAUGUAGACCAAAGUUAAACCUUUCAAACACAAAUAACAUUCAUAUUGUUGGUCAUUACAAAAACAAUUCUCCAAAACUAAAAAAUAAAGUCUAAAGUCUGAACCAAGAUGAACUCCUAUCAUUAGGAGUAACAAAAACAAGCAAGCAACACCACCAUUGCAUCAGCAUUACCUUCUUCAGUACCUCCUACUCUUUAGCUUCCAACCUACUCUCCCUUUUUGUUCAAAUGAAAUUUCAAUGUAUCUCUAUUUGAGGUGAGUGACCAAAUCAUUGCAUAGAACUAUCUAUCGAUCUCGAAUCUACUGGAUGACCCUUAUCCCUGCUCGACGUUUUGCCAUGACUUGAUUAUGAGAGUCAAUCGAACUAUUGAGAUGAGAACCUUACUGAAUUAUUUGAAGGCCUGCUGUAGUGGGCACUUUAGAAGCCACUUGGGUAGUCUCGGGUUCUUCUUCCUUAUCAGUAUCAGGAUGAUUUGUAGGGUCAUUGAUAUGUCUCACGUUACUAACUAAAUAUACGACUAAGACAAGUGCACCUAUCGAUAAUAAUAUAGCUACGGUGAGUCGAGAUUUCGUAUUCACGAGAACUAAAAGUAUUAGUAAUUACUGUUUUCCUAUUAUCUAGCUGACAAAUUAAAGUGAUUGUUCUUAAUCUAAAAUUUCUAAACUAAUUUAACUAAAGAAGCAAUAGAAAAUAAAUCAAGAAAGCAACCAAAUAAUAAUCGAUGAGAGAGACAAUACCUAGAAAAGAAUUCACCUAGUCUUCAUCUAUUAUUAUUAAUCCAAUUUAAGCGAUUUAUUCACUUGAUAACUUGAUCCAUAGAAAUUCCUAAGCUAUGCUAAUAUCUCUUUCGAGAGUAAGGGCAACUGACUCUAGGUUGAUUAAUUGAAAUUUCUUUCUAAUUAAAACCCCUAUUGUUGCAUUAACUCGAUCUAUGAAUUCCCCUAUUAGAUUUGACUCUAAUUCGGUAGAUUUAUGUCAUCCUAUUUCUAAGAUUGCAUGCAACUCCACUCAAUUAUGCUUGAUCUACUCUUAAAUAGGGGCUUUUGCUCGACUGAUUAAGCAUAUAUUCAGAAAUAUCAAAACAAGAGAUAAGUACACAUAAUUGACAACAAGAAUCAAAUAUUUAUUGCGUAAUAAUAGAAAUUAAAUAAUAGAAUUCAUCAUAGGUUUCAUCCUCCUUAGGUAUCUAUGGAAUUAGUUCAUAAUCGUCAAUAAAAACAUCUCAAAGUCAGAAUAACCAUAAGACAUAAAGAAACUCUUAAAAACUUGGAAAAAAAUUAAAAGGAGAUCUUCAAUCUUGAUGGAGAUCCACUUCUAAGUUGGCUCCUAAUGGUGUUCUUCAAGUGUUUUCUCUGAUCUUCUUUGAUGACCCCAUUAUCUCUUAUUCUAUUUGGUAUUUAUAGACUUUAGAAUGCUCAAAAAGCCUAAAAAUUACGUUUUUCAGCUUGUUCGGGAAGCAGAUUGAAAAAUUGACACGGACUGACACAUGGGCGUGUGUCCAACCCAUGUGGCUCCUAAAAUCUAUUCUUUUUCUUUGAUUUUUGCUCCUUUUACUCCCAAAUGCUCACCUAAGUAUAAGAACAUAAAUUAAAAGGAUUAGGAGCAUCAAAUUUUUCAAUUUGUAUAAAUAAUCAUCCAAAAACACAGUAAGAAUGAGAUUAAAAUAUGUUAGUUUUAUCAUUUAUCGGUUAUUGAAUGUGUGCUUUCCCUUGAGCCAUUUUGGUAAAAAUUUGAGCUCAACAAUAGAUCUCUUAGGAUGUUCAUAAGCUCAAAAAAGUCUUUUAUUUUGCUUCACAAACACUUGAAAAAUCAAAGUACCAUAAUUGAGUUGUCUCUAUUAUAUACUAUUACCUUAGAAUGUUCAGUGGUUCAUCUAAUGACCUUGUCAAAUUUGUUAACCUUUUAGGAUAUCCUUAGAUUCUUAAAGAUAGAAUCCAUUCUCCAAAUACGAUCUUAUUUUACUUUAUGGUAAUCCUUACGUCUUCAUUCAUAAAAAAAUUAAUUACUAACACAAUAAUCAAAUCAUUCAUCUUUAAACAAAUGACCCGUGGAUACGUUACUUUUCCAUCUAUCAUGUCAUGUCGAUGAAAAGAUAUUAUUUACCAUUUCGGGCUAUUAAUUUUACUUUUCACAACUGAAUAAAUUUAUUGUUGAUAUAACAUUUUUUUUCUUAGCAGAAAUUGAUAUGACCAAUUAAGACUAGUUCACGCACUACUGAAAAACUACCUCAUUCAAUCUGUUGGAACAAUGAACAAAGAUAAAGGAAACAAAAAUAGUUUCUUGAGCUUUAAGGCUUGAGACUUGCAGAACAAACAAUAACUGAAUUAAGCUUAUAAGAACCAAAUGAAAUGAAAAUUGAGAGAGUAUUAGAUGAACAAUUUUUGAUUAAAUUUUCAUUAAUUUGAACAAUGGCAUAAAACCAAUACAAAUACCAGACAUGAGCUGGUUAGUACAAGCAAAUCAUCACCUAAACAUUACCUAACUCCACUAAUAACAUUGGAACUUACAAAACAUGACUUGCACACAUAGGUAAGAUGAUCUAUCAGCUUAUCAACACCUAAACAUCAAGUACAACUUAGUUUGAUUUCAACUAAGUUACAAAACACCAAUUUAAAAGUAAAAAAACAAAAAACAAAAUAGCAACUUUAACUUCAGUUGCAACUGCAUAGCUCGAGUUGUUUCUAUUGCAUUAAGGCAGCAUGUUGGUCAGCUUCAACACUCCUCCUUGGCCUGCAUGCUGCAAACUUCCAAUCUCAUUCUUAAAUACUCAAACCUUGAUGCACUAAGAGGCUUUGUCAAGAUAUCAGCUAGUUGAUCCUCAGAGUUGCAAUGAAUCAGUUUCGCCUCAUUAGCUUGUUCCUUUUCCCUUACAAAAUGAAACUUAAUCUUAAAGUGCUUUAUUCUUCCAUGGAACACUGUAUUCUUUGCAAUUGCAACAGCAAAAUGGUUGUCACAGUUGAUCUUUAUUGCUUCCCUUUGGUAUAGUUUCAAGUCAGCCAUGAUUUUUCUUAACCAAAUGGCUUGGUUAACAGAAUUAGCAGCUGCUACAUACUCUGCCUCAGCUGUUGAUUGAACAACUACUGUUUGCUUCUUUGAACUCCAAUAAAAAAUGGCUGAACCUAUGGUAAACAGAUACCCUGAGGUGCUUUUGAUGUCAUCUAUCGAUCUAGUCCAGUCACUAUCAGCAUAUCCAAGCAACUUCAUGAUUUCAGCCUUGGUGAACAUCAUUCCAAAGCUCAAUGUACCUUUGAUGUACCUAAAAACUCUUUUGGCAGUUUUGAAGUACUUUUCAUUGCAGCAAUGCAUGAAUCUAGAUAGCAGACUUACAUCAUACAUAAUGUCUGGUCUAGUGGCAGUCAAAUAGAGCAAGCAUCCAAUCAAGCUUCUGUAGGUUGAUUCACAAACCUUUUCAAAAUCACCUUGGCUUGUCAGCUUCUCUCCAACAACAACUAGAGUGCUUGUUGCCUUGCAGUUCAGCAUAGAGAAUUUGUUCAAAAUUUUCAAAGCAAAUGCCUUCUGACUUAGGAAAAUCCUAGAUUAAGUUUGUGACACUUCCAUGCCAAAGAAGUAUCACAUUUGACCCAAAUCAGACAUCUCAAACUUUUUCUCCAUUUUGGUUUUAAAAUUAACUAGAAAUUCAUGACUUUCACCUAUCACAAGUAGGUCAUUAACAUACAGAGACACUACAAGCUGUGUUUCAAUACCUUUCUUCUUCAUAUACAAUGUUGGCUCACUGAUGCUUCUCUUGAACCCCAAGAUAGCUAGGUAGCUAUCGAUUCUGUCAUACCAGGCUCUUGGUGUCGAUUUCAAGCCAUACAAGUCUUUUUUCAGUUUGUGCACCUUGUUUUUUUCACCAACUACUUUGAAACCUUUAAGUUGCUUGAUAUAAAUCUCUUCUUCAAGGAAAGCAUUGAGAAAAGCUAAAUUUACAUCGAGUUGAUGUAUUUUCCACUGCUUUUGUACAACCAAAACUACCAGCAGCCUGAUUGUGUCUAGCCUAGCUACUGGUGCAAAUGUUUCAAAAUAGUCAAUGCCAUACUUUUGACUGAAUCCCUUCACUACUAGUCUUACUUUUAGCUUGUUCAGAGUCCCAUCAGCAUUGUGCUUGGCUCGAAACACCUAUUUCACUCCAAUAACCUUCCUGUUGGCUGGUUUAUCAACUAGCUCCUAGGUCUGAUUCUUGUGAAUCAUGCUCAUCUCAUCGAGUAUAGCCUAUUUCCAUCCCUGUUGAGCUUCAGCCUCUUCAAAACAACUUGGUUCAAUUACAGCCACUUCAAAUCUUUCAUAAAUUUCACUCAAAGGUCUGGUUCCCCUGACUAGUUCAUGGUCAAUUUCCAUUUCAGGACCAUUUUGAUUAGCUUUAGUCUGAUUAGUUAGUAAGUCUUCAGCAGUAGCCUCUGGUUCAUUUUUAUCCCAGUUCCGUCCUAUCUUCUCAUCAAACACAAUAUCUUUGCUUACAAGGACUUUGUUGGUUGAAGGAUCUAGGAUUCUAUAGCCUUUCUUCACAUUGCUAUAACCUACCAGGAUACUAGGUUGUACUUUCUUGGCUAGUUUAUCCCUCUUAACUACUGGGACAUGUGCAUAGCAUAUGCAACCAAAGACCCUCAGAUGAGCCAAUGAUGGUUUGAACCCAAACUAGGCUUCAAAUUGAGUUUUAUGAGUCAAUGCCUUUGUUGGAAAUCUAUUUUGAAGAUAUACAGCAAUGUUAACUGCCUCAGCCUACAAAGUUUUGGGCAGAUUUCUUUCAAACAAUAUACAUCUGACCAUAUCCAUUAGGCUUCUGUUCUUUCUUUCACUAACACCAUUCUAUUGUGGUAUAUAGGUGCUGGUGAGUUGAUGCUUGAUGCCUUCUUUAUCACAGAAACUUUGAAACAUCGCUGAGGUAUACUCAAUUCCAUUGCUUGAUUUUAAUGUUUUCAACUUGUAACAUGUUUCAGUUUCUGCUAUAGCUUUGAACUUCCAAAAUACUAAGGCCACUUCUGAUUUGUGCUUCAAGAAGUAAAUCCAACAAUACCUCGAGUAAUCAUCAAUAAAAAUAAUGAAAUACCUGCUACCAUUCAAGGAUGGUCAUUUCAUAGGGCUAUACACAUCAGUGUAGACCAACUGUAUCUUUUGUGAGGCUCUCCAAGCCUUGUUGAAGGGAAAUGGCAGUCUAGCCUACUUUCCCAACUGACAUACUUCACAAACCUAUUCCUUUUCAACAAAAUUUGUGAAGUUUUUAGCCAAGUCUUCUUUGGUUAGUUUGGCUAGUAAGUUGUAGUUGACAUGGCCUAACCUCUUGUGCCACAACUUGGAUUCAUCAAGCACUGCUGUAUAGGCACUGUCUGAGCUUUUAUUCCAGUCUACUACAAAGCUUCUAUCAGCCAUAGUUACUGAUAUAAACUUAGAUCCACUUGGAUCACUGAUCAUGCAUUCUUUGCCUUUGAACACAACUGAGUAGCCUUUUUCUAGCAGCUGAGCUAUACUUAGUAGGUUUCUGUCAAUUUUAGGUACAAGCAAGACAUUUGAGACAAGUUUAUUACCUGUUGGAGUGUUAAUCAACACAUCUCCUUUGCCUUCUGCCUUGAUGAAGUGUCCAUUUCCAGCCUUCACCCUUGUUUCGAAGCUUCUAUCAAUGUUCUUGAAGAUUGCAGCAUUAGGAGUCAUGUGGUUUAUACAAUCGCUAUCUAUUAGCAUUUUAUGACUUUUCCUUUGGCAGUUGGGCAAGACACUGCAAAGACUUGCUCUUCAUGAUCACUGUCUUCUUCUGCCAUUUGAGCUUCAACUAUUGGUUGUUGAGGUUGACUUUGUUUUAGCUUGCCUUUGUUUCUGCAAACUUUCUCAGAAUGACCCAUCUUUUUACAGAUUUUACAUUGCACAUCAGGCUUAAAGCAGUAAUUUUCUCCUAGAUGACCGAGCCUUCUACAGUGUGGACAAGGUGGAUAUUUCCUUCAUGUUCCAUCUUCUUUUGGCUUGUUAAACCAGGACUUUCUUCCUUUAUAGCUUGAAGAGCUCCAGAUAGGUCUGCUCUUGGCUUAGAAAGCACCCUCUUGAUGUUCCUUCUGCCCACUGGCACUUCUUUGCUCUUGUGCAUAAAGAGCAUUGAUCAGCUCAGUCAAGGAGAUGCUUGUCAGAUCUCUUGAGUCUCAAUGAAUGAAAUCUUGGCUUCAUAUCUCUUAGGCAAGAUGAAAUAACCUUCUUUACAAUUCUUGUUUCACUAAACUGGUCCCUAAGCAAUCUAAUGCUGUUCACUACAGCCAUGAUUCCGUCUGAGUACUGCUUCACUGUUUCUUCCUCCUUUCUCUUCAAGUUUUCAAAAUCCCUUCUCAAAUUCAGUAGCUGCUGCUGUCUUGUUCUUUUUAUACCUUGAAAAUCCUCCUUCAGCUUAUCCCAAGCCUGCUUUGGUGACUCACAAGCCAUGAUUCUUGUGAAAAUCACAUAAGAUACACUGUUUUGAAUGCAAGAUAUAGCCUUGUUUCUUUUAGUUCUUUCAUCUGCGUGGUGCCUGAUCUGAGCUACUGUGGGAUUGGCUCUUAGAGGUGCUGGUUCAACAUCUGAGUUAACAACCUCCUAUAGGUUGAAUGCUUCCAGGUAGGUCUUCAUUUUUACUACCCAAAUGUGGUAGCCUUCACCAUUGAACACUGGUGGUGGAGUUGGUGAGAAUCUAGAUGAAGACAUAGUUUCUUGACUUGAAGAAUGACAGGUCCACUGAGAAAUUGGCACGAGAUACCAAUUGUUGGAACAAUGAGCAAAGAUAAAGGAAACAAAAACAGUUUCUUGAGCUUUAAGGAUCAAGACUUGCAGAACAAACAAUAACCAAAUUAAGCCUAUAAGAACCAAAUGAAACAAAAAUUGAGAGAGUAUUUGAUAAACAAUUCUUGAUUGAAUUUUCAUUAAUUUGAGCAAUGGCAUAAAACCAAUACAAAUACCAGACAUGAGCUGGUUAGUACAAGCAAAUCAUCACCUAAACACUACCUAACGCCACUAAUAGUAUUGUAACUUACAAAACAUGAUUUGUACAUAUAGGUAAGUUGCUCUAUCAGCUUAUCAGCACCUAAGCAUCAAGUACAACUUGGUUUGAUUUCAACUAAAUUACAAAACACCAAUUUGAAAGUCAAAAAAAAAAAACAAAACAGCAACUUUAACUUCAGCUGCAACUGCAUGGCUCCAACUGUUUCUGUUGCAUCAUGGCAGCAUGUUGGUCAGCUUCAACACAAUCCUUAAAAUCUCAAGUAUCAUUUCAUAAAUCUUAGCGUCACUUCAAGUUCUGCUCUUAAAAGAAAUUCAGAAAACAAAGUCAUGGGGAAAACUAUUAGCUGCUCUGUUUUACUAGCUUUAAUAUCUUGUUGUUACUUAUCGUUUGGCACUGCUUUAGACACUAUAACAGCAUCAAAACCAUCAAAGACACUGAUGUUAUAAUCUCCCAGAGUGGAGUUUUCAGAUUGGGAUUCUUCAGCUUUGCUAAUUCCAGCAAUCGUUAUGUAGGGAUAUUGUACCAUCAAAUCCCCGUACAAACAAUGGUAUGGGUAGCAAACAGAAACAAGCCUCUCAAAGACUCUUCUAGGAUUCUCAAGAUAUCAGACGAUGGAAAUCUUGUUGUUUUGAAUGGAAAGGCUGAGAUUCUUUGGUCAUCAAAAGUGAAGAAUUUAGUUCCUAAUGCAACAACUGCCCAGCUUUUAGACUCCGGAAACCUUGUCCUCAACAAUGGAGUAAACAGUUUAUGGGAGAGUUUUGAAGAUCCUUCAAAUGCCUUCCUUGAAACUAUGAAGAUUAGCACUGAUGUAAAAAAGGGUCGUAAAGUGAAGAUCAAAUCAUGGAAAAGCCCUGAUGAUCCCUCUGAUGGUAACUUUUCUCUUAGCCUUGAAUAUUUUAACAUCCCAGAGGGUGCUAGCCUUGAAUAUUUUAACAUCCCAGAGGGUGCUAUUUGGGACAAUAACCAGCUCUAUUAUCGGUCCGGUCCAUGGAAUGGUCAAAAAUUUAUUGGUGUAAAGAUUAUGCAUACCGUUUAUCUUGUUACCUUUUACCUUGUUUCUGAUGAUAAACACCAAACGUACUAUGUCACUUACCAAUAUUCUAAUAACUCUUGGUUGUUGUACUAUGAACUGGAUUCUCAAGGAAAAUUAAGUGAACGGUAUUGGGAUGCGGGGGAAGGGGAUAGUAACUUAUUAUGAACGGUACUCUUCUUCAAACAGAUUGUGAUGUUUAUGGGAAGUGUGGGCCAUUUGGCAUGUGUGUAUCAGAAUUCUUAUCUCUCUCUUAAUUUUCCUGAAUGGAAACUUUUUUUUUUUCAGAGAAGUACUCACGUAUUUAAUACAUGUAGGAGAUAGUAACUGACUAACCUCCUGUAACAGAAACUCUAACAGCUAACUAACAGCAGUAACUACUAUUAUUCCUAACAUGCCCCAUACACAACAGUUUUCUAUUUUCAACAAAGACUUUUCCCAUUUGUGCUAACCACACACAGACGAUCGCAAAACUUAGAGAAUAUUCCUACUGACAGAGGCUUUGUUAGUAUAUCUGCAGUCUGGUCAGACCCAGAUAUAUGCCCUACAUGAAGUACUCCAUCUACAACCUUCUCUCUGACGAAGAAUAAGUCCAUUUCGACGUGCUUAAACUUAGAGUGCAUGACUGGAUUCCCUGCAACAGCAACCGCUGCUGAGCUAUUGCACCAUACCAUGGCCUUCGUUGGUACUAAGAUACCCAACUCAGUCAGCAAUGCCCGAAUCCACACAACCUCGACAGUGACUAGAGCCACACUUCUGUACUCGGCUUCUGCUGUCGACCUUGAAAUAACUUGCUGCUUCCUGGAACUCCAAGAGAUUGGAUUCCCUCCGAGAAACACACAAAACCUCGAUGUUGACUUCCGAUCAUCCACAUCUGAGCCCCAGCUGGCAUCCGAAUAUCCCUCAAGUAAGAACCUUAAAGUCCGGGUGAAUUUCAACCCAUAGUCCAAAGUUUCUUGUAAAUACCUUAGAAUUCUCUUUACUGCUUUAAAGUGCAGAUCCAAAGGUUUGUGCAUAAACUGGCAAACCUUAUUCACUGAAUAUGCUAUGUCAGGCCUAGUGAUGACAACGUAUUGAAGAGCACCAACAAUACUCCUGUAUUGACGUUCAUCCUCAAUAGGACUUCCUUCAUAGGCUGACAAACGGCUCGUGGUAACCAUAGGCGUUGGUAAACCAUUAGCUUUAUCCAUAGACGCUUUCUGAAGAAGAUCAGCAACAUACUUUUUCUGAGUAAGAAAAACUCCUUGAGUAGUAUAACUCACUUCUAUGCCUAAGAAAAAAUGCAGCUUGCCUAGAUCUUUCAAGGAAAACUUCUCAUUUAGCUGAGUGACAAACUCGUUGAUGAAAACAUCAUCAUUCCCUGUGAUGAUAAUAUCAUCCACGUAUACUAACACAUAAACCAUCCGAGAACCCGACUGUAAAAUAAACAAGGAACUGUCAGCUUUGGAUGCUUUAAACUGUAAAUCGACCAAAAACUCUUGCAACUUGUGAAACCACGCCCUUGGUGCCUGUUUAAGACCAUACAGGGCCUUGCAAAGUUGACACACUAGCUGUUGACCAUUGUCGCCUUGCUGUUCAAACCCCGGAGGCUGCAACAUGUAGAUCUCUUCUCGAAGGUCUCCAUUCAAGAACGCAUUAUUUAUGUCAAUUUGUCGAAGUGACCAGUUGAAAGAAACUGCCAACGCAAGGACCACUCUUAUGGUAGUAGGCUUCACCACAGGGCUGAAUGUUUCAUGGAAAUCUAUUCCAGCUUCUUGCAAGUACCCCUUAACCACAAGUCAACCUUUAUGCCUCGCAAUAGACCCAUCUGCAUGUCGUUUGAGUUUGAAAAUCCAUUUGCACCCAACUGCUUUACGAUUAGCUGGUAAUGGCAUGAGAUCCCACGUAUGGUUCGCCAGUAAGGCUCGAUAUUCCUCCUGAGUAGCUUUCGUCCAAGCAGGACUCUGAAAAGCCUCUACUAUGGUCAACGGUUCCGUCUCCUGUAAACAUGAAGCAAACACCUUUGGCUUAAAAAUCCCGCUCUUGGCACGAGUCUGCAUGGGAUGUACAUUUAUAUUUUGUGGAACCUCCACACUGGUCUCAUCAACACUUGAAGGAGACCCAUUAGUCUGUGACUCAGCAACUACUAGAGAAAUUCAAGGUGAGUUGGCGGAUGAAAACCCAUGACGGGAAGUCUCAGACGCCAUCCGAUCGGAGCCUACAUGAGAUUGUCCAUGAGAAUUCUCAGAAGGAGACCGAUUGACAACUACAGGAAGUAUGGUCUGGCCAAGUAGAUUUUGUGUAGAGGUAACUGGAGGUCGAGAACAAAACCCAUGCUGAAAAGGAAAGAGUGUCUCAUCAAAACGAACAUGCCGAGACAGAUACACUCGGCCAUCAGCAGCUAAACACCUAUAACCCUUUGUAUUAGGGGCAUUGCCAAGAAAUACGCAAAGUUGUGAUCUGUAUUGUAGCUUGUGCUUUUGAAAAACUCGUAAGUCAGGAAAACACGCACACCCAAAUACUCGAAGUAGGUCAUAGCUUGGCUUAUGUUUGUGAAGUUUUUCAUACAGGCUAACAUUGUGAAGCACGGGAGUCGGUAGUCUAUUCAUCAAAUGAACAGCAUGUGCAAAUGCAAAAUACCAGAAAUUUAAAGGAAUACCAGACUGAACUAGGAGCGACAGGCCCAUGUCGACAACUUGGCGAUGCUUUCUCUCAGCAACCCCAUUUUGCUCCGAAGUGUAUGGACAAGUGACACGAUGUACGACUCCCAAGUGAGAGAGUUCCUUUGUCAGACCACGAUACUCUCCCCGCAGUCCGUUUGCAACAUCUUGACAGAACACCCAAACUGCACUUUGACCAUUUGAUGAAAAUCAAGAAAACAGCGAACCACCUCAGAUUUGUUCUUAAGAAAGUAAAUCCAAGUGUAUCGGCUAUACAUAUCAACAAAAGAAACAUAGUAACAAAAACCAUUUGAUGUCAUACAAGCUGGCCCCCAUACAUCUGAGACCACUAGUUCAAAAGGAAAUGAAUAUACUGUCUUGGAUGGAAAAAAAGGAAUCUUGUGAGCCUUGCCUAGCUGACACGAACAACACAAACUAGGUAAGCUAUUCUGAUCAAAACGAACUUUACAAGACUUUAAUACAUGAACCAACACUUUGGAACAUGGAUGGCCAAGUCGAUUAUGCCAUAAGACAUUCGACGAGAGUUGAACAUUACUGAGCAAACAGGAACCAUGCUUUGAGAGUGAGUGAUUAGAACUGGCAGCAGACUUGGAAAAUUGAAACCAAUAAAGUCCUUCAUGCAUGUGGCCCUCGAGAAGAAUCAUCCCUGUCUGAAUGUCCUUCACAAAACAGAGAAACGGGUGAAACUCAAAAUAAACCCCAUUGUCUUUUGCAAAUUGACCUACAGACAUCAAGUUUUUACACACUGUAGGUACAUGCAAUACAUUCUGAAGAUGUAGGAGCCUGGAACCUGCUAGAACACUAGAGGAUCCUACAUGAUCAAUAGAAACAGGCUUACCAUUCCCCAUGAGAACACGACCAGUACCUGUAUAGGGAAAGACAUUCACAAGAGUUGACCUUUCAGGUGUAAUAUGAUUUGUCGCCCUCGAAUCCGAAUACCAUGUUUGAUCAGAUUGAAUUUUGGUCUGCAAAGACGGUGAUUGUGAACACGACCCUAUGCAUGAACCCAUAGACGAGCAAACUGUAGCCGGAGGAGUGAAGUCACGAGACUGAUGAAAGUUAACCGAUGGAGUUUGACCAUAGAAAUUUUCAUCAAAGCGAUGAUAGCAAUCUUGAACCACAUGUCCAAUCUUUCCACACAGUUGACAUUGGGGUCUGGACCGAGACCAUCCUCGACCACCUCUAGUUCUCCCACGCGACCAUCCUCGACCAGCACCUCAUUGUUUAGAAGAUUGAGAAUAAGUCGACUUGGACCCUUCUCCAGAGCUACCUUGAAACUUAGUCACCAAAUUUGCUUGUACAGAAGUUUCUGUCAACAAUUCUAAGUGUCUUGUUUCACAGUCAAGAAGCAUGUCAGUGAGUAAAUCCAAAGAAAUUGGAGUCGCAGAAGCAAAUACUCGAACUGACUCAUAUUCCAUAGGGAGUCAGAUAAAACAACACUUACUUGUUCUCUUUCCGUUACCUCACUGCCAACUGCUGUUAAACUGUCGGUCAACUUCUUGACUUUGUUCAGAUAUUCUUUAAUGGUUAAAUUAGCUUUCUUGAUAGAAUACAAAGCAUGACGCAAAUUCCCCACCUUAAUAUUCGACGAGGUUCCAAAUCACUUUUCAAUCGUAGUCCAAAGAUCAAAGCUCGUUUUUACUGUUGUGAGAUGAACCAUGAGUUCAUCAGUGACUGUCGAUAGAAGCCACGAGGCUAAAAAUUUGUCCUGCUUCCUAUAAACAAGAAAUGCAGGAUUAUCCAACAUCUGUCCAUCAACUCCUGCAAUAACUGCUGGAGGAGCUGAAACAGUCCCCAACACAAAACCUUCAAGUCCGUACCCUUCAAGAAUGAGUAACAGUUGAUGCUUCCACAGCAAAAAAUUAUGAUCAGCCAAUUUGACUGUAUCAUGUUUAGCAAAAUACUGUACCGUCAACAGUCCACCAUUGUCAAGAUGCGGCGAAUGAAGUCCUUCUUCAGAAUCGGUUGAACAACGUGGAGUCUCUAGUCCAGGAAUUGGAUCCGUGGCCAUGAAGGAAAGCAACAAAGAAAAAAACAACUACAAAACCUUACAAAAAAAAUUUGGCUCUGAUACCAUAUCAGAAUUCUUAUCUCUCUUAAUUUUCCUGAAUGGAAACUUUCUUUUUUUUUUCAGAAAAGUACUCACGUAUUUAAUACAUGUAGGAGAUAGUAACUGACUAACCUCCUGUAACAGAAACUCUAACAGCUAACUAACAGCAGUAACUACUAUUAUUCCUAACAGUGCGAUCCAACGAAACGACCCAUUUGCAGUUGCUUGAAGGGGUUUAAGCCUAGGAAUAGAGAGGAAUGGAGUAGAGGUAAUUGGAGUAGUGGGUGUUUUAGGACUACCCUUUUGCAGUGCCAAAGAGAUAACAACAACGGCAGUGAGGCUGGCCAAGGAGAUGACGGGUUUUUGAAGCUGAAGAUGAUGAAAGUGCCGGCAUUUCCAGACUUGUCAUCGGACGUUACUUAUAGCGAGUGCAAAGAUCAAUGCUUGAAGAAUUGUUCGUGCCUGGCUUAUGCGCAUGAUGAUGGCAUUGGUUGCAUGUUUUGGGGUCGAGAUUUGAUUGACGUGCAGAAAUUCUCCACUAGCGGAGUCGAUCUUUACAUUCGUCUGCCAUCUUCAAAACUUGGUAAACUUGUCUACCAUGUCGACCAUGUGUUUCAAUUAAUCUGCUUUUUUAGUGUUGAAGUUUUAUAAACCAAGUUUCUGGAUUUGCAGAUAAAGUGAAAAGCAAUAAGGUCAUUGUCAUUACUACAGUCAUUGGGGGCAUAGUCGUAAUAGCAAUUUCUGCACUCUUCUUAUGGUGUAGGAUGGCUAAACAAAGAGGUAAUAAAAUGUCCUUUAUUUAUUUAUUUAUUUAUUUAAUUUGUGUAGUCACCUUUAGAAGAGAUUUAUUUAAUUCUAGAUAGAAUAAAACUGGAAUUGGACUGAUCUGAAAUUGCUGCCUGGAAUUCAAGUGAAAUUGAAUUAUAGAAAAAUUCAACUCAAUGCUUCUCUGAUUUCUAUCUUAGGAAGGAAUAAAAUAUGGAGACAGAUUGAAGAUGUUGAAGAAAAUUUAAUUGGAGCUAAACUCCAGCAACUACCACUAUUCAAUUUCGAAGAACUCGCCACCGUGACGGACAACUUCCAUCACAUAAUAAAGCUAGGGCAAGGUGGUUUCGGUCCAGUUUACAGGGUAAUAAUAUGAUGGUGAUUUCCAACGAACCUGAAGUCAGUGAAAUAACUUUUUUUCCCACCAAGUCUUAUGAGCUGAAUUUUGUACAUAGGGAACAUUAGACGAUGGAAAGGAAAUAUCAGUGAAGAGACUGUCGAAAGCUUCGGGGCAAGGAUUGGAAGAAUUUAAGAAUGAAGUGGUGGUGAUUUCUAAGCUCCAACAUCGAAAUCUGGUUAAGUUAUUUGGGUGUUGUGUUGAAGGAGAAGAGAAGAUGCUGGUGUACGAGUAUAUGCCCAACAAAAGUUUGGACUCUUUUCUCUUUGGUUAGUAACUUCUACUAAUCUUUUUUUACCAUUUUCUUUGAGAUUCUUCAAUAUCUAGUAGGCAUAUUGGAUCUUGAUUAAAUUUAGAAUCUAGCUGAAUUAGACUCGAAACAAGAGACAAAGCUUUUUUGAAAUUAUUUUCUUCAUCCACAAGAUUCGAACCUAAAAGGCCAUUUAAGGUGUAUUGAGCUUCUUACCACUUGCUCGUAGAAAAUACAAUGAUGGUUGUAGUUUAGAUCCAUUAUUAUAGGAAUUAGCUAUUAAUCUUGGAGGUCAUACUAUUUAAUUUUUGUUACAGAUCCAGCUAAACAAGAUGUAUUGGAUUGGAGAAAACACUUCAAUAUUAUUGAAGGGAUUAGUUGAGGAUUGCUAUAUCUUCAUAGAGAUUCAAGAUUGAGAAUUAUACAUAGAGAUCUAAAAGCAAGUAAUGUUUUACUUGACCAAGAGUUAAAUCCAAAAAUUUCAGACUUUGGAAUGGCCAGGAUUUUCAAAGCAAAUGAAAAUCAAGCCAACACUAAAAGAGUUGUUGGAACUUAAUAAGUUCAAACAUUUAAUUUUAUUCAUUUUUUGGACAAAACAUGAUAUAGAUAUGUCUAUGGUCGGGUAGACCUUAAACGAGUUUGGCCUAGGUGAUUUGUGGACUCAUUUUACUGUUUUAAAAAACAAAAAUAUUAAAAAGUAUUAUUUAUUAUAAUUUUAUUAUUUAAUUUAAUUCAAAUGGCUAAUGAAUAAGUUUAAGUUAGGGUUGUAAUUAAUGUUGUUUUUAACGUUAAAAUUCAGUGGUUAUAUGUCUUCUGAGUAUGCAAUGCAAGGGCAAUUUUCAGAGAAAUCAGAUGUAUUCAGCUUUGGAGUUCUACUGCUAGAGAUUGUUAGCGGAAGAAGAAACACAAGCUUUUACAACAAUCAAUAUGCUCUUAACCUCUUGGGAUAUGUAAGUACAUAAGAUAUUUUUUAUGCAAUUCCUACCACUAUUUAUAACUCCCCAAACCCUUAAUUUGGAGGAAAAUACACGCUUAAGUGCGAUUAAACCCAUUUUGUCUUGUAUGUUGCAACAUCAACUAUGCCAAUUAAGAGAACUAAAAUGGGGGGGGUUAAGAAGCCAUAUUUGCAAGAUAUUUGGGUUUGGUUCCAGAAAACUUGAAUUCAACUCGGUAAUUGUUGAGUUGAGCUAUCAUGCGAGCUGGAUUCAAGAAUCUUAAUAUUUAAAUAGAGUAGCUUGCAAACUUAAUUGAACUUUUUUCCUUUAAAUUAAUGUUGAAAAUUUUCAGUUCAAACUCGAGCUCAAGUACAAAUAAUCAAGUUUGAAGUUGAGCAUGAAAAUGGAACUCAUUUUAGGCUUAGGUAAAACAAACCUAAUGAAGAGAGUUCAUGUAGUUUGUUAUUUAUAUCAAAUUGAUCCAAUCGAACUCUUUUGAAGCUUUGAGUUCAAAAUUUUGAGUUGAGUUAGGCAGGAUAAUUUAGGCAAAGUUGUUUUCUGUUUUCAGGCAUGGAAACUAUGGAACGAAGGUGAUAUCUGGGGCUUAGUAGACCAGGUUAUUUUAGAGUUGGAAUCAGAUUCAAAGAAUGAGAGAGAAAUAAAGAGAUGCAUACAUGUUGGAUUGCUAUGUGUUCAAGAAUAUGCUAAAGAUAGGCCCACUAUGUCUACAGUUGUUUCAAUACUUAACAGUGAGAUUUCAAAUCUUGACACUCCAAAACAACCUGCUUUCACUCAAACACCACUAAUCACCCAUGAUGUUGAAAAUAAGGUUUCCCUUAAUGAUGUAACUCUUACAAGCUUUGAUGGUAGAUAAAGAUACAAAUGACUUAUUUUUAGAUUUUAGAAAUAAAAUUUAAGUAUUGAAAUUUAUCUUUAUCUAUAUUAUUAUAAUGUAUUUAACUGAGUUAAUAUUAUUCAAUAAUGAAGUCUCGACUCAAUGGUAAAAUUACCAAAAGCUCAAUAUUAUUUUGAUGUUAUUUAUGCCUUUUUAUAUUUUGAUAAAUUUUGAAAUAUACACACUUAUAAGGAGAACCAUUGAGAUUUGAACUCAAAACAUCAUAGUUUUUACUAUUUUAACUUUUAUAUCAAUUUUUCAUACACUUGUUAUAUAAAUAUUUUUUUCAAUUGAGUGUGCCACAAUGUAAUAUAUUUUAUUUUGAUUGUAAUUAUCAAUUUAUUUGUUCGAAUCAAGAGUAAACUUAUUAUUGUACUUUAAAUUUCCUACUUUUGUCUCAAAUUCUAAAAUUUAACCUAACCUGAUUUUAACAUAAAAAUCAACUCAAAUGAAUCCAACCCCAACCCAGAAAUCACCUAAACCUAAUUUUAGAGUCAAAGUUAGAUUCAAAGUAUGAGAAAAGAAUAUAGAUAUACAUGUGCAUCGAGGUCAUUACCAUAGUAUCUUUAACUGAUAGUAUUAAAGCAACACUUGAUUGCUUGAUUUCAUGUUAAACAUCCCAAUGGGUGGGGUAAGUAUUUUAUAAUUAAUGCUAUCUGAAAUCAUAUUUAAUUUGAUUCUACACCUAUUUAUGGAUUGUACUAUUAAUUUAAUCUGACAAUAUCAGUCUGGUUUUGGAAAUAAAUUAUAUAUUUUUUAAAUUUAAUAAAAAUAAUAUGCUAAUAUUGAAUUUUUUAAUAUUUCAUUAUUAUUAUUAAUUAAUUAAUGGGGUUAUGAAAAUGUACCAAUAAAUUGAAUUUUUUUUAUAACAUUAAGAUAUGUACAACUUAUCAAGUAAAUAUCUCUAAAAGAGCAACAAAAUUAACAAUAAAACAAGAGUUAUACAAUAUCUAAAACAAAAACAACAAAACAAUAAUAAUAUAAUAGCAAAAAAACAGCAAAUCAAUGACAAAACAACAACAUUUUUUUUUUACAAAUUCGGGUUGGGUCAAAAAAUCUUACUCUAGACCCUACCCAUCUAGAAAACGAGCCUAAUGUUUUUUUUCAAAAUCUAUUUUUCAAACCUAUAAUUUUACUCAAACCCUUCUACUUCUCAUAUGGGCCUCCGAACUGAAUCAAGCAUGAUAGUUGAUUUUGUUGGUACGCCAAUGGAAAUAAAAUGGCACUUGAUGCUUCUAAUUAUGUAUGGAAGCAUUGGAAAUAAAAAAAUUCCCGAAAAUCAAAAGGAGACUUCGUAUCAAACCAUACAAUGGAUAUUGUAAUUUUGAUGUGAGCAUUUGCAGCUGCCACUGAACUUCAUUACAAAUCGAUGUACAAUCAAACAACAACAAAAAUGUAAAAAUAGAAUAUAUUAAAGUAGCCUGGUUAAAGAUGUUUUUAAUGCUAUCUCAAUUUAAUCUCUACAUUUUAAGGGGUUUGAUUAUUUGAUUUGAUCCAAUCUAAUUUUCAAUAUAAAUAUAGACAAGUUUAUUCAAAUGAAAUGUCAAUGUAUCACUAUUUAAGGCGAGUUAGCAAAUCAUUGCACAAGGCCAUCUAUUGAUCUCAAGUCUACUGGAUGAUUCUUAUCCUUGCUCAAUGCUUAGCCAUGACUUGAUUGCGAGAGUCAAUCGAAGUAUUGAGAUGAUGAAUCAUCCUUUUGUUGAACCCUACUGAAUUAUUUGAAAGGCCUGCUGUAAUGGGCACUUUAGGAGCCACUUGGGUAGUCUUAGCAUUGGGAUGAUCUGUAGGGUUAUUGAAUGUGUGCUUUCCAUUGAGUCAUUUUGGUGAAAAUUUGAGCUCAACGAUAGCUCUCUUAAGAUGUUCAGUGGCUCAAAGAAGUCUUUGAUUUUGCUUCGCAAGUAACCGAGAAAUCAAACUAACAUAAUUGAACUCUCCCUAUUAUUUACCAUUAUAAAAAUUAUUUAUCAAGUGCUCGUCCAAUGAUCUUAUUAUAUCAUGUAAUCAUUAUAUCAUGAAAAAGUUAAUUACUAACAAAUAGUAAUUAAAUCAUUCGUAUUUGGAUAAAUGACUCGUGAACUCGUUACUUUUCUAUCUAUCGUGUCAUGUCGAUUAGAUGAUAUAUAUUAUUUACCCUUUUAAGCUAUUAAUUUUGCUAUUGUAGGUGAAUUUAUCAUGCAGAAGUCAUAUACCCAACAUACCUAUUUUUUAUUUUAUUACUAAAUGAAAUCAAUUUUUUUAUACAUUAAUGUAUAGAGUCACGCACACAUAAUUCGUCACUUACUUAAAAUUGAAGUAUGCCACAUUAUAAAAGUUACAAUGAAUAAAUUCAUAUCAAAUUUUUUAUACAUUAAAGUAUAUAGUCACGCACACAUAAUUCGUCACUUACUUAAAAUUGAAGUAUGCCACAUUAUAAAAGUUACAAUGAAUAAAUUCAUAAACGAAUCUAAAAUUUAUUAUUACCAAAAUUUACAAAAAAGUUUUAUUAUGACCGGUUAGCACAAAUUCAGACAAUACUCAAAAACUGCUUCACACAAUCCUUAAAAUCUCAAAUAUCAUUCAUAAAUCAUAGCGUCACUUCAAGUUCUGCUCUUAAAAGAAAUUCAGAAAACAAAGUCAUGGGAAAAACUAUUAGCUGCUCUGUUUUACUAGCUUUAAUAUCUUGCUUUUACUUACUAUUUGCCACUGCUUUAGACACCAUAACACCAUCAAAAUCCAUCAAAGACCCUGAAUUUGUAAUCUCCCAGAAUGGUGUUUUCCAAUUGGGAUUCUUCAGCUUGGCUAACUCCAGCAAUCGUUAUGUAGGGAUACUCCACAAUCAAAUCCCCGUACAAACUGUUGUAUGGGUAGCAAAUAGAAACAGACCUCUCAAAGACUCUUCUGGGAUUCUCAACAUAUCAGAUGAUGGCAACCUUGUUGUUUCCAAUGGAAAAGCUGAGGUUCUAUGGUCAUCACAUGUUACCAAUACAGCUCCUAAUGCAACAACUGCCCAGAUUUUAGACUCUGGAAACCUUGUCCUUAAUAAUGGUGAGGAUGGAGCAAGGAGCUUAUGGGAGAGUUUUGAAGAUCCUUCUAAUGCCUUCAAACUAUGAAGAUCAGCACUGAUGUUAAAAAGGGUCGAAAAGUGGAGAUCAAAUCAUGGAAAGCCCUGAUGAUCCAUCUGAUGGUAACUUUUCUCUUGGUAUUGAACCUUUCAAUAUCCUAGAGGUCGUCAUUUGGAACAAUAAUGAGCUCUAUUUUCGGAGUGAACCAUGGAAUGGGAAUAUGUUUCUUGGCUUAAUGCUUCCGACCACCGUUGAUAUUGAUGGGUUUUCUGUUGUUGCAGAUAAUCAACAACAAACGUUUUACAUGGCUUAUGAAUUUUCUAGUGACUCUAUGUUGAUAUACUUUAAAUUAGAUUCUCAAGGAAAAUUCAUUGAAUGGAGAUGGGAUGCGGGGAAAGGGAACUGGACAAACAGGUACUCUAUUUAUCUUACAGAUUGUGAUGUUUAUGGGAAGUGUGGGGCAUUUGGGAUAUUCGAUUCAACGAAACGACCCAUUUGCAGUUGCUUAGAAGGGUUUAAGGCUAGGAAUAUAGAGGAAUGGAGUAGAGGUAAUUGGAGCAGUGUUUUAGGACUACCCCUUUGCAGUGCCAAAGGGAUAACAAAAAUGGGAGUGGAGCAGGCCAAGGUGAUGAUGGAUUUUUGGAGAUGAAGAUGAUGAAAGUACCAGCAUUUCCGGACCGGUCAUCAAUAAUUAACAGGGACUGCAAAGAUCAAUGCGUGGAUUUCGUGGGCUAGAUUAAGUUUUUGCUAAUUCAAUAGAGCUUUUUGGGCCUUUGAAGGGAGUUAGAGAUGAUGGACCUAAAGGGACCCUUCGUGGGCAGAUCAAAGAAAUAAGGGCAGAACGUGUGAAGCCCAAGUUGAAAAAUGAAAUACCACAUUCAAGCUUCAUUUUUUUACUAAAUGCGCUCAUUAAUGUUUUCCAUGUCAUAAAUUAAAAAAUAAACUACUUAGUUGAUCAUUCAACUUUUAAGGUACUUUCAUUUUAGUCACCUAAAAUGAAAUCUUUACAAUUUCUUUAUUCAAAUUUUAGGACGCUUUUAUUUUAAUCAUUCAAUCGUUAAAUCUUUAACGGCUGUUAAUUGUACACGCCAUAUCAUGUUCGCACUUUUAUUUUGGUCAUCUAACUUCUAAGUCGUUUUCAUUUGGAUUAACUCAAAAAAUACGUUUUUUAAAGUAUUGGUUGAAGUAAAAAAAAUUAAGAAUUAAAGUGAAAAAGUAGUAUAAACUAAAAUAAUGCAUUAAAAAGUGUCAAAUAGUACUUGUUUAUCACAUUGCCAAAAUUUCUAAAAAAAAUUCAAUAUUAAAAUUUAAAAUUUCAAAACAUAAAAAUUAGUUAAAUAACUUAUUGAAAUUAGUUGUAAGGUUUUAGUUUAUUAUGAAAGACUCGGUAUCAUAUAAUUAAAAGAAAUUUGAAUUUCAUGUAUAAUUAUUAAAUAUGAUCUAUUUGAGUUUAUUUUAAUUUGAAAAUAUAAAAUAAAAUAUUAAAAUUUAAAAGGAGAUUAAAUUAAUUAAAUUAAUUAAUUUCAAUAUUAUAAUAAUAAAUGAGUUGACGUAUCAAAUUUUUUUUUAGUUUUUAUUAGUAAUUUUUCAGUACUGGAUAAUUACAUUGGACCUCAAUUAAGUUUAGGGCAAAAUUAAGUUGAACUCUAAAAGAGAGGCAAAGUUCUUUAAGAACUAGUAGAUCUUGAAUAUAAUUUUUAAAAAAGGUUACGCAAAGAAAAGCACUAACUUAUGCCACAAAGUAUACUGUAAUUGGUAAGAGACCUUUUUUUUCCUUAACAAGACUCGGUCAUUGCUAAAAUAAUUUUGAAAAAAAGGAAUGUGCUUCAUUAGUCAAAGUUAUUCAAAUGAAAGAUUCUAAAUUCAUCGGUUUGACAAAAGCUACCUAUAUUAGUCAAAGUUAUUUAAAUGUCGUCUUGGUCUGUAACUUCUGGAAGUUCUAACCUCAAUAAAUUUUAUCAAUAGUUUUUAAUUACUAAAUUAAUUACGAAAAAUUAUCUAGUGAUUCAAUUUGCUCAUUCAAAAUGAAAUUUUUAUAAUUCCGUUAUUCAAUUUUUAGGGUGGUUUAUUUUAGUCACUAAAUUAUUAAAUUUUUAACGGUGGUUAACUGUACAUACUAUAUCAUAUUCACUUUUUUAUUUUGAUCACUUAAAUUCUAAAUCGUUUUCAUUUUGAUCAUUUAAAAAACAUAUUUUCCAAGUAUUGAUCGGCGUAAAAAUUGCUAAGGAGUAAAGUGAAAAAGUAGUAGAAACUAAAAUAAUACUUUAAAAAAUUUAAAUAACUUAUUUAAUUAAUUUUGAUGUUUUGAAAUUUAAAAUUUCAAUAUUAAAAAAAAUACAACUUACGCUAAGAGAUAAGUAAACACAAUUGUAUUUGUGUGAACAUGGUGGCACAUGAGUUGAUUUUUUGGUACUCCAAUGGAAGAAAGAGCCAACAAAAAUAUAGAAAAUUAAGAGUAAUUGACACUUCCAGAAAAUUUCCGUAAGUCAAAAUGAGAUUACCUAUAUACAAAGAAAAUUGAGAUGUAGAUCACUAGAUGUAAACAUUUGAGGCUGCCAUGAAACAUCAUUCCACCAUAUCAAAAUCAGACCCUAAAAAAGAGUCAAUUUCUGUAGAAGGUCCCUACCCAAUUUAUAUUUUUUGAAUUUAGUCCUUUCAUAUAAUUAGGUAUUUUUAAUCUCUCGCUUUUUAUAAAUUACAAAUUCAAUUGAAAGAGAUGGACACAAAAAUUGGUUAUACAAAUUUAAAAACUUUUUUAUGUCUAUGAGACUUUAUCCAAAAUUUAAUUUAUUAUCAAUAUGCGGUGUAAGAUGUGAUUUAAGUUCAACUUUCUCACCAAAUUGUAACAUUGCUCCUAUAUAUCAAUAUAAGAUCAUUUUCUCCCACUAAGACUUUCCCUUGAAAUCUUAGCUACAAACUGAAAAAAAAAAUGGUUUACAAUAAAUUUACAUUAAGAAUUUCCUAACAAUGAAUAGACAAGUGCUCUCUCAUAAUCGUCUAUAAUGAGACAAACAAGUCUUCUUUAGAUAAGCAUUAAUGCCUAGUAAUUCUUCAAUUGGUGGGAACAUAUAUAUUCCCUUGAAUUGUUCUCGAAUAAAUUUUCAAUAAGGAAUCAAAAUAUGUAAAGAUUUUUGAGGAAUAAACUUCUAUUUCUAUAAAAAAAAACCAGAUCUCUCUGUAGCACAAAUAGCAUAAAGUCUUUAAAUAGAGCAAUUGCUUGACUGAAUUUCGUCAUGAUCCAUUCCGUUAAAUUGUCGCUUAAAGUCUUCAAUAUGAUGUAAGAAUUAAAUAAAGAUUUUUCAAUAAAAAAUAUGCCAACAUAUAUAUGGUAGGUUGUACAACUUUCCGAUUGCACCUUAUUUUCAAUAUUGACAAUCAACUUUUUUCAUUAAUUCUGUCAAAAUAAUUUAGUAUGAUUAAAUACAUAUUUUGAAAACCAAAGAAAUUGAAAAAAAAAUAUUGUAGGGACUAAAUCUUCCAAAAAUGUAAAAAUACAGGGACCUUAUAUACUAUUUGACCUUUAUUAAUAUCAUUCAUAAAUCAUAGAAUCACUUCCAAGUUCUGCACCAGUUACACGGUCAUGGGGAAAACUAUUAGCUGCUCUGUUUUAGUAGCUUUAAUAUCUUGUUUUUACUUACAGCUGCAAUUUGGCACUGCUUCGCACACUAUAACAGCAUCAAAAUCCAUCAAAGACCCUGAUGUUAUAAUCUCCCAGAAUGGUGUUUUCCGAUUGGGAUUCUUCAGCUUGGCUAACUCCAGCAAUCGUUAUGUAGGGAUAUUGUACCAUCAAAUCCCCCUACAAACUGUUGUAUGGGUGGCAAAUAGAAACAGGCCUCUCAAAGACUUUUCUGGGAUUCUUACCAUAUCAGGUGAUGGCAACCUUGUUGUUUCCAAUGGAAAAGCUGAGAUUCUUUGGUCAACAAAUGUUACGAAUUUGGUUCCUAAUGCAACAACUGCACAGCUUUUAGACUCUGGAAACCUUGUCCUCAAUAACGGUGAGAAUGGAGGAAGCAGCAUCUAAUGGGAGAGUUUUCAACACCCUUCUAAUGUAUUCCUUCAAACUAUGAAGAUCAGCACUGAUGUAAAAACGGGUCGUAAGGUGCAGACGAGAUCAUAGAAAAGCCCUGAUGAUCCAUCUGAUGGCAACUUUUUUCAAGGCAUUGAACCUUUCAGCAUCCCGGAGGUUGUCAUUUGGAACAAUAACCAGAUAUAUUUUCGGACCGGCCCAUGUAAUGGUCGUAUCUAUAUUGGUUUAAUACAUAUUAAUAGAGUUUAUUUUGAUGGGUUUUAUGUGGUUGCAGAUGAUGUAGAAAAAACUUAUUACGAAACUUACGAAUAUUCUACUGACUCUAGGUUGAUAUACUAUGAAUUAGAGUCUGAAGGAAGAUUCGUUGAACGAAUAUGGGACGCGGGGAAAGGGGACUGGAUAAACGGGUACUCCAGUUAUCUAACAGAUUGUGAUUUUGUUGGUGCUGUAACUGAAACUAACAGAUUCAGUACAGACUUGUCGAGCAAGUCUCGAGACUUGCUGAGCAAACAAGAGAAUUCGAGCAAGAGAAAGGAAGAAAAGCUAAGAGAAAAUGAAGAGAAAAAUUGAUGAACAAACUGAACUUCAUUCAUAAAUUGCAUAAUGGCACAAUGCCAAUACAUAAACCAGGCACUAAGCUUGUCAAAAAUAGUAAGUAAUUACCUAAACAUCACCUACCUCCACUAAUGACAUGGAAACUUGAAAUUUUGGCUUGUAAACUUAUACAAAGUUGUGUUUACAGCUCAUACAUAAGCUAAUUACAUCAGUCAACAACCUAACUUAGUUAGAAAUGAACUAAGAUUACAUUUCAUUGACUAGGAAUUACAAAAUAAACAAAAUAAGCUUGCAUCAGCAGCUCCUGCAUGUCUUGGUCUUCAUGGCCUGCAUGCUGUCGAGUUUGCUGCAUGCUGAACCAACUUCAUCACUCCUCCUUGGUUUGCAUGGAGCAAACACCUAGCUUCUUUCUUAGACAUUCGAACCUUGUGACACUAAGGGCUUUGGUUAAAAUGUCUGCAAGUUGAUCCUCUGAAUUACAGUGGAUCAGCUUUACUUCCUGAGCUUGCUCCAUUUCUCGAACAACAUGCAACUUGAUGCUGAAAUGUUUUGUUCUUCCAUGGAACACUGGAUUUUUAGCAAUUGCUACUGCAGAUUGGUUGUCACAGAAGAUCUCAGUAGCUUCCUCUUGAUGCACAUUCAAGUCAGCCAAUAUUUUCCUUAGCCAUAUGGCUUGGUUGACAGCACUUGCUGUUGCCACAUACUCUGCUUCAGCAGUAGAUUGAGCUACUAGACUUUGCUUCUUUGAGCUCCAGCAAAACAUGGCUUAACCAAGGUUAAAAGCAUACCCUGAGGUACUUUUCAUGUCAUCUAUCGAGCAGCCCAGUCACUAUCAGUGUAGCCAACCAGCUUCAGAUUUCCUUCUUUGCUGUACUUCAAACCAUAGUUUAAAGUGCCUUUGACAUAUCUCAGCACUCUCUUUGCAGCUUGGAAAUGCUUCUCAUUGCAGCAAUGCAAGAACCUUGAGAGCAAUCCUACAGCAUACAUGAUGUCUGGUCUAGUGGCAGUCAAGUAUAGCAAGCAACCAACUAGACUCCUGUAGGUUGUUUCACAUACUUUCUCAAAAUCACCUUGGCUCGAUAGUUUUUCUCCAACAGCAACAGGUGUUUUAGUUGCCUUGCUGUUUUGCAUGGAGAACUUGGUCAGAAUCUUUGUGGCAAAGCUUCUCUGGCUUAGAAAUAUCUCAUUCUGUACUUGAGACACCUCCAUUCCAAGAAAAUAGGACAUCUCCCCAAGAUCAGACAUUUCAAACACUUUCUGCAACUUGGUCUUGAAAUCAGCCAGCACUACUCGAUCUCCUCCUGUCACCAGAAGGUCAUCAACAUACAGGGACACAAUGAGUUGUAUUUGUGUCCCUUGUUUCUUGACAUACAGUGUUGGCUCACUCUUGCUUCGAUCGAAUCCCAGAUCAGUCAAGUAGCCAUCGAUUCUGCUAUACCAAGCCCUUUGAGCCUGUUUUAAUCUAUAUAGGGCUUUCUUCAGUUUGUAGACCAUAUGCUCUCUGCUAGCUAUUUCAAACCCUUGUGGUUGUUCAACAUAGAUGUCUUCAUCUAAGAAACCAUUCAGAAAGGCUGAUUUCACAUCAAGUUGAUGGAUCUUCCAUUCAAGCUGUGCUGCUAAGGCAAUCAGCAGUCUGAUGGUGUCGAGCCUGGCCACUGGUGCAAGGUCUCCAGGUAAUCGAAGCCAUACCUCUGACUGAACCCCUUGACAACUAGCCUUGCUUUCAGCUUGUUCAAGGUACCAUUAGCAUUCUGCUUGGCUUUGUACACCCAUUUCACCCCAAUCACCUUCCUUUUGACUGGCCUUUCAACCAAUUCCCAGGUCUGGUUCUUCUCAAUCAUGCUGAUCUCCUCAGCCAUUGCCUGCUUCCACCCUUGCUGAGCCUCAGCCUCUUCAAAGUUGCUUGUUCCAGCUAUGGCUACAUGAGCCCUUUCAUAAAUCUCAGCCAAUGGCCUUGUUCCUCUGACUGGUUCAUCAUCAAUAUCCAUUUCAGGGACAUUUUGGUCUGGCUCAGCUUGGUCUGCUUGGUCUGCUGCAAGUUCUUCAGAAACUUCUUCAGGUUCAUGUCUUUCCCAGUUCCAACAUGACCUCUCAUCAAAUACCACGUCCCUGCUUACUGACACUUUGUUUGUUGAAGGAUCUAAAAUCCUAUAGCCCUUCUUAACAGUGCUAUAGCCCACCAAAACACUAGGUCGAGCCCUUUCAGACAAUUUGUCCCUUUUAACAGCAGGUACAUGUGCAUAACAGAUGCAUCCAAAGACCUUCAGAUAAGCCAGUGAUGGCUUGAAGCUAAACCAGGCCUCAAAUGGGGUCUUUUGAUCCAAAGCCUUGGUUGGAAGUCUAUUUUGAAUGUAUGUUGCAGUGUUAACUGCUUCUGCCCAUAGUGCUUUAGGCAGAUUCUUCUGAAUCAUCAAGCACUUGGCCAUAUCCAUCAAACUCCUAUUCUUCCUUUCACUUACCCCAUUCUGCUGAGGUGUAUAUGUGUUGGUAAGUUGAUGUUUGAUGCCUGCCUUAUCACAGAAGGCUUGGAACUGAGCUGAGGUGUACUCAGUCCCAUUAUCAGACCUUAUGGUCUUCACCUUGCAGCCUGUUUCAGUGUCAGCAGCAGUUUUGAACUUCCAAAACACAGUGGUCACCUCUGAUUUCUGUUUUAAGAAGUAAAUCCAGCAAUAUCUUGAGAAAUCAUCAAUGAACAGUAUGAAAUACCUGUUUCCACUUAAUGACUCAGUCUUCAUAGGGCCACACACAUCAGUAUGCACCAGUUGGAGUUUUUCAGAGGCUCUCUAGGCUUGAUUCGAGGGAAAUGGGAGUCUGGCCUGCUUUCCUAGCUGACAUACUUCACAUACAUCAUCAUGGUCCACUGAGUUGAUGAAGUUUUCAGCCAGGUCUUCUCUGAUCAUUCGGGCCAUCGAUAUGAAGUUGGCAUGUCCCAGUCUUUGAUGCCACAGCUUAGAUUCAUCUGAAGUGGCUGUGUAGGCAAUGUCUGACUUCUUUGUCCAGUCAACCACAAAGCUCUUAUCAGCCAUGGGGACUGCCAUCAGUUUGGAUCCACUUGGAUCACUGAUUUGGCACUGGUGGUCUUUAAACACAACUGAAUAACCUUUUUCCAGCAACUGAGCUAUGCUGAGCAGGUUUCUGUCAAUUUCAGGCACCAACAGCACAUUUGAAAUCACUUUGGUACCUGUAAGGGUGCAUAUCAGCACAUCACCCUUGCCUUCAGCUUGAAUAAAAUGACUAUUUCCUAUCUUGACUUUAGUUCUGCAGCUUCUAUCUAAAGACUUGAAGAUUGCAGCAUCAGGUGUCAUGUGGUUGGUGCAUCCACUGUCUAGGAGCCAACCAGAUGAGGACCUUUCCUGAGCAGCUGAGCAUGACACAGCAAAGACUUGCUCCUCUUGGUCACUGUCCUCCUUAGCUACUCAAGCCUCAGCUUUCAUCUGUUGAAACUAAUUGUGCCUUGAUUUGGCCUUGCUCUUACAGACUCUCUCAACAUGACCCUUCUUCUUACAAUGCUGACACACAGCAUCUGGAUUGAACCAGCAUUUUUCUUCUGAAUGACCAGCCUUUCUGCAGUGCUUGCAAGUCUGACCUUCUCUCCUUGCAGCAUCAUUCUUUGGCUUGUCUCUCCAGGCCUUUUUGCCUUUGUAGGCAGUAUUUGUUCUUGCCUGAAAGGCACCUUCUUGGUGCUCCUCCAGUCUGCUUGCUCUCCUCUGCUCUUGAGCAUAUAGAGCAUUGAUCAACUCUGUCAGGGAGAUGGUGGACAGGUCCCUUGAGUCCUCGAGAGAUGAUAUUUUUGCCUCAUACCUCUCAGGCAGAGUUGCUAUAACCUUCUCCACUAUCCUAGCUUCAUUGAACUGCUCUCCUAAGAGCCUGAUGCUGUUAACCACAGCCAUAAUCCUGUCAGAAUAUUGCUUGACAAUUUCUUCUUCCUUCAUCUUCAAAUUCUCUAAAUCUCUCCUCAAGUUCAACAACUGUUACUGCCUUGUCCUCACUAUCCCUUGAAACUCUUCCUGCAACUUGUCUCAGGCCUGUUUUGGUGAUUCACAGGCCAUAAUCCUUGUGAAAAUCACAUCAGACACUGAGUUUUGGAUGCAAGACAUAGCCUUGUGCCUCUUGGUCCUUUCAUCAGCAUGCUGCCUGAUCUGAGCCACUGUUGGAUUAGCUCUAAGUGGCUCUGGUUCAACAUCAGAGUUGACCACCUCCCACAGAUCGAAAGCCUGCAGGUAGGUCUUCAUUUUGACCACCCAUAUGUGAUAGCCUUCUCCAUUGAAGACUUGAGGUGCAGCUGGUGAAAAGCUUGAUGAAGCCAUGGAUUUGUGUAACAGAUCCCUUAAGAAAUAGGCUCUAGAUACCAAUUGUUGGUGCUGUAACUGAAACUAACAGAUUUAGUACAGACUUGUCGAGCAAGUCUCGAGACUUGCUGAGCAAACAAGAGAAUUCGAGCAAGAGAAAGGAAGAAAAGCUAAGAGAAAAUGAAGAGAAAAAUUGAUGAACAAACUGAACUUCAUUCAUAAAUUGCAUAAUGGCACAAUGCCAAUACAUAAACCAGGCACUAAGCUUGUCAAAAACAGUAAGUAAUUACCUAAACAUCACCUACCUCCACUAAUGACAUGGAAACUUGAAAUUUUGGCUUGUAAACUUAUACAAAGUUGUGUUUACAGCUCAUACAUAAGCUAAUUACAUCAGUCAACAACCUAACUUAGUUAGAAAUGAACUAAGAUUACAUUUCAUUGAUUAGGAAUUACAAAAUAAACAAAAUAAGCUUGCAUCAGCAGCUCCUGCAUGUCUUGGUCUUCAUGGCCUGCAUGCUGUCGAGUUUGCUGCAUGCUGAACCAACUUCAUCAGAUUUUUAUGGAAAGUGUGGGGCAUUUGGAAUCUGCGAUUCAACGAAACGACCCAUUUGCAGUUGUUUGAAAUGAUUUAAGCCUAGGAAUAUAGAGGAAUGGAGUAGAGGUAAUUGGAGUAGUGGGUGUUUUAGGACUACCCCUUUGCACUGCCAAAGAUAUGACAACAAUGGAAGUGAAGCAGGCCAAGGAGAUGAUGGGUUUUUAAAGCUGAAGAAGAUGAAAGUGCCAGCAUUUCCAGACCAGUCAUCAAUAACUAACGGCGAAUGCAAAGAUCAAUGCAUAAAGAAUUGUUCGUGCGUGGCUUAUGCGUAUGAUGCUGGCAUUGGUUGCAUGUUAUGGAGUGGAGAUUUGAUUGAUGUCCAGAAAUUCUCUAAUCGGGGAGUCGAUCUUUACAUUCGUCUGCCAUCGUCGGAACUUGGUAAACUUGUCUUCCAUAUCGACCAUGUGUGUGGCGAAUUGCAUCAAUUAAUCUUCAUUUUUGGUAUAGAUGUUUUAUUAACCAUGUUUCUGGAUUUGCAGAUAAAGGGAAUAGUGAGAUAAUUGUUAUUACAACAGUAAUUUCAGGCAUGGUGGUGAUUAUAAUAAUUUCUGCACUCUUCUUAUUGCGUAGAAUGGGUCAACAAAGAGGUAAAAUGUCCAUCUUUAUUUAUUUAAUCUUUGUAGUCACUUUCUUUUAAGAAAUAUUAUGUAAAUUCUUUAAGAGUUUACUUAGGGUAAAAUUGGAUUUAAAGGGUUUACUUAGGGUAAAAUUGGAUUUAAAGUUAUUUUUUACUCGAUUUAAAUUCAAAUUUUAGAUAAAAUAAAAUUAGAAUAGAAUUGAGUCGAACUGGAAUACAGACAAAAGCUCUAAACUUGAUUGAGUACUAUUAUAAAAGUUCAAGGUCGAAUUCAAGUGAAAUUAAAUUUUAUAUAUAUUCAAGGUUGAAUUCGCACCCAUUUUAGAUAUAUUUUUAUAUUUAAAUAACGUGGACCAUGUGUUAGAUAAAUUGGGUGAAUUAAUUUGCAAUUUUUUUGGGUCGAAGUUUCAUAAACCAAGUUUCUGGAUUUGCAGAUAAAGGGAAAAGUAGUAAGGUCGUCUUUGUUUUUACAACAGUAACUGUGGGCAAUUAUGUAGCCUUCAACUUAGAGGUGCUCAUGGGCCGGGCCGGGUCGGGUUUAGGCCAGCCUAUAAAAAAUUUAGCCCGGGUCCUAGGCCCGGGCCCGGUCUGAAAUAUGGGCCUGAAAUUUUGCCCAGGCCCAGCCCGGGAAAAAAUUAUAAGCACGGGCCUGGCCUGGCCCAUUUUUAAAAUAAUUACUAAAAAUUUAUUUAAAAAUUUUUAAAAUUAAAAAAAGUAUCUUAAAAAUAUUUUAAAAUUAUAAAAAUUAAAAAAAUAAAUAUAUAUAAUAUCGGGCCGGGCCGGACUGGGCCUGGGUCAAAAAAGUUGUGCCCGAGGCCCAGCUCGUUUUCUAAACGGGCCUCAUUUUUUGCCCAAGCCCAUAUUUUGGGCCUAUAUUUUUACCCAAACCCUCCCAUAUUUUGGGCGGGCCGUCGGGCCGGGUCGGGCCGCCCGACCCAUGAGCACCUCUACUUCUAACUCAUGGCUUCUUUGAUUUCCAUCACAGGAAGUAAUAAAAGGCGGGCACAGAUCAAAGGCAAAUUUCAUAGUGAAAAUAUGGGAGAAAGUUCAAUCGGUGUUAAACUCCAGCAGCUUCCACUAUUCAAUUUCGAAGAACUUGCCACCGCGACCAACAACUUCCAUCCCCAAAAAAAGCUAGGGCAGGGUGGUUUUGGUCCGGUUUACAAGGUAAUAUAUAAUAGCGAUUUCCGGUUGUUAGGAUAAUCAUCACCGGCCUAAAGCCGGAUUGUAAUGAGCUCGCAGGCCAGGCUCGUUAGUCGAGAACUUUGUAAGAAAGCAAGUUCAACAUGCGAGCUCACUACAAUCUGACCUAAACCCAUUCAAAUUUUGAACUGAUGAUAAUAAUUAUCCUAAAACUGGUGAAUCUAGAGUCAAUGAAAUGACAAUUUUUUUUAAUCAAGUAUUGUAGUCUGAAUUUUGAGUGCAGGGAACAUUGGAUGAUGGAAAGGAAAUAGCAGUGAAGAGAUUGUCGAAAGCUUCGGGGCAAGGUUUGGAAGAAUUUAUGAAUGAAGUGGUGGUUAUUUCUAAGCUCCAACAUCGAAAUCUGGUAAAAUUGUUUGGGUGUUGUGUGGAAGCAGAAGAGAAGAUGCUCGUCUACGAGUUUAUGCCCAACAAAAGUUUGGAUUCUUUUCUAUUCGGUUAGUAAUUUAUUCAAAUUUUGUAUGAUAUUUUCGGUCUCUAAUCAAAUUCAUAAUUCAGUUGAGUAGGAUCCCUUGAAAAAAUAAUGUUCUCCCAUAGAUGUUUUUUCUGUUCACAAAAUUUAAAUUUAGGUGUAGUGAUAUUUUGAUUCUCUUCACCGUUUAAUAUUUAUUUCAAUUUAUUGAAACAACUUCAAUUAUGUCUACAAUCAUAAUGAAUACAAUAUGGUAGAAAUACAAUUGUAGUUUAGAUCCUCAAUUAUAGGAAUUCAUUAUUAAUUUAGUAGGUUCUUAUGUUUAAAUUUUGUUAUAGAUCCCGUUAAACAAAAACUUUUGGAUUGGAGAAAACGCUUUAAUAUUAUUGAAGGGAUCAGUCGAGGAUUGCUUUAUCUUCAUAGAGAUUCAAGAUUGAAAAUUAUACACAGAGAUCUAAAAGCAAGUAAUGUUUUACUUGACCAAGAGCUAAACCCAAAAAUUUCAGAUUUUGGGAUAGCCAGGAUCUUCGGAGGUGACGAAAAUCAAGCCAACACUAAAAGGGUUGUUGGAACUUAGUAAGUUGGAACUUCCUUCCUACCAUUUCUUUUUAUGCUCUUUUUAAUAAAAUAUGGUAUAAAUAUAUCUAUGGUCAGAUUUAGUGCUUAAAGAUGAUACAUGUACAUACUUGUAUCGAGUUAAUUUUGUUCAAUUUGUGGACUCAAUUUAUUGUUUUUAAUUUUAUAAAUAAAAUAUUAAAAACAUAUUUUUAUUUUUUUUAUAGUUAACUUUAAAUUAUUUAUUAUUUAUUCUUAAUUCAGGUUGGCUCGUGGACAAGUUUAAAUAAGAGUUGUAAUUGGUGCUGUUUUUUAUGUUAAAUACAGUGGUUAUAUGUCUCCUGAAUAUGUAAUGCAUGGGCGAUUUUCAGAGAAAUCUGACGUGUUCAGCUACAGAGUUCUACUAUUGGAGAUUGUUAGUGGAAGAAGAAACAAAAGCUUUUACAACAAGGAUGACCUUAGCCUCUUGGGAUAUAUGUAAGUUUAUAAAAUAGUUAGAGAUGUUGUGGAUGAAAUUAGGGUGUAAGAUUUUGUAUUUGCGAGCUAUUCGGGUUCGGUUUGAAAAAACUUGAAUUUAGCUCUGUAAUUAUUGAGUUAAGCGAUCAUGUGAAUUGAAUUUGAGCAUCUUAAUACUUGAAUUGAGUAGCUUGCAAGUGAAUUUCAAGAACCCUAAUACUUGAAUUGCGUAGCUUGCAAUGGUUUUCAAUCUUUAAUCAAUAUUGAAAAUUUUCAGUUCAAACUUGAGCUUAAUUACAAGUAAUCAAGUUUGAAGUUAUACAUAGGAGUGAAGCUCAUUGUAGACUUAGGUAAAACAAGCAGAGUUAAAACACUUCAAUUAAUUCUAUUAAAGCUUUAAGGGUAAAAAUUUGAGUCAAGUUAAGCCAAAUGAUUUAGGCAUUAAUUUAGAUAAUAUUGUUUACUGUUUCAGGUCUGGAAAUUAUGGAAUGAAGGCAACAUUUGGGACUUAGUAGACAAGGUGAUUUCAAAGUCGGAAUCAGAUUUAAAGAAUAAGAAAGAAAUAUGGAGAUGCAUACAUGUUGGAUUGCUAUGCGUUCAAGAAUAUGCUAAAGAUAGACCCACUAUGUCUACUAUUGUUUCAAUGCUUAACAGUGAGAUUUCAGAUCUUAACACUCCAAAACAACCUGCUUUCACUCAAGCACUAUUAAUUAGCGAUGAUUUUGAAGAUUGUGUUUCAUUUAAUGAUGUAACUCUGACGGGCUUUGAUGGUCGAUAAAGAUACAAAUUAAUUAUUUGUAGUGUUUACAAUUAAAGUUCAAGCAGUAAAAUUUUUUUUUAUAUUAUGUUUUGAUAUGUUUUUAUCAUUUUAUUUUGAUCAUAAUUUGUCAUUUUAUUUUUUUCAUUCUAGAGUGAAUUUACCAUUAUAUUUAAACAUGGUAGCUUUGUCCCAAACUUGAAAAUUCGAUUUUAUCAAAUCCAAACUUAAACUUGACCUAACUUGAAUUGAAUAUAAAAAAUUAAGAAUUUGAACCCGUUCACCUUAAACUCAAAAAUGAUCUAAAACCUAAAAUGAUUUUAAUUUAAAGUGACCAAAUUCAAAAUUUCUUAAAUAAACUCGAAAUGUUCAGAGCAUAAUAUGACCUAACUUGAAAAACCCAACUUACAAAUCCACUUGAACCCAAAAUAGCUUCAACCUUAAACUAAUUCAAAUUCAAAAUUACUCAAAUUUUAAAAUUUGAAUUUAGUUCAUUCAAAACCAGUCCAAAAUAAAUUCAGUUAUACUUUAUGUCACCAUUUGUGAUGAUUAUCACUUUUGUUUAUUGAAUUUUGCGGGGUAAAAAAGCUCAUGAAGUUUCUAAAAAAAUUAUUAAGUCAUUCGACAAAAAAUGCAUUCAAUUUAAUCAAUGAAAUCCGUCCUUGAUAAUUACUUUUGUUAAAAGUUGGUGAUGUGGUAGUUAAUAAUUGUCAAAUCAUUCAUUUUCUUUCAAGCGCAGUCCAAAGUAGUAGAUAAUGUGUCAACUUAAUGACAUGGGAAUUGGGGAAUAAAUUUAAAGAGAUUAUUAAUUAAACUAUUAAAUGUAAUUAAUUAAAGUUAAUGAUAGUUGUCAAAUCAUUCGUUUUCUUCCAAGUGGCAAGCAUGACCGAUCGGUACAUCCAAACCUAAUCAUAAAGAAUAAAAUAAUAGCACCAAAUUUUGAUGGGUGUCAUCCACCAAAAAUAAAAUAUCUAUGCCUAAAAUUGAAAUCAAAUUUAAAUGUAGGAAGUAAGUUCAAUCCCAUAAAGACUGAUCUAAUUGAAUUUGGAUUUUGUUAUAACUAGAAUGUGUCGUAGGUAGUUUUUAUUUCCGCAACUCAUGCUAAUAUGUAUGAAACAGAAAGGGGAUUAAAUUGAAAUAUAAAAUAAAUAAUAAGAAAAUAAAUAUAGUACAAAGAUUAAACAUUUCUAUCUUUCAACAUUAGACCUCAAAGUUUUUAUCUUUUACAAUUAGAUUCCUAACAACUAGACCUGUUCAUGAGUCGAGUCACCCAGCCUGGCCCUAAAAGUGGGAGAGUUUGAGCAAAAUAUAGACCUAAAAAAUAGGUUUGGAUAAAAAAUAAGGCCCGUUUAAAAAAUAGGUUUGGCUUUGAGUAAAGCAUUUUUUGCCUAGGUCUGGCCCGGCCCGAAUUCACAAAAGGACAAAAAAUCUACUAAUUUUUGUUGUUUUAAUGCUAUUUUCUUGUUAUUUUCUCCCUAUUUUGCUACCAUUUCACUAUUAUGUUACUAUUAUUUUGUUGUUAUUAUUUGAAUAUUGUAUAACACUUGUUUUAUCAUUACUUUUGUUAUUAUUUUAAAGGCAUUUACUUGUUAAGUUGCAUUUAUCUUAGUGUUAUUUAAGUAUAUAUACAUAUUUUUUAAAGUUUAUUUUAAUGUUUUAGUAUUUUGAUAUAUUAUAUAUUUAAAAUUAUAUAAAAAUAAUAUAAAAAUUAAUAUGGGUGGGUCAGACCUGAGUUUUAGUAUUUUUAUCCGAAUCGGGUCUAGAUAAAAUUUUAGGCCCAUUUUUUGGGCCGAGCUCAGGCCUAGCAAAUGGGCCUAUUUUUUUUACUUGACCCAAACUCGGUCUGGCUUAGCCCAUGAGCACCUCUACUACCAACAUAUAUUUACUCAAACUUAUCCAAGCUUGAAUUAAUAUCUCUUAGCACAUUUUCUCGAUUUUCACAUUAUAGAUUUAACUAACAUUAAACAUCCUAACUCAAUUUUGAUAUGGGGGUGAGCAUUUGAUUGAAUCAAGUGAAAAAAUUUUGAGUUUAUGAGUCCUAUUUUAUCAUCCUAACUCAAUUUGAAUUUUUUUUUCGAAUUGAGUCGAGUGAAAUAAAAUUCGACCCAAGUCGAAUCAAAUCGAAUAGAGUGAAAUUGUUCAAGUUAAAUUAAAAAAAUAAAAAUAAAAAUAAAAAUAAAAAUAUUAUUACAGUAUGACUAAUUCCAUAUUAGAGCACAUAAAUUUGAAAUAUUUUUCAAAGCAAAAAAAAAAAAAAAACUUGAGUAUGAUAAAUUUGAAUCAUUACUUAAGUCUCCAACAUUAUUGUUUUAGAAAUUAUUUAAAAUAUUAACUCUUUUUAUAUAUUUUUAAGAAUUUCUAUAAUUUCUUUAAAAAUAUAUAAUUUCUGAAAUUUUUAUAAAUAUUUUGAAUUAUUUUGAGAGAGAGACCAAUUUGCUUAUUUUUAAAGUUGUCAGGAACCAAAAUGAUGUUUAUACCAAUCUGUUAUUUGAAUUAUUCGAGGUAUACAAAUUGUGAAAUUCAACUCGACUUGAACUUGAAAUCCAAAUUUAGUUAUUCGCGUUGACUUGAAUAAUUUAAAUAACUCAAAAUUAAAAAAAAUCGAUUUUUUUUCAGUCGAAUCGAAUUUUACUCACCACUAAAAAGAUACAAAAAAUAAAUCAUAACUUGAUCCACGAACAUGUAUUUAAAUAGUAGCAGCAAUGUAAAAUUUAGACUCUUUUCAUUGUUCAAUAUUUAUUUCAAUUAAUCGACAUAACAUCAGUUACAUCUACAAUCACUAAGGUAGAAAACACAACAAUAAUUGUAGUUUAGAUUCACUAUUAUAGGAAUUACUGUUAAUCUUGGAGGUCUCCAUGUUUAAUUUUUAUAUAAUAUAUCCCGUUGCACCCAAAAAGGAAGCAUUCCUCCCCUCCUUUGGAUUUUCUAAUACAUGUUUAAUCACUAUUAGUAAGUUAAUUUUAAAACUUUCAUAUUUAAUAGAUAGAUUUUACAUAUAUCUCACACAUUUAAAUGGCGAUAAUCAUGUAGAAUGAUAAAAGAAAACUGCUCAAAUGUAUGUUGGAUGCUAACGUAUUGUUAUAUACAAGUAAGAAAAUGGAGUAACAGAAAAUAACAAAAAAAUAAACUACUAACUGACUAACAAGAAAUUAAUUUAAAACUAUAUGACUAACAGCCCCUCUCAAGCUGGAGAGUGAAUGGGAAACAAUCCCAACUUGGACAAAAUAAGCUGGAAGGGAACAUCAGUCAGAGCUUUGGUGAAGAUGUCAGCAAGCUGAUCCUUGGAAGAACACGGAAGCAAUUUAACAACACCGAACAACACUUUUUCACGAACAAGAUGACAGUCGAUCUCAAUGUGUUUAGUACGUUCAUGAAACGUAGGGUUUGCAGCAAUUUGAAGAGCAGAAUUGUUGUUGCAAAACAAAGCAGUAGGCCCAGAAAUAGACAUAUGCAAGUCGGACAGAAGAAAUCGAAGCCACUUGAUUUCACAAACAGUAGAUGCAAGAGCCCUAUAUUCUGCUUCUGAGGAAGAGCGAGACACAGUGCUUUGCUUCUUGGCUUUCCAACUAACAAGGGAAUCCCCAUAAAAUAGGCAGUAACCAGUCACGGAGCGACGUGUUAGAGGACAACCAGCCCAAUAAGAGUCACUAAAUGCCUUCAGUGUAGACGAAGAAGAAGCAGAAAAGAAAAGACCAAAGUCAAUGUAGCCUUUCAAGUAGCGAAGGAUGCGAUGGGCAGCUUGAAGGUGAGUGACUGUAGGUCGAUCCAAGAAUUGACUUAACCGUUGAACAGCAAAAGCAAGAUCAGGUCUAGUAGAAACCAAAUACAAUAGACGUCCAAUAAGUUUUCUGAAAAUAGUGUUAUCAGGAAGCAAUUCGGCAGAAGCAUCACGAGGGAUUUUGGUCACCAUGGGAGUUGUAACAGGCUUGCACUCGGAGAAACCAAAAUCAGUCAGGAGAUCGAGAGCAUAUUUCUGCUGACAAAGAUAAAUACUAGCAGAACUACGAGCAACUUCAAGGCCAAGAAAAUACUUGAGAUCUCCCAAGUCUUUGAUGCUAAAGGCAGAAUGCAAGAAGGCUUUUACGCAUGUUAUUUCUUCCAAAAGAUCACCGACUAGAAUAACAUCAUCAACAUAAACUAAUAAGGCAGUAAAGGAAAUUUCAUCCUUUUUAACAAACAAAGAAAAAUCUGAACUAGAUUGAACGUAACCAAUUGAAGUGGGAGCUGCAGUAAGUUUGGCAAACCAUUGUCGACUUGCCUGCUUGAGACCAUAUAAUGACUUUUGCAACUUACAAACCUUAUGGGAAGUAGAGGGAGCAAAACCAGGAGGCAAAUGCAUGUAAACCUCUUCAGUCAAAUCGCCAUGCAAAAACGCAUUGUUAACAUCAAGCUGGUGCAAAAACCAGUUUUUGGAAGCAGCAAUAGCAAGCAAUAAUCGAACAAUAGUAAUCUUGGCCACAGGGGAAAAGGUAUCAAAAUAAUCAACACCCUCAGUUUGUGUGAACCCUUUUGCAACCAAACGAGCCUUGUAACGCUCAAUAGAACCAUCAGCUCGAUAUUUCACACGAUAGACCCAUUUGCAACCAAUUGCAAUCUUGCCUGGAGGUAAGUCCAUAAUGAUCCAGGUGUUAUUUUGUUCAAGAGCAGAAAUUUCAGCUUGCAUUGCUUCUUGCCAAUGGGGAAUUUUGCUAGCUUGUAAAUAGGUUGUAGGUAUGGGAGAAGCAUUGAUAGCAAGAGUAAAAGGUGUGGGGCAGCGAAGAUGAUUGGCAACAGCUUUGCUGGAAAAGCAGUGAUACUGGUCUAAAUAUGAAGGAGGUUUCCUAAGACGAGGUGGCCUAGAGGGUUGUAAAGGAACGGGAGGUAAAGGUGGUGAUUGAAGUGGCAAAUCAUAGGUAAUAGUGGGGUCAAAGGUUAACUGUAGGAUGAAAGAGGAAGAAGAUGGUUGAUGAGAACAAGGAAAAACAGACUCAUGGAAAUGGACAUUUCUAGAGAUAAAAAUGGCAUGAGUUGAUAGGUCAAAAAGAAUAUAGCCUUUGACAUGGGGUGGAAAACCAAGAAAGACACAUUCACGUGCUCGAGGAUCCAACUUAUGACGAUGAGCAGUGUGAGUGGUUGCAAAGCAAAGACAACCAAAGACACGGAGGUGUUGAAAAGAUGGCUUAGUUUGGUAUAAUUUGUCAAAAGGAGUAAGGUUUGUCAAAAGGGGAGUAGGGGUACGAUUAAUAAGAAAAACAGCAUGAAGAACAACAUGUCCCCAAAAAUGCUUGGACAGAGAGGAAUGAAACAAGAGAGCCCGUGCAACAUUGAGAAUAUGUUGGUGCUUACGUUCUACAAGAUCGUUUUGUUGUGGGGUUUCAACACAUGUAGUUUGAUGAAUUAUGCCUUUGGAAGCAUAAAAAGCUGAAAUGGCAAACUCACAACCAUUGUCAGAUCGAAUGACUUGAAUUUUAGAUAUUAAUAAAUGAAAAAAUGGAACGGAUAUUAACCCAUAUACACAUCGAAAACGCUCUUCCAUUUCUAACCAAUUUCCAUCAAUGCAUUGGAUUAUAUGACUACUUAAAUUUUACUUUGAAGUUAAAUUUGUAAUAUUUCAAAUAAUUGGUUUAAUACAUUAUAAUGUUGUACUAAUUUUAUAUAUUUAUACAAAUUUUAUUUAACAAAUUGAAUUUUAGUUUAGUAAUAUAAUUUUUUCACAUUAAGUUUUCAAUUAAUUUGAUAUAUAUGUUAUUUGAGAAUACAAUUUUAUAUAUUUUUAAUGGUUGAAUUUUUUUAUAUUAAACAAAUAAAUAUACUUUUUAACAUAUUCCAAUUUUGAUGUAAGUUACAUAUAACAUGAAAUUAAACAAAUAUAGAUCUUAUAAAAAGAAAAACUAAGGAUCAAUAUUUUCCUACAAAUGAUCAAUAUGCAUGGUGUUACUUUCCCUUUUUUGUUUGAGAUCAUUUGGUGUUUAGUUUCAAUUAAAUUUAGAAUUUUUGGUCGGGUUUCAAUUAAAUUUAGGUCUCAACACUAUAUUCUAUAUCCACAAAAUUAAACUUGAAAUCUUAGUUAAGGAACAUUGAACUCAGGGUGGUGCCAAGGAUGCUAACAAAGGUUUCGUUCGCCUGCUUUUCCCUCCCCAAAAAAGGAAAUCUCACUUUUGGCCUUUUAAAGUUUAAAGAAUUUUAAAGGGUAAAUUACACCCAUGGUCACUUUUGUUUACUUCAGAUUACGUUUUAGUCACUUAUGUUUGAAAUGUUACGUUUUAGUCACUUAUGUUAUUGUGUUGUAACAUUUUAGUCAUUGAGCCAUUAAUUGUCGUUAACGGUAUAACGGUAAGCUAAUGUGGCGCAUUAAAUCAUCAUUUUAAACAAAAAGAUUACGUUAAAUUAUACAAUAGGUCCCCAUAUUUUUUUCAUUUUGAGCAAUUUAAUUUUUUUUCUUUUAUGUUCUUUUAACUUUCUUUUUUUUUUCAUUAUUUUCCAUUCUCUUCUGCUUCUCCCUCUAUUUUCCUACCUUCUCCAUUUCUUUCAAUAUAUUAGGAAGUCGAAUUGGCAGUGAAGAAAAAAACAUGGUAUGGAUUUAUGGGUUUUGGUUAUAGGCAAUGAUGGUUUUCGACUUCCUACUUAUUUCUUCACUGCCAAUUCGACUUCUUGAUAUGUUAAAGGAAAUGGAGAAUGUAAGAAAAUAGAGGGAGAAGCAUAAGAUAAUGGAAAAUAAAUAAAUAAAAAUUAAAGAACAUAAAAAAUUAAAUUACUCAAAAUUAAAAAAUAUGGGGAUCGAUUGUAUAAUUUACCCUAAAAUUUUUGUUUGAAAUGAUGAUUUAACGUGUCACGUCAACUUGCUAUUACACCGUUAGUGACAAUUAAUAGCUCAGUGACUAAAAUGUUACAACACGAUAACAUAAGUGACAAAAACGUAACAUUUCAAACAUAAGUGACUAAAGUGUAACCUAAGGUAAACAAAAGUGACCAUGGGUGUAGUUUACCCAAUUUUAAAUUAAUAUAUAGUAAAUUUAUACUUUAACUUCCAAAAAUAUUAAAAUUUUGAUUUAGUCCUUUAAAAUUAUAAGAUAUAAGUUAUUAAAAUGGUAAAAUUACAUUUUUAUCUCUCACAAAAAUAUAUAACUUAAUUCCAACCCCUAGAAAAAUUUUCUGACUUUCCCCCUAAUUAAACUUCUUAUCACUCAGUCCAACAUCUGUAGCUAAACAAAUAAUCUUAUUUGUAAGAUCUGUAUAACAAAGGGAUAAAUAUCAAAACUACACAUAAAAUUUGAUCUAAUAUGCAAUUUGAUAUAUGAACUUUGAUUUGAUGCAAUUAUACACAUCAAACAUGGAUUAUAAUUCAAAUGUGUAUAUAAAACAUUUAAAGAAAUAAAUACAUUACUUUAUUUUUUAUAUUAGAUAAAUUAAAUUAUUUAUGUAUGUAAUAAAAAAUACAAAAUUAUAUUAUAUCAAUAAUUAUAUCAAUAAUUUAUAAAAUUAAAAUAAAAAAGUUUUCAUAUAUAAAAUCAUAAAUUUUUAGAUUUAUCCGUAUAGCAAACAACUCCCAAGUUGUGGGACAUAUAAGCCAUGCAUGCGUCAUAUCAAACGUACAAAAAACUUCUAAAGAUAGGGAAAUACUAAGUCAAUGUGUCUUUGUGCUGAAAGAAUGUUGAAUUCAAUUAUAAUUCUACAAAUUAUGCACUUGUAAGUCCAUAAUAUAAAUAAAUGAACAUGAAAUUACUUUAUCAUGUCAUAUUCCAUGAUUUGCUGACAGGAUCUUUAUCGUCCACCUUCUUUUCUUGGCAAAUUAAGAAAGACCAACUUAAGCUCCAAGCAAGUCUAGUGGGUCCUUCUGUCUAAUACUUUAAAUUAUACAUUUAAUUGAUUUUAGUAGUUAAAUUUUAUUAUUAGAUUGAUUUUAUGUGUAAGUUGCAACUCUAUUCUUUAGAUUGAUUUUUUUUAAUCCUUAAAAUUUUUGGAUUUUAAAAUUCAAUCCUAACUCAAACGACAGUAGUUAAAUUCAUCAAGUACUAUAAUACCGUUUUUGUGAGUAUUAUUUGUAAAUAAAAAGUUAAUAUAAUAUCACACAUGAUAAUAUAUUUGUUGUAUAAUAUUUUAAAAAUAAUAAAUCUAACUGCUAUUAUUUGAGUUACACAUAAUUUAAAGAAUUUAAUUAUUUUAUAAAUCAAAAUAUAGUAUCAGUGCCCCUAAUCCUAUGAUAAAAAAAAUUAUAUUAAAAUGAAGUCUUAGGUCCAGAAUUCAAUUUUUUGGACAUCCUAUACCCUGAUUGUAUUUGUGUGAACAUGGUGGCACAUGAGUUGAUUUUUUGGUACAACAAUGAAAGAAAGAGCCAAGAAAGAUAUAGAAAAUUAAGAGUAAUUGACACUUCCAGAAAAUUUCCAUAAGUCAAAAUGAGAUUACGUAUAUACAAAAAAAAAAAUUGAGAUGUAGAUCACUAGAUGUAAACAUUUGAGGCUGCCAUGAAACAUCAUUACACCAUAUCAAUAUCAGACCCUAAGAAAGAGUCAAUUUCUGUAGAAGGUCCCUACCCUAUAUAUAUUUUGUGAAUUUAGUCCUUUCAUAUAAUUCGGUAUUUUUAAUCUCUCCUCGUUUUAGAAAUUACAAAUUCAAUUGAUAAAGAUGGACACAAAAAUUGGUUAUACAAAUCAAAAAACUUUUUUGCAUUUGAAACUUCACCCAAAAUCUAAUUUAUUAUCAAUAUGCAGUGUAAGAAGUGACUAAGACUCAGAUACCAUAAUGAGAUACACGAAUGUAAUCUAUAAUGAUCAUAAAACGAUCAAUUUUUCAUAUAUUGAACUGGAUAACGAGCUAUGAUAUAUAUACACAAUCUGUCAAACUAAUUACAACCACCUUAACUGCUAUUGUUAACUGCUAACUGUCAUAACAGUUUUAUUAAUUCUUAACAUUCCGUAAAGAGACUUUUUUUGAUGUCUUAAAUCAACAAUGUAAUUUUUAAGAAGAAAACAGUGGAAAGCAAAUUAAACUUGCAUUUUGGGUGGAAGAUAAAUGAGCCAAAUUAAACCUGCAUGAGGUGACAUGCUAGUUGAAGACAAUAUUCUAAUACAAAAUAGGUAGUGAUUAUAUACUAUUACCUUAGAAUGUUAAUCUUUUCAUCUUAUUUUUGAAGAUAGAAAACAAAUUACAUGAAAAUAUUUUGUACACGAGUAGUGCACUAGCGUGAAUGACAUUGUAGUCAAUGAUUUUGGUAUACUUUUUCACAAAGUAAAGCGGAUAAUUCGGUUUUUGGAAGGUUACUUAAAAAUUGCUUCCAUUUUAAAUCUUGUUUUUAAUCAUUAUCCAUACGUUGGAUUUGUAGAUCCACUAAUAAAAUAGCUCAUUCGUUGGCGAGAACGGCUUUAUCUCGAACUACACCAACUUUUUACGAAGUCCUUCUAUUUUGGAUAUUUUGAAUGCUAUUGUUCUUCUAAUUUUGGUGAAAAUGGGGAGAACUAAAAUUAGGUGUAUUGGAAACCUAUUGGCUUGAGAGUAGAUUCUCUCCUAUUUUUACCUCUUUUUGUCAUUUACUAUAUGAGUUUUACUUUUAAAAAAGAAAGAAAGAAAUGGUAGCUCAAAUACUAGUCCUACUUCAACCCGUAUAGCACCCCCUCGCCAUACGCUAUUGUUAGGAUUGUGACGUGAAAAUAGCUUGCAAAUCCGAUAAAAUGUGUAACAGCUAUAUCAACGGAGCGUAAUAAUCUGGCAAAGAAAAUCAGACCCCCUCAUACGCUGUUAUUAGGAUCGUGACAUGAAAUAGCAUGCAAACCCGACUAAAUAUGCAACGACGAAAUCACCGGAACUAACCCCUAUAAUAAUAUGGCAAAGAAAAUCAGACCCCCUUCCCCGAAAACACAGUUGUUAAGAUUGCGACAUCACUGGAGAACAGCGAUAUCAACAGAACUAACACUUUUUUAUAUUUUGCAUACUUUGUCCACAUUAAUUGCAAUAUUCUAGUUUAAUCUUUUCGUCUCCUUCAUACUCCUUCAAGAAAUCCCAAACUUCAAAGGUUAAUUUCAUUGUCAUCAUUCUGAGAAAGAUUUCAGAUGAGGCUGCAACAAAUAAUGUAGCUCUUGCCUCUGAUUUUCUUGAUUCUCUCAUUGUAAUACUUGAUUUGCACCAUAGCCGGAUUGACAGGUAAUGAAAGAACUUCGUAGUCCUUCUCCAUGGCUUCCCAGAAAUCAUUUUCCUCUAGAUGAGCCUCUAUCCUUGCUGCCCAAACAUGGGAACCUUCACUAUUGAAAAUAGGUGGUGCAAGUGCAGUGAAAGGGAUUUCUGAAUCCAUAGAAGAAGAAAGAGAGAAAAAAUUUUCCUUAGUUACAGGUCCCUCAAGAAGAUAACUCUGAUACCUAUUUAUUGAAGUUUUUGAAGAAAAUUUUAUUGUAAAAAGAAAACAACAAAAACAAGAGGAAAAUAUAAAUAAUUUUUAUGGAAAGUGUUUUCAUUUAUUAAACUAAAAACUAGUGUUUAUAUAGAAAAACAACAACUAUUGACUAAAACUAGACUACUAAAAUAUUCAUAAUCUCUAAACAUCAGCAACAAAUAAAAAAUUGUUAAAAUUAAUUAGAUUAUUUUGGGUUUUUUUACUAAAUUAUUAUAAAAAAAUUUCAAAAUUUCAAAAUAUUAUAUAUAUUUUUAUUUACCAAAAUAUACAAAACAAAAAACAAAAAACAGAAAAAAAAGUUGCGCCGAUUUGACAGAACCCUGGUGGAGGGGUUCUGAUUGGCGGCACCAAAGGUGCCAAACUGAUUGGCGGCAUCGAUGGUGCCAAUGAGGUUGGAAGCACUGAUGAUGCCAUACAGGUUGGCAGCACCGACGGUGCCAUACUGAUUGGCGGCACUACUCGUCUUAUAAACACGAGCUUUGUCCAGCUGAAGGAAGAAAAAUUAGAAGAAAAAAAAGAGAAAGAAGAGGUGCUGCAGAAAAAAAAGAGAAAAAGAAGGUAUUUUUUUUAAAAAUAACUGAUUAUCUUGUUGUUAUUGUUUUGUAUAAUUUGCAUUAUUUUUUGUUUUAGUUUAGUUAUUAAGAUUAAUAAAACUCAAAUUGAUAGUUUUAAUUAUUAUUAUUAUUAUUAUUAUUAUUAUUAUUAUUAUUAUUGUUAGUAUUAAGAUGUUAUUAAGGUAUUAAGAUGUUACUUAGUAUUAUUGUUAGUAAAAAACUAGUAUUAUUAUUAUGGUUAGUUAUUAUUUUUAUUUAUCAAAAUAAACUAGUUAGUAGAAAGCUAGUAUUAUUAUUAUAGUUAGUUAGUUAUUAUUUGUAGUAAAACCCUAAUUAAUAAUUUUAGUUAGUAUUAUUUUGAGUAUAAAAUUGUGUUAGUUAUUAGGAUUAGUGGUUAAACGGUUUUCAUGUACAAAAUUGUAUAUUGAAACAUUAAAUUUUUUUAUUUAAGUAAUUUAUUUACCGAUCGAGAUUUUUUAUGAGAUUUUGUUUAUUUUUUGACAGAUUAAAUAUUGAAGAUGGAUGCUAAGUUUUUUGUAUGCGUUUAUUUCGAUAGAGUCAUCUUGACAACAAGUGUUGGAUGUGUAUUUGAAUGUCGGCAACAAAUGGCAAUGAGAUUUAAUAGAAAUGUCUCGUUCGAUGAAAUGAAGGCAAUGAUUAAUGCAAAAAUUCUUAGACGUUGUGGGAGAAGGAUAUCAAAAAUUUUCUACAAGUUUCUAGUUUCGACAAAUCCGGUCAAAUUCACCGAAAUGGAACUUGUAGAUGACGAAGACGUGGAGACAAUGGUGGAUCUCUACUGUGGGAAUGAGAGUGACAAGAAUGCACCGAUUCACUUAUUUGCUGAGUUGGUCGGUAUGGAGCAAAAUGAAGAUGUCAAUGCAUGUGAUGAAGAACACGGAGCUCAAGAACCAUGGAUGGUGGCUCCAAUAUCAUACGUUGAUAGUGAAUCAACUAUGGGUGGGAUCGGUAUCGACUUGAAUAUUACACCCGAUGUUGAUAUGGUUGGUGGUGAAGAAGAAAGUGGUGGCGAAGAAGAAGGUGGUGGCGAUCAUUGGGAUGAAGAGGUCGAUAGUGACGGUGAUCCCGAUGUGGACGAUGUACCUGAUGAUAUUGACGAUGAAGAUGUCAACAACGAUGAAGACAUUAACGCUUCUUCGGUCGGGGAGCAGAUACGGCGUAUUUUGAUACACAAUAAUUCUGCGCCACACAUAUCGCUCAUAGACCUCGACGCAGCGUAUGUAGCUGAGUUCCCGGAGUACCCUGAAAUAGUUCAUCCUCACGGGCUGGCCGUAACAUCUGAUGAUGAGGAGUUAUACAUAGGCCAGAGAUUCAGCUGUAAGGAAGAGUGCGUAUAUGCCAUUAAACGGUACAUCAUGAACAUAUCGAUGGAUUAUAAAGUCGCAGUGUCUACUCCGACAAUAUAUGUUGGGGAGUGUUGGAAGGCAGCGAAAGGCUGCAAUUGGUGGGUACGAGCUGCAUUCAUUAAAAGUUCUCAAAUGUGGGAGAUACGAAAAUUUAUUGGUCCUCAUACAUGCACAUCAACACGUAUGACAGAAGAUCAUGGAAAACUUGAUUCGAAAACUAUCUGUACGUGUAUCAUGCCAAUGGUGAAGGACAUGCCGACCAUUAAAGUUUCGGUACUGAUUGCUGAGAUGCAAGCACGAUUCUAGUAUCAAGUCUCAUAUUGGAAGGCAUAGAUAGCUAAACAGAUGGCAAUGGAGCAACUGUAUGGGGAUUACGAUUCGUCGUAUAACAAGCUUCAAGGUUGGAUAGCUGCUAUGCAGGAGUACGUACCGGGGAUUGUGAUUGAGUUGCAGACAAGGCCAUAUUAUGGCCCGAACGACCAGUUACAGCCAGCAAAAAGGAUUUUCCAUUGGAUGUUUUGGACGUUUGAUCCAUGUGUUCGGGCAUUUCCCAAUUGCAAGCUAUUGGUGCAGGUGGAUGGGACCUGGUUAUAUGGAAAAUAUACACAGAUCCUACUUCUUGCGAUUAAUCAAGACGGCAACAGAAACGUGCUCUCGAUAGCAUUUGCGAUCGUAGAUAAAGAGAACAUGGAGUCUUGGGAAUUCUUCCUCACAAACCUGCGGAGGUAUGUUAUUAGCAACGAUAACAUUUGUAUCAUCUCCGACAGAGGGAAAGGUUUAAUUGCAGCAAUUAGGCGUUCUGGUGUGCCAUGAAGAUCCUUUUACUGCAUCCGUCACAUUGCGACUAACUUCCACAAAGAUUAUAAGAAUGCAGAUAUGAAGAGACAAGUCGUGGCAAUGGGUAUAUCGGGCAUAUUGUUCGAUCAUGAAGUAAGAUGUCAUGAAUAUUAGAAUAGCAGCUUACCCCUUCCCGGGCAUACUGUUCGAUCAUGAGGAGGUAUAUCGGGACAAGGUACGACCUCCCGAUACCUGGACGAGCACUCCACCUACAAAAAACAAAUAUAGGGUUUAGGGUUGGUAACAUUAGUCAAUAUAUUAUGACUACAAAUAAUGACAAUUUAUAUUUUAUCACCUGUUCAGCAGUGGAUAGACAUACGGUUGGUGACUAACGGAUGCCAAAAAUGGCAUCCGAUAGAGCGCCCAGGACUGUAGCAGUGGGAGGCAUCCGCCCAUGUCUACAACAUCUGGGUUUGUCACCCGACAAAGCUCCCGGUACAACAUUGCAAGAAUGGCGGAGCCCCAACUAUACGAGCUAACAGUGGACAAAUCAGCUAACAGGGGCAAUUACAUCAAAUGCACCUUGUCGUUGUUUGCAUCAGGCAUGAGUACUCCCCCUACGAUAUGCAUGAUGUUCGCUUGAGCAGCGCACAUCAACUCACCUUCAAUGGCAGUCGUUGAUAAUUGUCCAAAUUUGGCUUUCAGCCAUGUAAAUUGUAAUCCUGUAAAAUUUCUCUCACCGUCCCCUUGCGAGUCCCCCAGUAGCUCAUAACAAAGUGUAGUCGGAUCAGUAAAUGAAGAUACUCCCGUUACGAGACUCCCGUCAAUUGGGAGCCCAAGCUGCAUUGCAACAUCCUCCAAGGUCACUGUGCACUCCCCGCAUGGAAAAUGAAAAGUGUGGGUCUCCGGGCGCCACCGCUCCACUAGUGCAGAUAUUAAAUCAUAGCGCACGUUGGAGGACCGGAUUAGUGCUGCUGACCCAAAUCCGGCUUGCUCCAAGUACGGCAUCAAUCAUGCAUCCGGAGCCGUUUUCCAAACACUAGUACGACCCCUUAAUAAUCGGUACGAGUCUUGAUAAUGUUAAAUUACAGAAAAAUAUUACGAUAACAUGAUUUAUUUGUAUAUACUACGUAUAUCCUUUUUAAAUAAAUAGAACCCGCGAUUAACAAAUAAUAAAUCAUACCGUGUUAUUAGCCGCAUCAGAUAUGUGUCUAUUGGUUCGAAUCAAUGAAGCCAUUGUGAUGCCUGCAAGUUGAAAAAAAAAGUUAGUAAAAAACUCUUACUUCGGCCAUUUGUUCGUAUUUUUUCUCCGCAUUUUAUUACUUUAAAAAAUAUCUUAAUUUCUAAUUUUAUAAGUUUACAUUAUUUCAGUGCAUAAUGUUUGAAAUUUAUUAAUUUAGUGUGUUUUUUAAAUUAAGUUGGUGUAAGAAAAAAACCCUUAUCCCUGCCCUUUGCUCGUAUUAUUUUCCCAAUUUUUAUUACUUUCAAUAAAAAUAUUUUAUUUUCGUAUUUUAUUAUUUUAUAUUAUUCCAGUGCAUUUUGUUUGAAAUAUUUGUAUUAAUUAUUCCUGAAUUUUUAAAAAGUUAGUAAAAAACUCUUACUUCGGCCAUUUGUUUGUAUUUUUUUCUCCGCAUUUUUUUAUUAUAGAAAAUAUUAUAAUUUUUAAUUUUAUAAUUUUACAUUAUUUCAGUGCAUAAUGUUUGAAAUUUAUUAAUUUAGUGUGUUUUUUAAAUUAAUUUGGUGUAAGAAAAAAACCCUUAUCCCUGCCCUUUGCUCGUAUUAUUUUCCCGAUUUUUAUUACUUUCAAUAAAAAUAUUUUAUUUUCGAAUUUUAUUAUUUUAUAUUAUUCCAGUGCAUUUUGUUUGAAAUAUUUGUAUUAAUUAUCUCUGAAUUUUUUAAAAAGUUAGUAAAAAACUCUUAUUUCGACCAUUUGUUCGUAUUUUUUUAUCCGCAUUUUAUUAUUUUAAAAAAUAUCGUAAUUUUUAAUUUUAUCAUUUUACAUUAUUUCAGUGCAUUAUGUUUGAAAUUUAUUAAAUAUACAAUUUUUUUCGCAUUUUAUUACUUUCGGUAAAUGUACAAUUUCCGUUUCUUCUUUUCGUAUUUUAUGCUUUCUUAAAUAUAUUUUUUAUCAUUUUACUUUUAAUGCUAUUUUUCCUAAAAAAACUAAUUUCAAUAUCCUAAGUAAAUUUCAUAAAAAAAGUUCCUAAUCAACAUACAAUAUACAUACCAUGAAUUUUUUCAUGCUAAAUAUAUUUCAUAAAAUAUAUAUGCUAAAUAAAAUAAUAAAACACGUAUAUUAUACAUAACAUAAAUUUUUAACACACAAAUAUUACAAAAAAUUUAAUUUAAUAAUAAAAAUUACCUUUUUUUUCUUUUUUUUCCUUCCUUCCCUCUUCUUCUUUCUUUUUUUUUUCUCUUCUCUUCUCCUUUCUUUUCUUUCCUUCUUUUUCUUUCUUUUUUCUUCUUCUUCUUUCCUUUUCUUUCCUUCUUUUUCUUUCUUUCCUCUCCUGUCCUUUUCUUUCUUUCUUUCUUUCUUUCUUCUUCUUUCCCUCUCCUUCUCCCCCCCGAUGGGCCCUAUUAUAAGGGCAGUGCCGCCAAUCAGUUUGGCACCUUUGGUGCCGCCAAUCAGAACCCCUCCACCAGGGUUCUGUCAAAUCGGCGCAGCUUUUUUUUCUAUUUUUUUGUAUACUUUAGUUAAUAAAAAAAUAUAAUAUUUUGGAAUUUUUUAAUUUUUUUAUAAUAAUUUAAUAAAAAACUCGAUUAUUUUGUUAUAGUAGGUGAAGGAAAUCUUCAACAUGAUUAUUGGAACUGGUGCUUCAUUUGCUCAUUUUAUGAGGGGUAUGAAUUUUAGAGGGCAUGCAAAAAAGAAAAGGAAGAAGAAAGAAAGAAAAUUACAAAAAAAAAGAAGAAAAAGGAAAAAUUAUGACACCAUGCAUUUGGGGCUUUCAAAUCUUUACAAACAUAAGAGUAGUAGUUCUAACUAUCUUUCUUGAGGGUAACUUUUCUACGAAAAUAUCUAGGCAUGAGGUGAUAAAUGACCUUCUUUCACUGUCCCAUCACUUUAAGAAAUUAUCAUUUGUUGUCUUAUUUUGAGCUUCAUCGAAUUUUCUUACGAAUAAACUCAGUCCAUAGUUAGAUCAACUUGUAAAUAGAUCGAACACCAAUUUUAUAGUGAAAAUAUAGGAGAAAUUUCAAUCGAAGUUAAACUCCAGCAGUUGCCACUUAUCUAGUUUCAUAGAACUCGCCACUACGAUAAACAACUUCCAUCACGCAAAAAAGCUAAGGCAUGGUGGCUUCAGUCCAGUUUACAAGGGUAAUAACCAAUGGUGAUUUCCGGAAAAUACAUGAUCGAUGAAAUGACAUUCUCUUUCUACCAAGUCUUAUGAAUCGAAUUUUGUGUGAUGGGAACAUUAGAUGAUGGAAAGGAAAGAGCAUUUAAGAGAUUGUCAAAAGGUUCGGGGCAAGGGUUGGAAGGAUUUAUGAAUGAAGUGGUGGAGAUUUCAAAGCUCCGACAUCCAAAUCUGGUUAGGUUAUUUGGGUGCUGUGUUGACGGUGAAGAGAAGAUGCUGGUCUUUGAGUACAUGCCUAACAAAAGUUUGGACGCGUUUCUUUGAUUAUUAACUUAUUCUAAUUUUUCAGUAUUCAAUAGUUAUAUUGAACCUCAAUUAAAUUUAAAGUUAAAUUAAGUUCAACUUUAAAGGAGGGGCCAAGUUUUUCGAGAACUAUUAGAUUUUAAAUAUAAUUUUAAAAAAUGUUAGGCAAAGAAAAGCACUAACUUAUGACAUAAAGUAUAUUGUAAUUGGUAAGAGACUUUUUUUUUUCCCCUUAACAAGGCUCGAUCAAUGCUGAAAGAAUAAUCCAGAAAAUAAUUUUGAAAAAAAAAAGUAAUGUGCUUCAUUAGUCAAAGUUAUUCAAAUGAAAGAUUCUAAAUUCAUCGGUUUGACAAAAGCUACCUAUAUUAGUCAAAGUUAUUUAAAUGUCGUCUUGGUCUGUAACUUCUGGAAGUUCUAACCUCACAUAAAUUUUAUCAAUAGUUUUUAAUUACUAAAUUAAUUACGAAAAAUUAUCUAGUGAUUCAAUUUGCUCAUUCAAAAUGAAAUUUUUAUAAUUCCGUUAUUCAAUUUUUAGGGUGGUUUAUUUUAGUCACUAAAUUAUUAAAUUUUUAACGGUGGUUAACUGUACAUACUAUAUCAUAUUCACUUUUUUAUUUUGAUCACUUAAAUUCUAAAUCGUUUUCAUUUUGAUCAUUUAAAAAACAUAUUUUCCAAGUAUUGAUCGGCGUAAAAAUUGCUAAGGAGUAAAGUGAAAAAGUAGUAGAAACUAAAAUAAUACUUUAAAAAAUUUAAAUAACUUAUUUAAUUAAUUUUGAUGUUUUGAAAUUUAAAAUUUCAAUAUUAAAAAAAAUACAACUUACGCUAAGAGAUAAGUAAACACAAUUUGAUAAUUUUUAAAGUAUUACUUUUUUCACUUUAAUCUUUAAUUGUUUUUAAAUUGCUGCAAUGAAAAGUAAGAAUAAAAAAUAAAGAGGUGCUUAGCGCUCCAAGAAAUUUCAAAUCUUGAUGUAAUCAUUUGAAGAAAAUUGAGUUGAGUUAAUCUAGUGUAAAUCCUUAAAGAUUCCAAAUAUCAUUCAUAAAUCAUAGCGUCACUUCCAAGUUCUGGGUAGAGAUUAUGGGAAAAACUAUUAGCUGCUCUGUUGUACUAUCUUUAAUACCUUGCUUUUACUUGCUAUUUGCCACUGCUUUAGACACCAUAACACCAUCAAAAUCCAUCAAAGACCCUGAAUUUAUAAUCUCCCAGAAUGGUACUUUCCGAUUGGGAUUCUUCAGCUUGGCUAACUCCAACAAUCGUUAUGUAGGGAUAUUGUACCAUCAAAUCCCCGUACAAACUGUUGUAUGGGUGGCAAAUAGAAACAGGCCUCUCAAAGACUCUUCUGGGAUUCUCAACAUAUCAGAUGAUGGCAACCUUGUUGUUUUGAAUGGCAAAACUGAGAUUCUCUGGUCAUCAAAUGUUACCAAUACAGCUCCUAAUGGAACGACUGCCCACCUUUCAGACUUAGGAAACCUCGUCCUCAGUAAUGGUGACGAUGCAGGAAGCAGCUUAUGGGAGAGUUUUCAACACCCUUCUAAUGCCUUCAUUGAAAGUAUGGAGAUCAGCACUGAUGUUAAAAAGGGUCGAAAAGUGGAGAUCAAAUCAUGGAAUAGCCAUGAUGAUCCAUCUGAUGGUAACUUUUCUUUUGGUAUUGAACCGAUCAAUAUCCCAGAGUUUAUCAUUUGGAACAAUAACCAGCUCUAUUUUCGUAGUGGUCCAUGGAAUGGAAAUAUGUUUAUUGGCUUAAUACUUCCGACCGUCGCUUUCUCUUGGUUUUCUGUUGUUGCAGAUAAUCGACAACAAACGUUUUUUAUAGGUUAUGAAGAUUCUAAUCACUCUAUGUUGACAUACUGUGAAUUAGAUUCUCAAGGAAAAUUCAGUGAACGGAGAUGGGAUGCGGAGAAAGGGAACUGGAUAAAGAGUUACUCUAUUUAUCAUACAGAUUGUGAUGUUUAUGGGAAGUGUGGGGAAUUUGGGAUGUGCAAUUCAAAGAAACGACCCAUUUGCAGUUGCUUAAAGGGGUUUAAGCCUAGGAAUGCAGAGGAAUGGAGUAGAGGUAAUUGGAGUAGUGGGUGUUUUAGGACUACCCCUUUGCAGUGCCAAAGGGAUAACAACAAUGGGAGUGGAGCAGGCCAAGGUGAUGAUGUGUUUUUGGAGAUGAAGAUGAUGAAUGUGCCCGCAUUUCCAGACCGGUCAUCAAUAGUUAACGGCGAAUGCAAAGAUCAAUGCUUGAAGAAUUGUUCGUGCGUGGCUUAUGCGUAUGAUGCUGGCAUUGGUUGCAUGAUUUGGAGUGGAGAUUUGAUUGAUGUCAAGGAAUCCAGUCGCGGAGUCGAUCUUUACAUUCGUCUGCCAGCUUCGGAACUGGGUAAAUUUUCUUAGUGUCGACCAUGUGUUUGAUAAAUUGCGUUAAUAUCUGCUUUUUGAGUGUUGAAGUUAUUAACCAAGUUUUUCUAUUUGCAGAUAAAGGGAAAAGUAGUAAGGUCAUUGUCAUUACAACAGUAAUUGCGGGCAUAGUAGUUAUCACAAUUUCUGCACUCUUCUUACGGUGUAGGAUGCUUAAACAUAAAGGUAAUAUAUGAAAAAUAUUUAAACUUAUAUAUAAUUUAUUAAAAAAAUUAAAAAUUAGAAUAUAAAUUUAUAUGUGAAAAAUAUUUAAAAAUAUAGAUAAAUUUAAAACAUAUAUUAAAAUAUGUUGAUAUUGAUACAUACUGAUAUCUUUAUAUACCAUUGUCAAGACAAAAAUAAUAUGUCCACCAAUACGGUACUAACUACCUUGAUCUUCUCUCAGGAAGAAAUAAAAAGAGAAAACACAUCAAAUUUUGUAGUGAAAAUAUAGGAGAAAAUUCAAUUGGAGUUAAACUCCAGCAGUUGCCACUAUUCAAUUUCGAAGAACUUGCCACCGCGACAAAUAACUUCAAUCACGCAAAAAUGCUAGGGCAGGGUGGUUUCGGUCCAGUUUACAGGGUAAUAUAUAAUGGCGAUUUUCAGCAAAUUCAGUGUCAAUGAAAAGACAUUUUCCUUUUUUCUAUCAAGUCUUGCGAGUUGAAAUUUUUUUUGCAGGGAACAUUAGAUGAUGGAAAAGAAAUAGCAGUGAAGAGAUUGUCGAAAGCUUCGGGGCAAGGAUUGGAAGAAUUUAUGAAUGAAGUGGUGGUGAUCUCUAAGCUUCAAUAUCGAAAUCUGGUAAGACUGCUUGGCUGUUGUGUUGAAGGAGAAGAGAAGAUGCUCGCCUACGAAUAUAUGCCCAACAAAAGUUUGGACGCUCUUCUCUUUGGUUAGUAACUUAUUCCAAUCCUUUUUUACCUUUUUAUUUUUUGUGAUUUUCGCUAUUCAAUAGUUAUGAUGGACCCUAAACAAUGGGCAAAACUUUCCUAGAAUUAUUUUUUUCUUCCACAAGACUUGAACUUGUAUUGUUGCUUAAGGCGAAUUGAGUUCUUUAUCACUCGAUCUAAUAACCAUUAAUAUUGUUUUCGUUCUCAUUACAACUUAAACUUGGCCUUGACUACCCCAUUUACCUAAUCCGAUAAGUCCUACUCAUUUGAUUUGGCAGGUGCAAUCCAUAUAGGUUAGAUCUUGGAUAUAAUUUUCUUGAAAAGUUUUCAAAAAUAAAGAAACAUACUUUCCCAUUGAAAAAGUAAUAUUAUGUAAGGAAAAUAUUAUGUAUUUUUAUCGAAAAAUAAACUUCUAUUUUUUAAUUUUUUAAAGUUUUUUAAUUUUUAAGAAUCAAGACUAAAUUAACAAAAUGUGUAAAGUUAAGGGUUAAAUUGUUCAAUUUUUUUAAAUUUAGGACUAAAUUGAUAGAUUCUAUAAAUAUUGAAGAAUUAAAAUUGUUAUUAUGCCAAAAGAAAAAAAGUCACUAUUAGUGAUUUAACACAAGAGUGACCAAAAUAUUAAAUUUCGAUAACAUUAAAUAGAAACACACUAAUAAUUGAAUGACAAUUUUUAUAGCUUACCUUUAAAAUUCAAUAUUUAAAAAUUAAUUAAAUAUUAAAAUCACACAUAUGUCACACUAGAAGUUAGUAAUUAUAAAAUAUAGAAGUAUGAUUCUAAGUUUUUUUUAAGCAAUAAAAUUGGUCGCCUAGUUGAUUUUGUGCAAAAAGAGGAUAUGAAAAAUAGGUUAUGGCUUGGUCUAUAGACAUGUCUGAUGUAAUUAUAUUCUGAGAUUUGAAAGGCAGCAACGUAAUAUUUUGACUCUCUUCAUUGUUCAACAUUUAUUUCAAUUGAUUGACAUAACAUCAAUUCUGUCUACAAUCACAAUUAAUACAAUAUGGUAGACAAUACAACAAUGAUUGUAGUUUAGAUUCACUAUUAUAGAAAUUAACUAUAAAUCCAGCUAAACAUUAUUGAAGAAUUAAAUGUUUUGGAUUGGAGAAAACGAUUCAACAUUAUUGAAGGGAUUAGUCGAGGAUUGCUUUAUCUACAUAGAGAUUCAAGACUAAAGAUUAUACAUAGAGAUCUAAAAGCAAGUAAUAUUUUAUUCGAUGAAGAAUUAAACCCAAAAAUUUCAGAUUUUGGGAUGGCUAGGAUUUUCGGAGGCAAUGAAAAUCAAGCUAACACUAAAAGGGUUGUUGGAACUUAGUAAGUUGGAACUUUUUCCCUAUCAUUUAAUUUUAUUCUCUUUUUUUUUUGAUAAAAUAUGGUAUAGAUAUAUCUAUUGAUGGAUCAGGUCCGAUGCUUAAAAAGAUUACAUGCGUAGACCUAAACUUAGUUUGGCUUAGUUUGAUCAAUGAACUCAUUUUACCAUUUCUAAAAAUUAAAAUAAUAAAGAAUAUAUUAUUUUAUACUUUUAUUAUUUAAUUUUAAUUUAGACUGACUCAUGAACAAGUUUAGGUCAGGGUUGUAAUUAAUGUUUUUAUUGUUAAAAUACAGUGGUUAUAUGUCUCCUGAGUAUGUAAUGCGAGGGCAAUUUUCAGAGAAAUCAGAUGUAUUCAGUUUUGGAGUUCUAUUGCUAGAGGUUGUUAGCGGAAGAAGAAACACAAGCUUUUGCAACGAUCAGUAUGCACUUAGCCUCUUGGGAUAUGUAAGUUUAUAAGAUAAUUAGACAUGUUGGUAGAUCAAAUUAGGGUGUAAGAUGCCAUUUUUGCAAACUAUUCAGGUUCGAAUCAAGAAAACUUGAAUUCUACUAAGUAACUAUUGAGUUGAGCGAUCAUGAGCUGAACUUGAGAAUCUUAAUGCUUGAAUUGGGUAGCUUGAAAGGUGACAUGGAGAGUCCUAAUACUUGAAUUGAGUAUAAGCUCUCUUUUUUGCUUUAAAUAUAUAUUGAACAUUUUCAAUUGAAAUUCGAGUUUGACUACAAUAUCGAGUUUAAGUUGAGCCUAAGAAUGAAGCUCAAUUUAGACAUAGGUAAACAAGCUUAAGCAAUAAAUUUUGAGCAGUUGGAUCUUUAUUUAUGUUGAAUUGAGCUAAUCAAAAUUUAUUUAGACUUUGUGUUUAUAAUUUUGAGUUGAUUUAGGCUGAAAAGUUUAAGUGUUAAUUUAGACAAAUUUUCUUUUCUAUUCUCAGGCAUGGAAAUUGUGGAGGGAAGGCGAUAUUUGUGGCAUUGUAGAUAAAGUGAUUUUAGAGUCAGAAACAUAUUCAAAGAAUGGAAAUGAAAAAGAAAUAUGGAGAUGCAUACAUGUUGGUUUGCUAUGUGUUCAAGAAUUUGCUAAAGAUAGGCCCACUAUGCCUACAGUUGUUUCAAUGCUUAAUAGUGAAAUUUCAGAUCUUAGCACUCCAAAACAACCUGCUUUCAUUGAAGCACCACUAAUGAGUCAUGAUGUUGAAGAUAGGGUUUCACUUAAUGAUGUAACUCUUACAAACCUAGAUGGCCGAUAGAAAUACAAAUUAUUUAUUUGUAGUGUUUAGAAAUACAAUUUUAAAUUUUGUAUUUCAAGUAUUGAAAUUUAUCUUUUAUAUUCGACCUAUUUUUAUCAUUUUAUUUCUAUGAUAAUUGUAAUUUUAUUUGUACCAUUCUAGUGAAUUUACCAUUAUAUUUGAACAUGGCCAAAACUGAAAAUUCAUUUGAUGAAAUUCAAACUCGGUCCAAUUUAAUUUGAAUAUAAAAAAAAUCAACAAUUUAAACUUGUUAAAUCCAAACUUGAAAAUAAUUUAAAACUAAAAAUAAUUUAAAAUUAAAAUAAUUCAAACCCAAAUUUACCUAACCCAAAAAUCAAUGUGACGUGCUAGUUGAAUACAAUAUUCUAAUACAAAAUAGGUAGUGAUUAGUGCUUGAAGAAAAUUCAAAUCUUGAUGUAACACUACACCAAAACAGGCUUUUAGCGGCGUUUUUAGUGGCGCUUGGACAAAUAAUGGGGUCAAGGGGUCACCACUCGGUGUGGGAUUCUCGCCUUUUUAAUUAUGGAAGCUGGGAAGUAUGUACUUCUACCUAAACAUUUCUUAAUGAAUAGCUUGUUUAAAGAUUUUGGCUUCCUCCCUUCCAGUUGUAAAUAUUAUUUCUUAGUUGUUGCUUUAGGUACUGAGGUAUCUUCUUUCAUAUGCAAGAUGGUGGCUGGAGGAGUAUAAGUUUGAUGGGUACAGAUUUGAUGGUGUGACUUCAAUGAUGUACAAGAUUUCCUUGAUGAAGUAAAUGUAUUAUUUAUUUGAGUAAGAAAAUGCAUUGUAUGUUUUAUUACCUUGCAUAAGUAUUAUUUAUUUUAGUUUUGAUUCUAAAUUUUUAUUUUUACUUAAUAAUUCUAACUUUUGGAUUUUAAUUGUGUUAUUAAUGUAUUAUUUUAAAUUCUAAAUUUAAAUUCAUUAAUUUUUAUAUUUAGUUUUAAAGUUAAAAUUUUUGUAGAAAAUUUAAUUUAAAUAAUAUUUUUUAUUUAUCUUUAAAAUAUAAUUUAUCAUAGAAAUAAAUAUUAUUUAAAAAAUUAUUUUUUUAAAAGAUAUGUUUUUAGCGGCGUUUGUGGGAAAAGCGCCGCUAAAGGUCUUGAUCUAUAGCGGCGUUUGUGGGAAAAGCGCCACUAAAGGUCCUGAUCUAUAGCGGCGUUUGUGCGAAAAGCGCUGCUAAAGGUCCUGGUCUAUAGCGGCGUUUGUUGUAAAAGCGCCGCUAAAGGUCCUGCUCUAUAGCGGCGUUUGUGGAAAAGCGCCGCUAAAGGUCCUGAUCUAUAGCGGCGUUUGGGAAAAAGCGCCGCUAAAGGUCUUGAUCUAUAGCGGCGUUUAUUUCUAUAAACGUCGCGGCGUUGACAACAAUGGCGUUUUUUGCGGCGCUUUCAAAAACGCCGCAAAUACUUUUAGCGGCGUUUUAAAGACCUGUUUUGGUGUAAUGUAAACAUUUGCAGCUUCCUUGAAAUAUCAUUACAUCAUAUCAAAAAUAUAAGUUAAAAUUAUAAAGAUAUAAGUUGUUAAAAUGGUGAAAUUGCAUUUUAUCUGUCACAAAAAUAUAUAACUUAAUUCCAACACUUGGAAAAAUUUUCUGACUUCCCCCUGAUUAAACUUCUUAUCACGCAGUCCAACAUUUGUAACUAAACAAAUAAUAUUCUUAUUUGUAAGGUUCGUAUAACAAAGGGAUACAUAUCAAAAUUACACAUAAAAUUUGAUCUAAUAUGCAAUUUGAUACAUGAAUUUUGAUUUGAUGCAAUUGUACACAUCAAACUUUGAUUAUGAUUCAAAUGUAUACAUAAAACAUUUAAAGAAAUAAAUACAUUACUUUAUUUUUUGUAUUAGAUAAAUUAAAUUAUUUAUGUAUGUAAUAUAAAAUACAAAAUUAUGUUAUAUCGAUAAUUCUAUUAAUAAUUUAUAAAAUUUAAAUAAAAAAGAUUUCAUAUAUAAAAUCAUAAUUUUUUAGAUUUAUCCAUAUAGCAAACAACUCCAAGUUGUGGGACAUAUAAGCCAUGCAUGCGUCAUAUCAAACGUACAAAAAACUUCUAAAGAUAGGGAAAUACUAAGUCAAUGUGUCUUUGUGCUGAAAGAAUGUUGAAUUCAAUUAUAAUUCUACAAAUUAUGCACUUGUAAGUCCAUAAUAUAAAUAAAUGAACAUGAAAUUACUUUAUCAUGUCAUAUUCCAUGAUUUGCUGACAGGAUCUUUAUCUUCCACCUGCUUUUCCUGGCAAAUUAAGAAAGACCAACUUAAGCUCCAAGCAAGUCUAGUGGGUCCUUCUGUAUAGUAUUCUAAUACUUUAAAUUAUACAUUUAAUUGAUUUUAGUAGUUAAAUUUUAUUAUUAGAUUGAUUUUAUGUGUAAGUUGUAACUCUAUUCUUUAGAUUGAUUUUUUUUAAUCCUUAAGAUUUUUGGAUUUUAAAAUUCAAUCCUAACUCAAAAGGAACGACAGUAGUUAAAUUCAUUAAGUAAUAUAAUACCGUUUUUGUGAGUAUUAUUUGUAAAUAAAAAGCUAAUAUAGUAUCACACAUGAUAAUAUAUUUGUUGUAUAAUAUUUUAAAAAUAAUAAAUCUAACUGCUAUUGUACAAGCCCAAUUUUGAACCUGGGCCCAAGAACCCAAAACCAAUUAACGCACCUAGACUAAACCCAAAUCCGAAUGGCCCAAUUACAACACCCAAAACCCAAACAGAACCUGACCCAACUACCCAAUUACACCCACCAACCCAAUAAGCCCAAAAUCUAAAAGCCCAAUGCUCAUUUUCAGAAAAAACAAAUCAGCCUAGGGUUUUAGAAACUGAAACCCUAGCCCCUAACCAAGUGGCGCCGCACCCUACCCCUAGCCUCUGCCACCGCCACCAACGUCAUGCCACCACCGCCACGGUCACGUCACCACCACCACUUGCACCGUCACCUGCAAAGAAGAAACAAAACAAAGAAAAAGAUAGCAAAGAACACAAGCAGUAGAGAAUUGGUUAUAAAAGCCGAAUAUGUAACUCUUUUCUUUUUUCUUUUUAGCUAGCUAUCUAUGUAACACAAAAAAACAGAUAGUAGCAAAAAAAGAAAACGAAAAUAAACAGAUUCAAGGUGAUUUUGGCCAUUCUAUUUUUCUGUUUCUUUUUUUUCCCCUUUUUGCAAGUUUUUUUUUUAUUAUUCAUUUAGAUUUUAUCUCAUUUAAAACAAAAAAAAAGAGUGAGUGUACCUGGUGAAGGCCGCGACCUCGCCGUCGGGAGGGGUUUUCUUCUCCGUUGUCCGAUUUGGGCUUAGGGAGGAUUGAAAAUCCCUUUUCUUCGGUCCGGCGGGUUGAGAGAGCAUCGGCUCUCAAGGAUACCUCACAACGAAGGCUAGAAAGCCUUGUUUCGCAACGCCGGCCUUGGCUCGCGGCGACGGAGCGGUGGUGGACGGAGGGUUGAGAGAAAAAGUCAAGUAUUUGAAGUUUUUUUAAAAGAUGGUGGCUAAAUAAGGGUUAUUAGAAAUUUUUGUUUUAAAUAACCCUAUAAAACGGCGUCGUUUGGGCUUAAUGUUCAGAGACCAAAAACGGCGUCGUUUUGGUCUCUAACCCGCGCGGUGACUCGACCCUGGGGGAGGAUCUGCGUGUUUUCUUCAAAUGGGUUAUUUAUGCGCGUAGUCCCUCCUAUUUUUCAGCGCAUUACAAUUUGGUCCUAUUUCGUUGUUUUCUUUUAUUUUGAUCUAACCCUAAAAUUUUACUUUUGUUUCAUUUUAGUCCACUGAAGUGCUGCGUUUUAGAACUUUGGUUUAUUUACUAUGUUUGUCCCCCCUUUUUGGCGCGCGUCACAAUUUAAUCCUUUUUUUGUUUUUUAUUUCAAUUUCACCCAAUACAUUCGUUUUUAUUUCAAUUUAGUCCAUAUUCUAGUAUUCUUAUUAUUAUUAUUACCUACUUAUUUAUAUUUUUUAUUCAAAUCUCGAUAUAUAUAUACAUGUAUAUAUUUUUAUGAUAUAAAUACAUUAUUUUUUUAUAACUUAUAUAUACUUAUAUAUUUUUACAUAUUUUACAACUUAUAUACAUAUCUAUAUAUCUAUAUUUUUAUUUUCAUAAAUACAUAUACCUACUUAUAUACAAUCUUUAUAAUUUAAAACAUACCUUUUUAUAUACUUUUUUAAAUUCAUACAUACAUACAUAUAUAUAUUAUGUUAUUCACUACUAUUGUUUUAUUUGGUGUUAAUUUAUUUACUUAUUUACAUGCUCAUUAUCAUUAUUAUUUUAUUUAAGUGCUUUAAUUUUUUAUUUGUUUAUUUACUUUUAUUUUUUGAUUUCUUUUCAUUAUAUAUUUGCCAUAUUAUUUAUUUAUCUUUUCUUAUUUUGCUUGUGUUAUUUAUAUUAUCAUUAUCAUCAUUAUUUUACAUUUUACUCGGAUUUAUCAAAAAAAAAAAUUUUUUUCAAAUAAGGCAAUGUUUUUCAGAAAAAUGGGUGCUGGGUGUCGAUUUUUCUCGUUCAACCAAAUGGCUUAAUAUCCUUUUAAAAAUUUUAAACUAAGGCAAUGUUUUGCGUUUGGAAAUUCGAGAAAACAUGCCCUAAGGUGCUGGGUGUCGAUUUUUCUCGUUCAACCAAAUGGCUUAAUAUCCUUUUAAAAAAAUUUCAAAAUAUGACAAUAUUUUGCGUUUGAAAAUUCGAGAAAACAUGCCCUAAGGUGUUGGGUGUUGAUUUUUCUCAUUCAACCAAAUGGCUAAAUAUCCUUUUAAAAAUUUCAAAAUAAGGCAAUGUUUUGCAUUUGGAAAUUCGAGGAACAUGCCCUAAUGUGCUGGGUUUCGAUUUCUCGAUUGACCGAAUAGCCAAAUAUCCUCUUGAAUUUUCAAUCCAUAUCAUCCGAGUUUUUUUAAGGAUCGUAUUUUAAAUUUCUUUAAAGUUUUCAAUUUUUUGACACUAAGACAUUAAGUAAUUAACUAGAUACCAAUUUUGGGCGUAUCGAGGGUGCUAAUCCUUCCUCGUGCGUAACCGACUCCCGAACCCAUUUUUCUGAAUUUCGUGGAACAAACUUGUUAUUUUAAUAAAAUCAAAUCGUUUAUUAAAAACAACCACUUUUCGAGGUGAUCCGAUCACACCUCAUCAAAAAAAGAUUGGUGGCGACUCCCAUUUUCGUUUUCAUUUUCCAAAACCCAAGUUGACCCCGUUUUCAAUAAAAAAAUGGUGCCAAUAGCUAUCAUUUGAGUUACACAUAAUUUAAAGAAUUUAAUUAUUUUAUAAAUCAAAAUAGUAUCGGUGCCCCUAAUCCUAUGAUAAAAAAAAUUUAUAUUAAGGAGAAGUCUUAGGUUGGACAUCCUAUACCCUGAUUGUAUUUGUGUGAACAUGGUGGUACAAGAGUUGAUUUUUUGGUACUCCAAUGGAAGAAAGAGCCAACAAAAAUAUAGAAAAUAUAAUUGACACUUCCAGAAGAUUUUCGUAUGUCAAAAUGAGAUUACGUAUAUACAAAGAAAAUUGAGAUGUAGAUCACUAGAUGUAAACAUUUGAGGCUGCCAUGAAACAUCAUUACACCAUAUCAAAAUCAGACCCUAAGAAAGAGUCGAUUUCUGUAGAAGGUCCCUACCCUAUAUAUAUUGUGAAUUUAGUCCUUUCAUAUAAUUCGGUAUUUUUAAUCUCUCCCUUUUUUGGAAAUUACAAAUUCAAUUCAUAGAGAAGGACACCAAAAUUGGUUAUACAAAUCAAAAAACUUUUUUUUUAUGUCUAUGAGACUUUACCCGAAAUCUAAUUUAUUAUUAAUAUGCAGUGUAAGAUGUGAUUUAAGUUCAACUUUCUCACUAAAUUGUAACAUCUCGCUCCUAUGUAUCAAUAUAAGAUCAUUUUCUCCCACUAAGACUUUCCCUUGAAAUCUUAGCUUCAAACUGAAAAAAUUCAAUAUUCUAAUACAAUAUUUUAAAACAAUAUUCAUAAAUCAGACAUGCUAGAAGUAUUAAUUUCCACGAACAGUGUGACAUACUAGUUGAAUACAAUAUAUCGCUCCUAUGUAUCAAUAUAAGAUCAUUUUCCCUCACUAAAACUUUCCCUUGAAAUCUUAGCUUCAAACUAAAAAAAAUUCAAUAUUCUAAUAUAAUAUUCAUAAAUCAGGCAUGCUAGAAGUAUUAAUUUCCAUGAACAGGGUGACAUGCUAGUUGAAUGCAAUAUUCUAAUACAAAAUAGGUAGUGAUUAGUGCUUGAAGAAAAUUCAAAUCUUGACGUAAACAUUUGCAGCUGCCUUGAAAUAUCAUUACAUCAUAUCAAAAUCAGACUAUUUUUUUAACUGAAAAAAAUUGAGUUAAGUUAAAUAUCACUCAUAAAUCAUAGCGUCUCUUCCAAGUUUUGGGAAGAGAUUAUGGGAAAAACUAUUAGCUGCUCUAUUUUACUAGCUUUAAUAUCUUGCUUUUACUUACUAUUUCCACUGCUUCACACACUAUAACAGCAUCAAAAUCCAUCAAAGACCCUUAUUGGGAAUUAUCCAUAUUUAUGGAACAUCAAAGAUAUGGGUAUCAAAUAAUAGAAAGUCAAAGAUAUGGGUAUCAAAUAUUGGAAAGUCAAAUAUAUGGGUACCGAGAUAUUGGCAUAAUAAAAUCUGAGAUAUUUGCAAUAUAUGGUCCCUAAUUGUAAAGUGACUUUGCAAGUUGAUCCCUGAACCUCAACUAUAAAUAAGCAUGACCAUCUCUCAUUUUGUAUCUCAAACUUGCAAUUCUCUACUUAAGGCAUUGUUUUCUCUCUCUCUCUUUGUAAAUUCUCACUUGUAUUUUGGAGUGAAAUAUAUUUGGUAGUGCCCGAGGACGUAGGCAAAAUUUGCUGAACCUCGUUAAAUUCUUGUGUUCUUUAUUGUAUUAUUCUGCAUGAAUUGUGAGUGUGAUUGUAGUGAUUUAUUGUGCUAUUAAAUUAUGAUUGAAGGAUAUUCUGGAUAGGAAAGACCUGGUACUUAAGCGAUCCUUGUGAUCCACCUCUCUUUCCUGGGAAUUGAACUUAGUGUGAUUUUUUAGUACAAUAAUUUUACUCUUUUACACGCUUCCGCACAACAAUUGGUAUCAGAGCUAGAUUCGUACUUGGGGAAUACGAUCAUUCACGGCACUAUUCACGUACUGUAGUUGGGAUUGAGGAGAAAAAAUGGAAAAGGCAUCGUCAUCAACAAAGACUACUGUGACCAAUGUGAAAUUUGAAGUAGAAAAAUUUGAUGGUACCAAUAAUUUUGGUAUGUGGCAAUGUGAGAUCCUGGAUGUCUUAUGUCAGCAAGAGCUGGAUAUAGCCCUUGAAGAAAAACCUGACAAGAUGGAUGACAAGGAGUGGGCCAAGAUCAAUAGACAGGCAUGUGGAACAAUUCGCCUAUGUUUGGCCAAAGAGCAGAAGUACUCUGUCAUGAGGGAGACAUCAGCGAAGAAGUUGUGGGAUACACUGGAAGAAAAGUUUCUAACAAAAAGUCUUAAAAAUAGACUUUAUAUGAAAAAAAAACUUUAUCGAUUCACGUAUGCACCCGGUAUGUCGAUGAAUGACCAUGUGAACUCAUUCAAUAAAAUUUUAGCAGACUUGCUAAAUUUGGAUGAGAAAUUUGAAGAUGAAGACAAGGCAUUACUGUUGUUGAAUUCUCUUCCUAAUGAAUAUGAUCAUCUUACCACCACAUUGCUUCAUGGGAAGGAUACAAUCAUAUUUGAUGAAGUCUGUAGUGCGUUGUAUAGAUCUGAGACUCGAAAGAAAGAUAAAAACGAUCACAGAAAUACAACUACAGAAGUCUUAAUAGUAAGAGGUUGUUCGCGCAGCAACAAAUCUAGUAGAAGGAGUAAGUCCAAAGGGAGACCUGCCAAAGAUGAAUGUGCUUUUUGUCGUGAGAAAGGGCAUUGGAAAAAGAAUUGUCCUAAGUUACAAAAGGGUAGAGCUAUUUCUGAUGCAUGUAUAGCGGAGCAUGAUGAGGAGUCAGACUUUAGCUUGGUUGGCAUGGCAAUGGCAUGUCAUACAGAUGAGUGGAUUUUGGAUUUGGGAUGUACUUACCAUAUGUGUCCUAAUAAGGAUUGGUUUUCUAGUCUUAAAGAACUAGAAGGUGGAGUUGUUUUUAUGGGUAAUGAUAGCGCUUGUAAGACAAUGGGAGUAGGUACAAUCCAAUUGAAGAAUCAUGAUGGCUCAAUUCAAGUCUUGAUUGAUGUUCGCUACAUACCUAGCUUGAAGAAAAAUCUUAUCUCAUUAGGGGUCCUAGAAUCUAAAGGGCUCACAAUCACUGUGAGAGAUGGAUUACUAAAGGUAGUAGCUACGGUAUUGACGGUGAUGAAAGGCACAAGAAGGAAUAAUCUGUACUAUUUAAAUGGAAGUACAGUUAUUGGAUCAACAUCAACAGCUUCUAUGAAAUAUGCAGAUUCAGAGGCUACCAGGUUAUGGCAUAUGCGAUUGGGACAUGCUGGUGAAAAAGCUUUGCAGAGUUUGGCGAAGCAAGGCUUGUUGAAAUGUGCAAAUUCUUGCAAAUUGGAAUUCUGUGAACAUUGUGUUCUGGGCAAGCAGACGAGGAUAAAAUUUGGUUCAGCAAUUCACAAUACAAAAGGAAUUCUAGACUACGUUCACAGUGAUGUGUGGGGACCUACUAAAGUGGCUUCUUUGGGAGGUAUGCACUAUUUUGUUACUUUUUUUGAUGAUUAUUCAAAAAAAGUAUGAGUGUAUCUAAUGAAAAGGAAAAAUGAAGUUUUGGAUGUAUUUCUGAAAUAGAAGAGUAUGGUGGAGACCCAGAUUGGUCGAAAAGUCAAACGACUUCGAUCAGACAAUGGUACUGAGUACAAGAAUGAUUCAUUUCUACAAGUAUGUCACGAUGAAGGCAUUGUACGACACUUCACUGUUUGAGAUACACCACAACAGAAUGGGGUGGCAGAACAUAUGAAUCAGACUAUACUGGAGAAAGUUCGAUGUAUGUUGUCCAAUGCUGGAUUGGGCAAAUAAUUUUGGGCUGAGGUAGUUACAUAUGCGUGCCAUCUAAUUAACCGAUUACCAUCAGCUGCAAUAAAUGGAAAAACUCCUAUGGAGAGGUGGGCUGGUAAACCUGCUACUGAUUAUGAUUCUUUACAUGUUUUUGGUUCCACUGCAUAUUAUCAUGUAAAAGAAUCUAAGUUAGACCCAAAAGCAAAGAAAGCAUUAUUCAUGGGUAUUACUGGUGGAGUAAAAGGAUACCGUCUCUGGUGUCCUGAUACAAGGAAAAUUAUUUUCAGUAGAGAUGUGGCUUUUGAUGAAUCAACCAUGAUGAAGAACAAUGAUUCACUAAAGGAUAACACAACCAGUGGCACUUUGCAGCAGGUGGAGCUUGAAAAGGUUAAUGAUGAUCUAGCUAAUAUUUAAGGAACAAAUGAUGAUAAAGUUUCGACCCAAGAACUUCUACAGCAACAUGAUUCAAUUGCAUAUAGAAGGCCAAGAAGAGAGAUUCGUAUGCCUGCUCGCUUUGAUGAUAUGGUGGCCUAUGCACUUCCAAUGCAGAUGAUGAUGUUCCUUCUACUUACACAGAAGCAAGAAGUAACCCUGAUGGUGUAAAGUGGAAGCAAGCUAUGAAUGAAGAAAUGCAGUCUCUUCAUAAAAAUAGGACUUGGGAGUUGGUGACACUACCCAAAGGAAAGAAGGCAAUUGGAUGCAAAUGGGUAUAUGCAAAGAAGGAAGGAUUUCCUGAUAAAAAUGAAGUUCGAUACAAGGCUAGAUUGGUAGCAAAGGGUUACGCUCAGAAAGAAAGAAUAGACUACAAUGAAAUAUUUUCUCCAAUUGUAAAGCAUUCGUCUAUUCGGAUUUUGCUAGCCUUGGUUGUGCAAUAUGAUCUUGAACUAGUUCAGCUCGAUGUGAAGACCGCAUUUUUUACACAGUGAUUUGGAAGAGGAAAUCUAUAUGACUCAGCCAGAUGGAUUCAAGGUUGCUGAUAAAGAAAAUUGGGUUUGCAAACUGACAAAGUCGCUUUAUGGAUUGAAACAUUCUCCGAGGCAGUGGUACAAGCGAUUUGAUCAGUUCAUGAAAGGGCAAAGGUAUACAAGAAGUAAAUUUGAUCAUUGCGUGUAUUUUCAAAAGCUAUAAGAAGGAUUUUUCGUAUACUUGCUCUUAUAUGUUGAUGAUAUGUUGAUAGCAUCUAAGGGUAAAGUUGAAAUUGAGAGAUUGAAGACUCAACUCAACCUUGAGUUUGAGAUGAAAUAUCUAGGUGAAGCUAAGAAGAUCCUUGGCAUGGAAAUAUGUAAGGAUAGAGCUCAUGGCAGAGUUAGUUUGUCUCAGAAGCAAUAUUUAAAGAAGAUACUACAGAAGUUUGGCAUGAACGAGCAGACUAAAGCUGUAAGUACCCCGUUGGCUUCUCAUUUCAAGCUUUCUGCACAAUUAUCUCCUUCGACAAAUACGGAACAAGAAUACAUGUUACAAGUUCCGUAUUCUAAUGCAGCAGGUAGCUUGAUGUAUGCAAUGGUGUCUACAAGACCCGACAUUUCACAGGCAGUUAGUAUAGUGAGCAGGUAUAUGCAUAAUCCUGGAAAAGGACAUUGGCAAGCUGUGAAAUGGAUUCUACGGUAUAUUCAUAAGACCAUGGAUAUUGGAUUACUGUUCAAGCAGGAUACUACACUUGGUAAAGGUGUUGUUGGGUACGUUGAUUCUGAUUAUGCCGGUGAUUUGGACAAACGGAGAUCAACCACUGGUUAUGUGUUUACUCUUGUUGGAGGACCAAUAAGUUGGAAGUCUACACUGUAGUCUACAGUUGCGUUGUCAACCACAGAAGCUGAAUACAUGGCUGUAACAGAGGCUGUAAAGGAAGCUAUUUGGUUACAAUGUAUGGUUAAAACCUUGGGAUUGGUUCAGGAGCAUAUUAAUGUGUAUUGUGAUAGUCAAAGUGAUAUUCAUUUAGCAAAGAAUCAAGUCUAUCAUGCACGUACAAAGCAUAUCAACAUACGUUUCCAUUUUGUGCGGGAAAUUAUUGAUGAGGGGAAAAUUCACCUUCUGAAGAUUAAGACUGUAGAUAAUCCCGCAGAUAUGAUGACCAAGGUGGUAACAACAAUCAAGUUCAAACAUUGUUUGAACUUGAUCAAUAUUCUGCAUGUUUAACAGUUGAAGAAGGCACUAUCAAGUGUUGUUGACAAAGGCAGAGAGAAUUGUGUGAAGAUAAGAUUACUCGAAUCAAAUCUUCAAGGUGGAGAUUAUUGGGAAUUAUCCAUAUUUAUGGAAAAUCAAAGAUAUGGGUAUCAAAUAAUAGAAAGUCAAAGAUAUGGGUAUCAAAUAUUAGAAAGUCAAAUAUAUGGGUACCGAGAUAUUGGCAUAAUAAAAUCUGAGAUAUUUGCAAUAUAUGGUCCCUAAUUGUAAAGUGACUUUGCAAGUUGAUCCCUGAACCUCAACUAUAAAUAAGCAUGACCAUCUCUCAUUCUGUAUCUCAAACUUGCAAUUCUCUACUUAAGGCAUUGUUUUCUCUCUCUUUCUUUGUAAAUUCUCACUUGUAUUUUGGAGUGAAAUAUAUUUGGUAGUGCCCGAAGACGUAGGCAAAAUUUGCUGAACCUCGUUAAAUUCUUGUGUUCUUUAUUGUAUUAUUCUGCAUGAAUUGUGAGUGUGAUUGUAGUGAUUUAUUAUGCUAUUAAAUUACGAUUGAGGGAUAUUCUGGCUAGGAAAGACCUGGUACUUAAGCGAUCUUUGUGAUCCAUCUCUCUUUCCUGGGAAUUGAACUUAGUGUGAUUUUUUAGUACAAUAAUUUUACUCUUUUACACGCUUCCGCAUAAUCUCCCAGAAUGGUGUUUUCUGAUUGAGAUUCUUCAGCUUGGCUAACUCCAGCAAUCGUUAUGUAGGGAUAUUGUACCAUCAAAUCCACGUUCAAACUGUUGUUUGGGUGGCAAAUAGAAACAGGCCUCCCAAAGACUUUUCUGGGAUUCUCACCAUAUCAGAUGAUGGCAACCUUGUUGUUUCCAAUGGAAAAGCUUAGAUUAUUUGGUCAAAAAAUGUAACGAAUUUGGUUCCUAAUGCAACAACUGCAUAGCUUUUAGACUCCGGAAACCUUGUCCUCAAUAACGGUGAGAAUGGAGGAAGCAGCAUCUUAUGAGAGAGUUUUCAACACCCUUCUAAUGUAUUCCUUCAAACUAUAAAGAUCAGCACUGAUGUAAAAACGGGUCGUAAGGUGCAGACGAGAUCAUGGAAAAGCCCUGAUGAUCCAUCCGAUGGCAACUUUUUUCAAGGCAUUGAACCUUUCAGCAUCCCAGAGGGUGUCAUUUGGAACAAUAACCAGAUAUAUUUUCGGACCGGCCCAUGGAAUGGUCGUAUCUAUAUUGGUUUAAUAAAUGUUAAUAGAGUUGAUUUUGAUGGUUUUAUGUGGUUGCAGAUGAUGUAGAAUAAACUUAUUACGAAACUUACAAAUAUUCUACUGACUCUAGGUUGAUAUACUAUGAAUUAGAGUCUAACGGAAGAUACGUUGAACGAAUAUGGGAUGCGGGGAAAGGGGACUGGAUAAACGGGUACUCUAGUUAUCUAACAGAUUGUGAUGUUUAUGGGAAGUUUGGGGCAUUUGGAUUCUGUGAUUCAACGAAACGACCCAUUUGCAGUUGUUUGAAAGGAUUUAAGCCUAGGAAUAUAGAGGAAUGGAGUAGUGGGUUUUUUAGGACUACCCCUUUGCACUGCCAAAGAGAUAACAAAAAUGGAAGUGAAGCAGGCCAAGGAGAUGAUGGGUUUUUAAAGCUGAAGAAGAUAAAAGUACCGGCAUUUCCAGACCAGUCACCAAUAACUAACGGCGAAUGCAAAGAUCAAUGCAUGAAGAAUUGUUCGUGCGUCGCUUAUGAGUAUGAUGCUGGCAUUGGUUGCAUGUUAUGGAGUGGAGAUUUGAUUGAUGUCCAGAAAUUCUCUAAUCGGGGAGUCGACCUUUACAUUCGUCUGCCGUCUUCGGAACGUGGUAAACUUGUCUUCCAUAUCGACCAUGUGUGUGACGAAUUGCAUCAAUUAAUCUUCAUUUUUGGUUUAGAUGUUUUAUUAACCAUGUUUCUGGAUUUGCAGAUAAAAGGAAUAGUGAGAUAAUUGUUAUUACAACAGUAAAUUCAGGCAUGGUGGUGAUUAUAAUAAUUUCUGCACUCUUCUUAUUGCGUAGAAUGGGUCAACAAAUAGGUAAAAUGUACACCUUUAUUUAUUUAAUCUUUUUAGUCACUUUUUUUAAGAAAUAUGUAAAUUCUUUAAGAGUUCUCUUCGGGUAAAAUUGAAUUUAAAGGUAUUUUUUACUCGAUUUAAAUUCAAAUUUUAGAUAAAAUAAAAUAAAACUGAAAUAGAAUUGAGUCAAACUCGAAUACGGAGAAAAGCUCUAAACUUGAUUGAGUACUAUUGUAAAAGUUAAAAGACUGAAUUCAAGUGAAAUUAAAUUAUUUCAGUUUUGCUCGAUUAAGUUCGUUUAUAUAAAUUACAUAUUCGUAUUUGAUUUUAUAUAUAUAUUCGUUUAUAUAAAUUAUUUCAGAUAUACUUUUAUAUUUAAAUAAACUGGACCAUGUGUUAGAUAAAUUGGGUGAAUUAAUUUGCAAUUCUUUUGGGUCGAAGUUUCAUAAACCAAUUUUUUGGAUUUGCAGAUAAAGGGAAAAGUAGUAAGGUCGUCUUUGUUAUUACAACAGUAACUGUGGGCAAUUAUGUAGCCUUCAACUCAUUGCUUUUUUGAUUUCUAUCACAGGAAGGAAUAAAAGACGGACACAGAUCGAAGACAAAUUUCAUGGUGAAAAUAUAGGAGAAAGUUCAAUCGGUGUUAAUCUCCAGCAGCUUCCACUAUUCAAUUUCGAAGAACUUGCCACCGCGACCAACAACCAUCCCCAAAAAAAGCUAGGGCAGGGUGAUUUUGGUCCGGUUUACAAGGUAAUAUAUAAUAGCGAUUUUCGGUUGGUAGGAUAAUCAUCACCGGCCCAAAGCCGGAUUAUAAUGAGCUCGUAGGCCAGGCUCGUUAGUCGAGAAAUUUGUAAGAAAGCAAGUUCAACUUGCGAGUUCACUACAAUCUAACCCAAACCCAUUCAAAUUUUGAGCAGAUGAUGAUAAUUAUCCUAAAACCGGUGAAUCCAUGAGUCAAUGAAAUGACAUUUUUUUUUCAAUCUAAUUAUUGUAGUUUGAAUUUUGAGUGCAGGGAACAUUAGAUGAUGGAAAUGAAUCCACCAAAUUCCUUCAGAAAUAUGGCCUUCGGGAGAAUCAUCAGCACCAUGGGAUGUUCAAAGGAAUCCACCAACACCUUAUCAAAACCAGCUGAAGGAAGCCUUAAAUGAAUAUUGGUCCAACAUACCAGAUCCAAAAGAAUGGUCUCAAGAUUAUCCAAUGCAUUGCAGUCAGAUAAUCCAAGAUACACAUGAUGAAGGACCAAGUGUUUCACAAAUGACAAAACCUUCACCAAUUCCCAAAAGUAAUAAUGAUGAUGUGAUUCCACCAAAUGAUCUGGAAAGCAGGAUUGAAAAGCUAGAGCUUAGGUGUUACAGAGCCCGUGAAAAGAAAAGACAGAAAGUGGAAGAACUCAACAUCACCUCUGAUAUUGAUACAAACUAUGACACAGAUACAGAUACAGAUGUAUCAAUAAUAGAUAAGUUAAUGUAAAAGCAGAUUCCUCCUUAUCUGCUUAUGUCCUUUAUGUAUGAGUCAUGUCCUUUAUGUUUGUAAAAGCAGAUUCCUCCUUAUCUGCUUAUGUCCUUUAUGUAUGAGUCAUGUCCUUUAUGUUUGUAAAAGCAAAUUCCUCCUUAUCUGCUUACUUCUACUUUUCCCCUCUAUAUAAGCACGGGGAAGUCUCAGAUGUAAAAUAAGAACUUCCUUUGAAAUAAAACCCAAAAGAGUUUUUAUAAAUCUAUGGCUUUCUAAACCUCUUUCAUCUCUUCUUACUUGAAAAUAGAAUUUCUAUGAAAGAAAAUCUCUCAUUAGUUUAAGAGUAUGCUCUGUGCUUGCCAUACUCAUGGAUCCUGCACAUCAGAAAUUAAAUAUGAUAAAAGAUAUUAUUAAGUUCAGUUGAGUUUGAAGAAGGAAUUCAGUGAUUAAAGAGAUUAACAGCUAAAAGGCAGUGCCUUGUUGAUGGCCAGAAAAGAGAUGAAAGGCCUGUGUUUUGGCAUAGCAUACCUGCUGUUACUCAUCGUUAAUUGCUGAUCUCUAGCUUCUUACUCACCUACCCUCAAUUGGUUGGGACUUGGCAUAUUUACCUAUUUAGUCCUUUUAAAUUUUCUUUAAUCUAUAAUUAAACUUUUACCCUUGUUGCAAUUUAGCCCUUUUUAAUCAAUUAACCAUCGGAACAUUAAAAUUUCUUAACGAAACUUUAAUACUACCCUAAUGACACUCCAAAAAUAUUUAUAAAAAUAUUUACGACUCAAUUUAUAAUAUCGAGGUCUCGAUACCUCGUUUUUGACCCAAUUUUCCUAAUAAUUUCUUUUAAAUCACAAAAUUCGCUAAUUCAAAAAUAUUUCUAAAAUCACGCUGAACUUAUAAUUAUUAAUUAAUAAAUUUUUCUAACGUUUUCAUCAGAUUUAGUGAUCUCAAAUCACUAUUCUGACACUACUGAAAAUUGGGCUGUUACACUUUGACUUCUAAAAAUAUUGAAAUUUUGAUUUAGUCCUUUAAAAUUAUAAAGAUAUAAGUUAGUAAAAUAGUGAAAUUGCAUUUCAUCUCUCACAAAAAUAUAUAACUUAAUUCCAAUCCCUAGAAAAAUUUUCUGACUUCCUCUAAUUAAACUUCUUAUCACUCAAUCCAACAUCUGUAGCGAAGCAAAUAUCCUUAUUUGUAAGAUCCGUAUUUUUAAUCUCUCCGCUUUCUGGAAAUUACAAAUUCAAUUCAUAGAUAUGGAAACUAAAAUUGGUUAUACAAAUCAAAAAACCUUUUUACGUCUACGAGACUUUACCCAAAAUCUAAUUUAUUAUUAAUAUGCAGUGUAAGAUGUGAUUUAAGUUCAACUUUCUCACUAAAUUAUAACAUCGCUCCUAUGUAUUAAUAUAAGAUCAUUUUCCCCCACUAAGACUUUCCCAUGAAAUCUUAGCUUCAAACUGAAAAAAAUUUAAUAUUCUACAAUAUUCUAAUACAAUAUUCAUAAAUCAGACAUGCUAGAAGUAUUAAUUUCCAUGAACAGGGUGACAUGCUAAUUGAAUACAAUAUUCUAAUACAAAAUAGGUAGUGAUUAGUGCUUGAAGAAAAUUCAAAUCUUGAUCUAAACAUUUGCAGCUGCCUUGAAAUAUCAUUACAUCAUAUUAAAAUCAGACUAUUUUUUUAACUGAAAAAAAAUUGAGUUAAGUUAAAUAUCAUUCAUAAAUCAUAGCGUCUCUUCCAAGUUCUGGGAAGAGAUUAUGGGAAAAACUAUUAGCUGCUCUGUUUUACUAGCUUUAAUAUAUUGCUUUUACUUACUAUUUGCCACUGCUUCACACACUAUAACAGCAUCAAAAUCCAUCAAAGACCCUGAUGUUAUAAUCUCCCAGAAUGGUGUUUUCCGAUUGGGAUUCUUUGUUGGAGAAUAAAACGUGAGAGAGCUAAAAUAAUAUAUAGGAAAGUUACUCUCUUAUUAAUGAAUUCUAGAUGAGUAAAAACAAAGAAUAAGUGCCUAUAUUUAUAGGCUUACAUGGAAACUAACUUAACAUAAAAAUAGCUAACAAAUUAUUUGGUCAAGCUAAAAAAUCUGAAACUACCAAGAUUUUCUAAACAUCCCACUAAUAUGUUAUUUUGAAUUAUUCUCAACACUCCCCCUUAAUUCAAAGUUGCAGACACCAAGUAAACUUCUAAAAUAGCAAAACUUCUCUUUUGAUAAUGCUUUUGUUAACAUAUCUGCCAGCUGCUCUUCAGUGUUGCAAUAUUCCAAAGAUAUCUCCCCUUUUGCUACCAAAUCACGAAUGAAAUGAUAACAAAUAUCUAUGUGCUUUGUUCUACUAUGAAAUGUUGGAUUCUUUAUCAUGGAGAUCGUGGAUUUGUUGUCACAAACUAUGGUAGUUGCACAUUUCUGCUCUUAUUGGAGAUCGGUUAACAUUCUCCUUAGCCAAAUGGCUUGACAAGCUGUUGCAGUUGCUGCUACAUAUUCAGCCUCUGAGGUUGGCAAUACUGUUGUAGCUUGCUUCGUAGAACUCCAAGUGAUCACCCCAGAACCUAGAGUAAAAACAAAUAUUGAUACACUUCUUCUGUCAUCUAGAGAACUUGCCCAAUCACUAUCUGUGAACCCACACAAUCUGAAAUCUGAAGUUUUUGAGUACCAAAUGCCAUACUCCAAAGUUCCAGCAAUGUAUCGCAAUACUCGUUUUGCUGCUCCAUAAUGAACCUUUGAAGGUUGCUGCAUAAACCUGGAAAUAACACCAACAGAAAAUGCAAUAUCGGGUCUAGUGUGAGUCAAAUAGAUUAAACCUCCAACCAAGCUUCUAAACCUCCUUGCAUCUGUCAUUUCUUCUCCAUCCUCUUGCUGCAAUUUUUCAUUGAUAUUCAUGGGUGUAGCUGCAGGCUUGCAAUUAAGCAUACUAAAUUUACUGAGAAGAUCCUUGGCAUAUUUCCUUUGUGAGAUAAAAAUUCCAUCGUUAGCUUGAUGAAUUUCAAGACCGAGGAAAUAAUGCAAUAAACCCAUAUCGGAUAUCUCAAAUUCAUUCAUCAUUUGAGACUUAAAUUCAUCAACCAGUAAGUUAGAGAAACUAAUAUAAAUGAUUUCAUCAACCCACAGGUCCUAGGAUCGAAACCUGACUCUGAUACCAAAUUUGUUGGAGAAUAAAAUGUAAGAGAGAUAAAAUAAUAUGUAGAAAAGUUACUCUCUUAUUAAUGAAUUCUAGAUGAGUAAAAACAAAGAAUAAAUGCCUAUAUUUACAGGCUUACAUGGAAACUAACUUAACAUAAAAAUAGCUAACAAAUUAUUUGGUCAAUCUACAAAAUCUGAAACUACCAAGAUACUACCAAGAUUUUCUAAACAUCCCACUAAUAUGUUAUUUUGAAUUAUUCUCAACAUUCUUCAGCUUGGCUAACUCCAGCAAUCGUUAUGUAGGGAUAUUGUACCAUCAAAUCCCCCUACAAACUGUUGUAGGGUGGCAAAUAGAAACAGGCCUCUCAAAGACAUUUCUGGGAUUCUCACCAUAUCAGAUGAUGGCAACCUUGUUGUUUCCAAUGGAAAAGCUGAGAUUCUUUGGUCAACAAAUGUAACGAAUUUGGUUCCUAAUGCAACAACUGCACAGCUUUUAGACUCCGGAAACCUUGUCCUUAAUAACGGUGAGAAUGGAGGAAGCAGCAUCUUAUGGGAGAGUUUUCAACAUCCUUCUAAUGUAUUCCUUCAAACUAUGAAGAUCAGCACUGAUGUAAAAACAGGUCGUAAGGUGCAGACGAGAUCAGGGAAAAGCCCUGAUGACCCAUCUGAUGGCAACUUUGUUCAAGGCAUUGAACCUUUCAGCAUACCGGAGGGUGUCAUUUGGAACAAUAACCAUAUAUAUUUUCGGACCGGCCCAUGGAAUGGGUCGUAUCUAUAUUGGUUUAAUAAAUGUUAAUAGAGUUUAUUUUGAUGGGUUUUAUGUGGUUGCAGAUGAUGUAGAAAAAACUUAUUACGAAACUUACGAAUAUUCUACUGACUCUAGGGUGAUAUACUAUGAAUUAGAGUCUAACGGAAGAUACGUUGAACGAAUAUGGGAUGCGGCGAAAGGGAACUGGAUAAACGGGUACUCUAGUUAUCUAACAGAUUGUGAUGUUUAUGGAAAGUGUGGGGCAUUUGGAAUCUGCGAUUCAACGAAACGACCCAUUUGCAGUUGUUUGAAAGGAUUUAAGCCUAGGAAUAUAGAGGAAUGGAGUAGAGGUAAUUGGAGUAGUGGGUGUUUUAGGACUACCCCUUUGCACUGCCAAAGAGAUAACAACAAUGGAUGUGAAGCAGGCCAAGGAGAUGAUGGAUUUUUAAAGCUGAAGAAGAUGAAAGUGCCAGCAUUUCCAGACCAGUCAUCAAUAACUAACGGCGAAUGCAAAGAUCAAUGCAUGAAGAAUUGUUCGUGUGUGGCUUAUGCGUAUGAUGCUGGCAUUGGUUGCAUGUUAUGGAGUGGAGAUUUGAUUGAUGUCCAGAAAUUCUCUAAUCGGGGAGUCGAUCUUUACAUUCGUCUGACAUCUUCGGAACUUGGUAAACUUGUCUUCCAUAUCGACCAUGUGUGUGACGAAUUGCAUCAAUUAAUCUUCAUUUUUGGUAUAGAUGUUUUAUUAACCAUGUUUCUGGAUUUGCAGAUAAAUGGAAUUGUGAGAUAAUUGUUAUUACAACAGUAAUUUCAGGCAUGGUGGUGAUUAUAAUAAUUUCUGCACUCUUCUUAUUGCGUAGAAUGGGUCAACAAAGAGGUAAAAUGUCCAUCUUUAUUUAUUUAAUCUUUGUAGUCACUUUCUUUUAAGAAAUAUGUAAAUUCUUUAAGAGUUCUCUUCGGGUAAAAUUGAAUUUAAAGGUAUUUUUUACUCGAUUUAAAUUCAAAUUUUAGAUAAAAUAAAAUAAAAUUGAAACAUAAUUGAGUCGCACUCGAAUACGGAGAAAAGCUCUAAACUUGAUUGAGUACUAUUGUAAAAGUUCAAGGUCGAAUGCAAGUGAAAUUAAAUUAUUCAGUUUUGCUCCAUUAAUUUCGUUUCAAUAUGUUACAUAUUCGUAUUUGAUUUUAUAUAUAUAUUCAAGGUUGAAUUCGCACUAAUUUCAGAUAUACUUUUAUAUUUAAAUAAAGUGGACCAUGUGUUAGAUAAAUUGGGUGAAUUAAUUUGCAAUUCUUUUGGGUCGAAGUUUCAUAAACCAAGUUUCUGGAUUUGCUGAUAAAGGGGAAAGUAGUAAGGUCGUCUUUGUUAUUACAACAGUAACUGUGGGCAAUUAUGCAGCCUUCAACUCAUUGCUUCUUUGAUUUCCAUCACAAGAAGGAAUAAAAGACGGACACAUAUCAAAGACAAAUUUCAUAGUGAAAAUAUAGGAGAAAGUUCAAUAGGUGUUAAACUCCAGCAGCUGCCACUAUUCAAUUUCGAAGAAUUUGCCACCGCGACCAACAACUUCCAUCCCGAAAAAAAGCUAGGGCAGGGUGGUUUUGGUCCGGUUUACAAGGUAAUAUACAAUAGCGAUUUCCGGUUGUUAGGAUAAUCAUCACCGGCCCAAAGCCGGAUUAUAAUGAGCUCGUAGGCCAGGCUCGUUAGUUGAGAACUUUGUAGGAAAGCAAGUUCAACUUGCGAGCUCACUACAAUCUGACUCAAAUCCAUUCGAAUUUUAAGCCGAUGAUGAUAAUUAUCCUAAAACCGGUGAAUCCAGAGUCAAUGAAAUGACAUUUUUUUUCAAUCAAGUAUUGUAGUCUGACUUUUGAGUGCAGGGAACAUUAGAUGAUGGAAAGGAAAUAGCAGUGAAGAGAUUGUCGAAAGCUUCAGGGCAAGGUUUGGAAGAAUUUAUGAACGAAGUGGCGGUUAUUUCUAAGCUCCAACAUCGAAAUCUGGUAAAAUUGUUUGGGUGUUGUGUUGAAGCAGAAGAGAAGAUGCUCGUCUACGAGUUUAUGCCCAACAAAAGUUUGGACGCUUUUCUAUUCGGUUAGUAAUUUAUUCAAAUUUUAUAUUAUAUUUUCGGUCUCUAAUCAAAUUCAUAAUUCAGUUGAAUAGGAUCCCUUAAACAAUAAUGUUUUUUUCCAUUCACAAAAUUUAAAUUUAGGUGUAGUGAUAUUUUGAUUCACUUCGCCGUUUAAUAUUUAUUUCAAUUUAUUGACAUAACUUCAAUUAUGUCUACAAUCAUAAUGAAUACAAUAUGGUAGAAAUACUAUGACGGUUGUAGUUUAGAUCCUCAAUUAUAGGAAUUCAUUAUUAAUUUAGUAGGUUUUUAUGUUUAAAUUUUGUUAUAGAUCCCAUUAAACAAAAACUCUUGGAUUGGAGAAACGUUUUAAUAUUAUUGAAGGGAUCAGUCGAGGAUUGCUUUAUCUUUAUAGAGAUUCAAGAUUGAAAAUUAUACACAGAGAUCUAAAAGCAAGUAAUCUUUUACUUGACCAAGAGCUAAACCCAAAGAUUUCAGAUUUUGGGAUAGCCAGGAUCUUUGGAGGUGACGAAAAUCAAGCCAACACUAAAAGGGUUGUCGGAACUUAGUAAGUUGGAACUUCCUUCUUACCAUUUCUUUUUAUGCUCUUUUUAAUAAAAUAUGGUAUAAAUAUGUCUAUGGUCGGAUUUGAUGCUUAAAGAUGAUACAUGUCCAUGCUUGUAUCGAGUUUAAUUUUGUUCAAUUUGUGGACUCAAUUUAUUGUUUUUAAUUUUAUAAAUAAAAUAUUAAAAAUAUAUUUUUAUAUUUUUAUAGUUAACUUUAAAUUAUUUAUUAUUUAUUCUUAAUUCAAGUUGGCUUGUGGACAGGUUUAAAUAAGAGCUGUAAUUGGUGUUGUUUUUUAUGUUAAAAUACAGUGGUUAUAUGUCUCAUGAGUACGCAAUGCAUGGGCGAUUUUUAGAGAAAUCUAACAUGUUCAGUUAUGAAGUUCUACUACUGGAGAUUGUUAGUGGAAGAAGAAACACAAGCUUUUACAACAAGGAUGACCUUAGCCUCUUGGGAUAUGUAAGUUUAUAAGAUAGUUAGAGAUGUUGGUGGAUGGAAUUAGGGUGUAAGAUUUUGUAUUUGCGAGCUAUUCGAGUUCGGUUUGAGAAAACUUGAAUUUGGCUCAGUAAUUAUUGAGUCAAGCAAUCCUGUGAGUUGAAUUUGAGAAUCUUAUUACUUGAAUCGAGUAGCUCACAAGUGAAUUUCAAAAACCCUAAUACUUGAAUUGAGUAGCUUGCAAGGCUUUUCAAUCUUAAUCAAUAUUGAAAAUUUUCAGAUUAAACUCGAGCUUAAUUACAAAUAAUCAAGCUUGAAGUUAUGCAUAGGAGUGAAGCUCAUUGUAGACUUAGGCAAAACAAGCAGAGUUAAAACACUUCAAUUAACUCUAUUAAAGCUUUAAGAUUGAAAAUUUGAGUCAAGUUAAGCCUGGCCUGGCCCGGCCCGAAUAUAAUAAUUUUUUUUUAUUUUCAAAAAUAUUUUUAAAAUACUUUUUUUUAAUUUUUUUUAUUUUUAAAAUACUUUUUUAUUUUUUAAAUUUUCUUUUUGGUGUUUAUUUAAAAAAUGGGUCGGGCCGGGCUCGGGCCUAUGAUUUUUUUCCUUGGGCCGGGCUUGGACAAAAUUUUAGGCCCAUAUUUCGGGCCAAAAUUUUUUCUUGGCCCGGCCCGGCCCAUGAGCAGCUCUAGCCUAUAAGUAUUGAUUUCCAUGAACAAGGUGACAUGCUAGUUGAAUACAAUAUUCUAAUACAAAAUAGGUAGUGAUUAGUACUUGAAGAAAAUUCAAAUCUUGAUGUAAAAAUUUGCAGCUGCCUUGAAAUAUCAUUACAUCAUAUCAAAAUCAGACAGUUUUUUUAACUGAAAAAAAAUUGAGUUGAGUUAAAUAUCAUUCAUAAAUCAUAGCGUCUCUUCCAAGUUAUGGGAAGAGAUUAUGGGAAAAACUAUUAGCUGCUCUGUUUUACUAGCUUUAAUAUCUUGCUUUUACUUACUAUUUGCCACUGCUUUAGACACAACAACACCAUCAAAAUCCAUCAAAGACCCUGAAGUUCUAAUCUCUCAGAAUGGUGUUUUUCGAUUACAAUGGUUAGAUAUCUCCUGAGUAUGCAUUGCAAGGGCAAUUUUUAGAAUAAUCAGAUGCAUUCAGCUUUGGAGUUGUAUUGCUUGAGAUUGUUAGAGGAAGAAAAAGCACAAGCUUAUUGAUCUUAGCCUCUUGGGAUAUGUAAGUUUAUAAGAUAAUUUUUUUAUAUAUUGUAGCGACCUAAAAAAAUUUACGCGGGUGCUAGUCGAGGUGAUUAUUGAAAAUUUGAAAGCAGAGUUUCAAUUUAUUUAAAAAAAGGGAGUCGCCACCGAUCUUUUUUCCUACGUGUGAUCGAACACCUAAUAAAUUCUCUUUUUAGAAGAAAAUUUUAAUUUUUUUAAAGUUUUCUAAAAAAAGAGGUAAUUUUAGGUCUACGUGAAAAUCGAGAGAAAAUUAGAGUUCGGGAGUCAGUUAUGCGCGAGGAAGGUAUUAGCACCCUCGCGACGCCCAAAAUUGGUAUCUCGUUAAACGCGCGUUAUCUUAAUUUUCAAAAUAUAAGUUCAAUUUAAUAAUUAAUUGCGAUCCAAUCAAAAUACGAAAUUUAAAAAAAAACACGAAGAUUUUUGAAACAAUUAUUUUCUUUGAAAAACUUGAAAAAUUUUUAAAACACGAGAACUUUAGAGACACAAAAAUUAUUAAAACACGAAAAUUUUUGAAAACACGACAAUUUUGAAACACGCGAAUUUUUUUUUGAAAACCCGAUUUUUUUUUGAAACGCGAAAAUUUGUGAAACACGAGAUUGUUGAAAACACGCAAAUUUUUGAAAACACGAAAAUUUUUGAAACACGAAAAUUUUUGAAAACACGAGAAUUUUUUGAAAACGUGAAAAUUUUUGAAACACCGAAUUUUUUUUAAACACAAUUUUUUUGAUUUUUUAUUAAGCACGUAUCGUAUUUAACACGGACUGAUGAUAUUCACUCAACAUAGCAAUGAAAUCAACGAAUUAGUGUCAAAUCGAUUCGUUGCCUUAUUAUUAUUUUUUUGAAAACGCGAAUAUUUUUUUAAACACGAGAAUUUUUUUUUUGAAGACACGAAAAUUUCGAAGCACGAGAUUUUUUUUUUAAACAUGAAUUUUUUGAAUAUUUACAAUUUUUAAAAGGGCGUAUCGUAUUUAACAUAAACUGGUGAUAUUCACCCAACAUAGCGAUGAAAUCGACAAUUUAAUGUUAAAUCGAUUCGUUGCCUCAUUUAUUAAAAAUAUUAAAAAUAAAAUCAAAUUGAAUUUAAAUUUAAAUUAAAUUAAAUUGAAUUAAAAUUAAAUUAAAUUAAAUUAAAAAAAUAUAAAUACAAAAAAUAUAAAAAUGCAUAAAUUACUAAUAACAUUAAAAUGAAAUAGCAUAAAAAUACGAACAUUAAAUUAAAAGUGAAAUAAACAAAAUUACCGAAAAGAUCCGAAACACGAGCUUGGUCGAACAGGUUACGCAAAUUGAACCUUUUUUUCUUUUUUCCUCUUUUUCUUUUUCUUUCUUUUUUUUCUUUCAUUCUCUUUCUUUUUUUUGUUGGGCCGGCCUGCUGGGCCUGCACACUUGCUGGCUGCUGUUGGGCUGCCUGCUGGAUUGGGCCUGCUGGAUUGGGUCAAGCCUGUGCUACUAGGCCUUUUUUUCUGCUUUUUUUGUUUUUUUUGGGCUGAUUCUUGGGCUAGGGCCUGCGCUGGAAUGGCCUGCUGCUUGGUGGUGCCGGGUAAGGUCACGGGUCGGGUCAAUUAGACUCGGCUGCUUUAUUAUUAUUUUUUAUUUUUUUCUCUUUUUCUUCUUUCUCUUCUUCUUCCCCUCCCUUCUUCUUCCUUCUUCCUCUUCCGGUUCUCCUAGCCCUCUUCAACGUCGCCGCUGUCCUCUUGGCCGACGGUGACUGUCGGCAUACUUUUCGCUCUCCUCUUCCCCUUUUCUUUUUCCUUCUCUUCUUUUUCUUUUUUUUCGAAAAUUCGAAGACCCAAGGCGUUGCUUUGGUCCUCCACUUGCGCUCCGUCGCUCUCGUCUGCCUCCGGUGGUUGUGAGAAAGAAAUUAAAACUUUUUUUGAAGUUUCUUCACCGUUUUUUUCAUUUUUGCUGCUGAUUUUUUUUCUCUUGUUGUUUUUUUUCUUUCUCUUUUUCUCCUCUUUUUUUCUUUUGGGGGUUUGAAAUCCCCUUUUAAAUUUGAUGUUUUUUCUUCCUUUUUGCAGGUAGCAAGUGGGCUAGGGAGGGCCUAGGUCGGCUGCCGCCUGUUGCAGGCGCAACUUGCGUUGAUGGUUGCCAGAGGGACCAAAAUGUAAUGGCAGCAAAAUUUUUGGUGUCAAAACAUAAUUUUAAGAAAGUUUAAGGGUCAAGAUGUAAUUUCAAAAUCUUUAGGGGUUGAAAUGUAAUUUUGAAAAAAUUUAGGGGUUAAAAUAUAAUUUUAUAAAAGUUUAGGGGUCAAAAUGUAAUUUUUUUAAACACAAAAUUAUUCCAGGACAAAAUUCAGUGAUUACAGCUGCUCCUCUUUGCUCAUCGCUGUGAAACAGGGAUAGAGCAAAGACUUAAAAGCACUGAAUUUUGUUCGACCAUCCAAAAUUUUUCUUUUUAUUUGAAAAGCAGAAAUCGAGAAUAGCUUGGCGUGCGAGUCAAAGCUCAACUCACCUCGAAUUAUGAGUUGAUUUUUUGAAAAACAGAAAUUGAAAAGAAUACCUCGGCAUGCGACUCGAGGCUCAACUCACCUCUCGCAAUAUGAGUUGAUUUUGAUUUUUGAAAAAUAGAAAUUUAAAAGAAAUAUCUCGGCGUGUGCCCGAGGCUCAACUCACCUCUCGCAAUAUGAGUUGAUUUUUGAAAAAUAGAAAUUGAAAAAUACCUCAGCGUGACCCGAGGCUCAACUCACCUCUCGCAAUAUGAGUUGAUUUUUUAAAAACAGAAAUUGAAAAAUACCUAGACGUGUGCCCGAGGCUCAACUCACCUCUCGCAAUAUGAGUUGAUUUUGAUUUUUGUUUUUUGAAAAACAGAAUUUUAAAAGAAAUACCUCGGUGUGUGCCCGAGGCUCAACUCACUUCUCGCAAUAUGAGUUAAUUUUUGAAAAGCAAAAAUUGAAAAAUACCUCAGCGUGACCCGAGGCUCAACUCACCUCUCGCAAUAUGAGUUGAUUUUUUAAAAACAAAAAUUGAAAAAUACCUCGGCGUGUGCCCGAGGCUCAACUCACCUCUCGCAAUAUGAGUUGAUUUUGAUUUUUGUUUUUUGAAAAGCAUAAAUUUAAAAGAAAUACCUCGGCAUGUGCCCGAGGCUCAACUCACCUCUCGCAAUAUGAGUUGAUUUUUGAAAAACAGAAAUUGAAAAAUACCUCAGCGUGACCCGAGGCUCAACUCACCUCUCACAAUAUGAGUUGAUUCUUUUUAAAAUAGAAAUUAAAAAAUACAUCGGCGUGUGCUCGAGGCUCAACUCACCUCUCGCAAUAUGAGUUGAUUUUUGAAAAACAUAAAUGUACAAGAAAUACCUCGGCAUGUGACCUGAGGCUCAACUCACCUCUCACAAUAUGAGUUGAUUUUUUUUUUUGAAAAAACAGAAAUUGAAAAAAUAAUUUUUGAAAGAAACAGGGUUUCAAAAAACAUCGAGUAAAACUAAAAGCCUCCUUUUCAUUGAUUCAGUGCAGACUUCUCCCAAAAUUCCCUGCUCUGUUGGGAUGCAUGUAUAUGUCAUGUAUGAUGUUAUCAUGAUAUGCACGUGUUUGUCCUAAAUGCUUUUAUGCCUACAUGAUCAUGCCAUGCACUUUGAACUAUUUGUCACAUGCCCCUUCUUCGUAAGGGACUGCAUUCAUCGCCUCAAUCAUCAAUUUUUCUCUCCGAUUUUGUACUCAUCUUUGAAUUUUUCGGGUGACCCACAUUUUCAUAUUUCCCCUUCUUGCCUCAUUGUUGAACUUGGUUCUUGUUUUGGGGCCCUUGUACAUGUCAAAUUCUCAUCUAGGUAAUGCCCAACAUUCCUUUCGUUUAGAGUAUGUCAUCUUACCAUUUAUCAGUUAAAUGAAUCAAACACGAGAUGCAUGAAAAAUGGCAAAGUAGGCAUGAAAGAAAUACCUCAUAUUCAAAUUAUUUCAAAACCAACAAAGAAAAUUGACAAGGAAAAGCUCAAUAAAGAAAGCAUCACAAAGAAAGGAAACUGAAUCUAAUAGCUACAAAAUGCUUUAGAUAUCCAACGCAUGAACUUCUCCACGUUUCUUCGUCCUGGAUCUUUUUCGAGCACAGCUUCUCGUGUAAAAGAUUUCAAGCUUCUGAGAAUAAUUCAAAUAUUACAACCUUUCCAGUUGACUCCCUGUUUAAGUCGUCUUGCUCCUUAAGUCUGAAUCUGCUCCAUUAGGACGCCCUUUCGGGUUUUCAUCCUAAUCAUUUGUUUAUCAAGACGCUCUUUUCAGGUUUUCAUCUUUAUUUUUCUUUUUCUUUUCUUUUUUUUCUUUUUUUUUGUUUUUUUUGUUUUUUUGUUUUUUUAGGCAUAAUAUUUCUUCACAGCAUCUAAGUUCACUGGAUUAGGUAAUUCUUUCCCAUCCAUCUCAGUGAGAAUCAGAGCCCCUCCAGAGAAUGCCUUUUUUACAACGUAUGGCCCCUCCCAAUUUGGCGACCAUUUUCCUUGAAAGUCUCUUUGUAUCGGGAGGAUUUUUUUAGUACCAGUUCCCUUUCGCGGAAUUCUCUUGGCCGCACCUUUUUAUCAUGGGCCGUGAUCAUUCUUUUCUAAUAUAUCUGUCCAUGACAAAUUGCCUUCAAGUGUUUCCCUUCAAUAAGGUUUAGUUGAUCAUAUCAAGCUCAAACCCACUCUGAUUCUUCUAACUUUGUCUCAAUCAAGACGCGCAGGGAUGGGAUCUCUAUUUCGAUAGGCAGAACGCCUCCAUCCUGUAGACCAGAGAAAAAGGAGUUGCCCCCGUAGACGUCCGUACAGAGGUGCGAUAUGGGUACAAAGCAAACGGUAGCUUCUCGUACCAAUCUUUAUAUGUCUCAAUCAUCUUCCCGAUAAUCCUCUUAAUGUUUUUGUUGGCCGCUUCGACAGCUCCGUUCAUUUUUGGGUGAUAGGGUGAGGAAUUAUGAUGCUUUAUCUGGAAUUGCUCACACACUUCUUUCAUUAUCUUGUUGUUUAAAUUCAAAGCAUUAUCUGAAAUGAUUCUCUAUGGCAAACCAUAUCGACAUAUGAUCUCCUUUUUUAGGAACCUGCAGACUGCGAUCUUCAUCACAUUAGCAAACGAACUGACUUCUACCCAUUUUGUAAAGUAAUCUAUAACCACAAAGAUGAACCGGUGUCCAUUAGAAGCCUUCGGGGAAAUUAGCUCUAUGACAUCCAUGCCCCACAUAGAAAAAGGCCACUGAAAAGUCAUGACAUGAAGGGGCGAGGGAGCUGCAUGAAUUUUAUCACCGUAAAUUUGACACUUAUGACACUUUUGUGCGUAUCCAAUGCAAUCCCUUUCCAUUGUCAGCCAAAAAUAACCAAGUCUCAUAAUCUGCCUAGCCGUAGUAGACCCAUUGGCAUGCGUUUCACAAAUUCCUUCGUGGACAUCUUUAAGUAUUCUUCUGGCUUCAACAUUGUCCACGCAUCUCAGGAGCAUUUAAUCCUUUCCUCUUUUGUAUAGGAUAUCCCCAUCAAGAACAAAAUCAGCCGCCAUUCUUCUGAUUGUUCUUUUGCCAUUCUCGUUUGCUUGCUCGAGAUACCUUUGAUUCUUAACGUACUCUAAGAUGUCAUGAAACCACGAUCGUCCAUCUGACUCAUUCUCAAUGCUAAAAUAGUGUGCGGGGACAUCAUAUAUGCUCAUUUGGAAAGGCAUUAUUUCAGUUUCUCUAUUUGCUUUGAACAUUGAAGCCAAUGUGGCCAAGGCGUCAGCCAAUUGGUUUUCCUCUCGUGGGAAGUAUUGAAAAGUCACUUCUUUGAAUUCUUUGACCAAUUCCUCCACGAAAUCGCGAUACUUGACUAAUUUUGAAUCUCUCACUUCCCAAUCUCCGUGAAUUUGAUAAAUCACUAACGUUGAGUCUCCAUACACCUCUAAGAUUUCUAUUUUCCGUUCAAUAGCUGCAUGAAGUCCCAUGAUGCAAGCUUCAUAUUCUGUUAUGUUAUUAGUACAGAAGAAAUUCAAUCUGGCAGUGAGCAGGUAAUGGUUUCCUUCCGGUGACACUAAGACUGCUCCUAUCCCGUGCCCCAACGCGUUCGAUGCACCAUCAAAACUCAUCUUCCAUGAUUGAUCUUUUAAUGAGUCACCUUCGAAAAUACACAUCAAGUCUUCAUCCAGGAAGUCAAAUCUCAACGGCUCAUAUUCCUCCAUUGCUCGACUUACCAAGAAGUCAGCUAUUGCGCUUCCCUUUUUCAACUUUUGGCUCACAUACACAAUGUCAUUCUCCCUGAGAGUGCGGGUGAUUCCAUCAAAUACUUUAAUAGAUCUAGCUUUGAAAUUAACCACGUUGUAUGAUACAACAUGUAUUGUCUGAGCUUUCAAACUACCCAGACCAAUGUACAGUAGAAUUUUUCAAUUGACGGGUACUUUGCCUCAUAUUCUGUGAACUUUUUGCUGAGGUAGUAAAUCACUUUUUCUUUUUUCCCUGACUCAUCACACUGCGCCAGUACGCAACCCAUUGAGUUUUCAAACAUGGUUAGGUACAAUAUUAAGGGUUUUCCAGGGGUCGGCGGCACUAGCACCGGAGGAUUAGACAGAUAUUGUUUUAUCUUGUCGAAGGCUACUUGGCACUCCUCAUUCCACUCUCCGGAAUUAUGUUUUCGAAGGAGUUAAAAAAUUGGAUCACAUUGGUUGGUAAGUUGAGAAAUGAAUCUAGCAAUGUAAUUCAACCUUCUUAAAAAUCCUCUGACUUCUUUUUGUGUACGCGGAGGUGGCAGUUCUUGUUUGGCCUUUAUAUUGUCUAGAUCAACCUCAAUACCUCUCUCGCUGAUAAUGAAACCUAGAAAUUUUCCCGAGGUUGCCCCGAAUGUACACUUUUCUGGGUUAAGCUUCAACUGAAACUUUUUUAAUCUUUCGAACAGCUUCCUGAGGUUCCCGACAUGCUCCUCUUCUCUUCAGGACUUGGGAAUCAUAUCAUCGACAUAAACUUCUAUUUCUUUGUGCAUCAUGUCAUGGAACAACAUCACCAUGGCUCUCUGAUAUGUUUCCCCAGCAUUCUUCAAUCCAAAUGGCAUCACUUUGUAGCAGAACGUUCCUCACAUUGUCUCGAAUGUGGUUUUUUCCAUGUCUUCGAGAGCCAUCUUUAUCUGAUUAUAACCUGAGAAACCAUCCAUGAACAAAAAUAAAGAAUGUUUUACCGUGUUAUCCACUAACGUAUCGAUGUGUGGCAAAGGAAAAUUAUCUUUAGGGCUUGCUCAGUUCAAAUCACGAUAAUCUACGCACAUUAAUACCUUGCCAUCUUUCUUCGGUAUCGGGACUAUGUUAGCUACCCAUUCUGGAUACUUGGAGACUUGUAGGAAGCCAGCAUCAAAUUGUUUAUUGACUUCUUCUUUUAUCUUCAACAACAUUUCGGGUCUCAUCCUUCUUAGCUUCUGUUGAACAGGUUUGCAUUCUGGUUUCAGUGGGAGCUUAUGGACCACAAUAUCUGUGCUCAACUCUGGCAUAUCCUGAUAAGACCAGGCAAACACAUCCUUGUACUCAUAGAGCAAGGCAAUUAAAUCUCGCCUGGUGUUUUCUGAAAUGGAAGUCCCAUCUUCACUUCUUGUUUCUUUUCUUCAUUCCCCAAGUUCACUACCUCAACAGAUUCUUGAUGGGGUAGAAUCUGUUUCUCUUCUUGUUCAACCAUUCUCAAUAAGUCAGGAGGCGGGACACAAUUUUUAGCAUCUUUCUCAGCUUCAAAUUCUCCUAAACAAAUAGCCUUCUCGAAAUUGAUUUUAGGACUUGUAACGGGAUUGUUCAUACCAUAGAUAUCUGAGCACCGAAAGGUGAAUGGGAAAGAAAACUAUAGAGGAGCAUCAAAGUAUUGGAAUCAACACACACAAUGUUAUGGAAUGAUAUAAUAUAUGUGUAGGAAAAAGCUAUGAGAAGCGAGAAUAAUUAUGACACUAAUAGAAACAAAAAGACCAUGACAAAAUGCAUCUUCAUUAAUGUUUAUUGAAAUGAUAAAGAGCAAACAUAAACUCUUACAAAAGGAAUCCCAUCACUUAGGAACACACAAAAUAAUGGAGAAGUAACAUUGGGUAUUACCCGGGAGAGAACUUAGAAACUACAAGAAGGUCCACAACAGUCCAAUUGUUCAAAAUAUAUUCAGGAGGACAGGGGUGUAUCAUUGAAACAUCAUUAAUUGUACCACUCUCGUUGAGCUCAACAUCCAUAGCUCUAGCUCUUAGAUGUGUUCUAUAAGAAUGACGUGAUUCCAGAAUUGUAGUGUCACAACUUGGAUUUUGCGGUUCUAGCCUUAAUGAAUGUUUAGGGUGAUAUGUAUAUGCAAUGCAUGAAUGAAUGAAUGAAUGAAUGAAUGGAUGAAUGACAAGUGAAUGUUAGUCAUGAAUAAAUAUACAAGAAUUUGGUGUUGAUUUCAAGAUAGCCCCAUAUUUUGGCGUUUCAUUUAUCAAAAGAGUCCAUUACAAAAUAUUUUGCCAAUGAAGAUGCCCCUAGUGCCUGAGUCUCAUUGUUUCCAGAUCCUAGUCAAAUCUUCGGGGUUAUUCUGACGAGCAUUCAAAGUCGCCUUCCCGAAAAGAUCAAAGAUAUAUCUUUCCUUUAAACUAUCCAUUUUUCUUUCUGGGUCCUCGAAGACCAAUCUUGGACUAUGUCAUUUUUCACGGUUACUUGUGUAAUUAACUCUUCCAUCAAAAACCCGUUUUUGGCAACCAAUCUUUAACCAACACCUUCCCAAUAAAAUGCCUAUGAUGCAUGAUGAGAAAUAAAAUGAAGACAAAUAAACUUAGUUAGUAAUCACGACAAAGAAAAACAAAGAAAAACUAUGGAAAAUCUAACAAACUGGCCUACUUUUUUUAUUUUUUGUUUUUACCCCAUCAUGCUUUACAAAAUAAACUUACCCCACAUACUCAUCAAUCUACCCGAUCCAAUUUAUUAAAUAGACCCGAUUCUUUUGCAAAUAACUAUAAAUGUAAAAGAAAUACAAGGUAAGAAACGUUUCUCCCAUGUACUUAUUCGGUAGCUAUCCAACGGACAGAGGUUCGACAUAGCUCUAAUUGGGUGGCUCGUACAGUUCACUAUAUGUGGUUUCAGUUCUAAAAAGGUACUCGAAUUGUCCAUACUGUUACCUACUAAGGUUAGUAUGGAGCCUCGGUUAUCACCCGUUAUGGGCUUGCGAGCUCAAUUCAAGGGACUACAUUUACUUAUGCCUAUGCGGAGGGACAAGUUAACUCACGAAAGCAUAAGUCAUAUGUAACCCGGAAGUAAUUUUUUAGCCUGUGCGGAGGGAUGAGUUAACUCACGAAGGCAUAGUGUUUACUUCCACUUAAACGGACGGAGCCCGGGUAGAGAGCUCAUGUUAUGCAAGAAUGCAAGUGCACAGUGUGUGGGGAGAAACUCACAAACCUUUUUUAUUUUUUAAUUUUACUAAAAAAAACUAAAAAAAUAUUUACGGGCAUCGGAAAAGUAUAAUAUCGGGCCUUCGUCUUAGUAAAUUGAGUUUGAAAAUAAUUAUUAGAAAUAUUUACGAGGCUAGUUGUGUGUUUAAUUAGAUUUUUAUUUAGUGAAUUUAGCUUAAUUAGGAGUAAUUAGCAAAAAGGAUUAAAUUCCAAUAGAAGUGAAAGUUUAGUUAUAGAUUAAAAGAAAGUAAAAAGGGGUAAAAUGGCAAUUAAGCCAUUUAUAUGAAAUGAGGUGGCAUACAAGCAUUAAAAUCUAAGAUUUUAUUUGAGUUAUACAUAAAUAUUAUAUAUAUUAUAAUUAUAAUUAUUAACCAUUGUUAAGUUUUUAUAUUAUUAUUAUUAAAUAAAGUAAAUAGUAGACAAAUGGAUGGUGAUAAAAUAAUACAUGUGAAAUUAAAAUAUGUAUAUUGUUGACACCAUUUUUUUUGUGAAAACGGGGUCGACUUGGAUUUUGAAAAUAAAACGAAAAUGGGAGUCGCCACCAAUUCUUUUUUUUAUGAGGUGUGAUCGGGUCACCUCGAAAAGUGGUUGUUUUUAAUAAACAAUUUAAUUUUUAUUAAAACAACGAUUUUGGCCUACGAAAUUCAGAAAACGGGUUCGGGAGUCGACUACGCACGAGGAAGGAUUAGCACCCUCGAUGCGCCCAAAAUUGGUACCUUGUUGAUUAAUUAAUGUCUUAGUGUUGAAAAUUGAAAACUUUGAAGAGUUUUAAAAAUACGAUCCUUAAAAGAAACUCUGAUAACGUGAAUUGAAAUAUAAGAUUCUCUUGUUCCGAAGGGAUAUCACAUCCAGCACGUUAGGACACGACACUUUAAACUGUCGAAACCAAGGUCACCUUAUAGUUUAAGGAAACCAUACUUUGAAGUUUGAAGAGGGUAUUUAGCUAUUUAGUCGAACGAGAAAUCAAAACCCAGCACGUUAGGGCAUGUUUUCUCGAAUUUCCAAACGCAAAAUAUUGCCUCACUUUGAAAUUUUAAAAGGAUAUUUGGCUAUUUGGUCAAACAAGGAGUCGAAACCCAACACGUUAGGGCACGUUUCCUCGAUUUUCCAAAUGCAAAAUAUUGCCUUAUUUUAAAAGUUUAAAAAGGAUAUUUGGCUAUUUGGUCGAACGAGAAAUCGAAACCCAGCACGUUAGGGCACGUUUCCUCGAUUUUCCAAACGCGAAAUAUUGCCUUAUUUAAAAAAAACCUUCCUUUCGAUGUUUGGUGUUAACGCAUGACAAAACAAUAACGAAUACGACAAGGUAAGCAUAGUAAUGUGAGUAACAACAAUACAAUAGGCAAAAUAAAAUGACGAGGCGAUUACAUAAACAAAGCAAACGAAUAAACAAAUAGAACUGACAUUUUAGAAAAGUAAAAGUGUACAUGAAUAAAUAAAUAAACACCAAAAUAACAAUGAUGACAAUAAAUACAAUUAUGUAAAAUGUGUAUGCAUGUAUAAUUUUAAGUUAUGAAAAUAAGAAAUGAUUUAUAUAUAAAUCGUAAAGUAUAAAAAUGUAUAUAAAUAUAAAUAUAUAUAUUAAAUAAAAAUAUGUAAGUAUUAUAAAAUAAAAAUGUAAGUAUGUUCAUAUGUACAUUAUAAAAUAUAUAUAGGUAUACUUAUUUUUUAGAUUAUAAAGUAUACACAAAAAAGGAAUAUAUGUAUAUACAUAUGUAGGAGUUACAAAAUAUAAAACACAUGUGUACAUAUAAAAUAUAUAACAUAAAAUAUGUGCGUAUGUAUAUUAUAAAAAUGUGCAUAUAUAUGUAUAUAUGAAAAUAAAAGUAAGCAUAUAGAUUAUAGCAUAUAUAAAAAUCUAAGUAUGUAUAUAUAUAUUGAUUGUAAAAGUGUACGUAUUAAGAAUGCAUGCAUGUACAUGUAUAUGAAAAAAUUCUAAAAUUUAAAAAAAAUAUAUACAUAUAAACAAGUAAAUAUCAUUAAAUAAAAUAUUAAAUAAAACUGGCUUUUACAUAGGUAUAUUUAUAUAUAAAAAUAAAUAAAUAAAAUUAAAAAAACUUGAAGUUUAAAAGGUCGAGGAUCGAAUUGGAAUCAGGCUGAUAAUUUGGGGCCAAAUUCGCAAAUAAAAGGUUCAGGGGCUGAAACGAAGCACGCGCGGAGUGCAAAGGACUGAUCGGGAAAUAUGCCCAAGUCCUGAAGCACAGCAUUUAUGCGCGGACUAAAUUGGAACAUGCAACAAAAUUGCAGGGCCAAAUUGAAAACAAUAAAGAAACCAGUAGAACGAUUAAAUUAAAACAAAAAAACGUGGAGGGAUCAAGAGCGCAAAUUUCCCAGUCAACAGAAAUGCGCGGAUCCCUUGGAACGGGUCGGGUCAAACACGCGGGCAAGGGGGCCAAACGGCACCGUUUUAUAUCUGCUAUAAAUAGCAAAAAAAGAAAAAAAGAAAAAAAAAAACAUUUCCAGCUUUAUUUUUUAGAAAAACAGAGAGCAGUUUGGUUCUCUCUUAGCCUUCAACUCCGGUCAACAGGGCCACCGCCUGCGCCGCCGUGACUCUGCCGUAGGCGAUGGUCGGAGCGACGCAAAGAUCGGGUCCUUCACCGAUUUAAAGGCCAUUUGAAGGCCGAAGCUUCAGGGCUCGAAAGCCGAAAGAAGAGAAACCCCAUGGCCUCCCUUCGGUCCCGAUUUCACCGACCAAGACGGUUUCGGCGACGGACCUUGCGUGCAGCCCUAGGUAAGUUUCUUCCCUUCCCUUUUUUUGAUUGAUUUUUUAUUAUAGUUAUUUAAAACAAAUUUGAAAAAAAAGAGAAAAAAAAACGAAAACAAAACAAGAUAAAACAGAUGAAUAAGAGAAAACGAAGAAGAAAUAGCAAGGAUUCAACCUUUUAAAAUUUCUAUUCAGCUUUUUGAUUUCUGAUAUGGGUGAAAAAAAAUACAAGGAUUCGAUCAAGGCUUUUAUAGCCGAUUUCCCUAACUCAUUUUUCCCUAUUUUUGUUUCCAUUAGCUAUAUUGCCUGCAUGCUUCUGUGGUUGCAUUCAAUUUUCUCUGCAGGUGUCAGACGAGGCCAACGGCGGAGGCAGAGGCAUGUGCGAGAAGAUGAAGCGGCACGCGUGGGCAGAGGCGGCCAACGGCGCCCUAGGGUUUCUCUUCUUCUGUUGAAAACAUUUGUUUGUGGGCUAGGGCUGUAUUGGGCUGGCAUCAUUGGGCUUUGGGUUUAUUUUUUGUAAAAUGGACUGUGACUGUUUUAUUAAUUUGGUUUGUUUUGGGUUCCAUUGGGCCCCGGGUAAAAUUUGGGCUCUACAUAUAUAUUUGUAGUUUGUAAAAUUAAUUUGCUUAUUAAUUAGUAUAAGAUAUUUAUUAUUUAUUAUUAGUUAUUAGUUAUUAUUAAAUUAAAAGAUAUUUAAUAAUUAAAUAAUUAGUAUAAGAUUUUUGGGUAAUAAUAAAUUAUGAUUUUGUCAAGUGUGUGGUAAAAAUAAAAUGCAAGUGUAUUACAUUUAUUUAUUUACUUAAAAUUUAAGUAAAAGAUAUUUAUUAAUUAAAUUAUUAUAUUAAAAUAUUUUUUUGAUGAAGUAGUUAGAUUAAGACAAAUGUAAGGUUAUGAUAUGGUACAAAUAUAUUAAUUAUAUUUGUUAUUAAAAUAGAUAUUUUAUAAAUAAUAAUUAAUUAAACAUAAAAGAAAUAAAAUAAAGGAAAUAAAGUAAAGUAAGUUAAAAUAAAAAGGAAAAGAACAAAAGAAUAACAUAGUAGAAACAGAGACCAUUCGAAACAGGGGAGAAAGAAAAGGGAAAGAAAAAUAAAAGGGAAAACUAGGGAUUUGAAGCUUGAAGUUUAAUUGGUAAGUUAAAUCAAGUCCUUUUCUCAUAAAUUUGAUGUUUUUGGAAUCCUAGAGUGAAAUACUCUUGGAUUUAAGUUGAAAAUUUGAAAGUUAAUAGAUUUUUUAGUAGGGUUUAUGUUGAAUAAAUUGUUGAAUUAGGGAUUUAAUUGAAUGAAUUUUAAGUUAGAAUUGAUAAAGGGAUUAAAUUGUAAAAGAAACUAUAAAUUUUAUGUUUUAGGGACUAAAUUGAGGGAAAUUCGAAAUUAGAAAAAUAUGCUGAAAUUUUGAUAGUUAAAUUUGAGUUUGGAUGAAAUAUGAAUAGAAAUAGAGUGUGAAUUGAAUUAGGAAAGUAAGUGAAUUUAGUUAGGAUUAAAUUGAGAAUAAGGAAGAAAUUGAAUAGAAAUUCAAUUAUUUAUUAUGAUUAGUGCUGUAAUUAAUAGCAUAAAUUAUUAUUAUUUUCGUAGCUAACAAAGAACCAGAAGCAUCGGCACGGAAGGGAAAAGAGAAGAUUAUCGAGGAGUAAACUCGAGAAAAUCACGGUUUGUAUUACUAUAAUUCAAGUUAUUUAUUAUUAAAUGUUAAAUUUUAAUUUAUGUGUUUAGUAAAUGAAAUGUGAGGUAAGUAUUAUUAUUAUUAUUAUUAUUAUUAUGAGUGUGAAUUAAAUUGAAUAGUUGAUAUGAAUUAAUAAUUGAAUUGUUUGUUCAUUGAAAUUGGGAAAUGAAUUUGAAUCGAAUUGUGAAUGAUAUUAAAUUGUAUGGAAAUGUAUUGAGUUGUGAAAAUGUGUGAAUUUGUGGAUUAAUUAUUGAUUGAAAGAUGGAGAAAUGAUUGAAUUGAAAAUGUGAGAAAUUGUGAUUGAAUAGAGGUUAUUUGUGAUUUAAAUACCCUAUUAACUAGUCGGGCUGAGUCGGAUAUAGUUGGCAUGCCAUAGGAAUAGAAGAGUUCAGGGAUACUUCGACCUCGAGUCGAUGAGACACUGGGUGUCACUAUAUUUCUUCGGAUAGAUUCGAUGAGGUACUGGUAUAUUUCUUCGGAUAGAUUCGAUGAGGUACUGGGUACCAACUUACUUCGGCUUGGCCGAUGAGACACUGGGUGUCAACUAUUGCUUCGAACUAUCCGAUGAGGCACUAGGUGCCAUUCUGGUGUGUUUGGUUGGAUCCGUGUAUCCGCCAAAGUCUGAGUUUUGUUAAUAGGGUAAAUUAUGAAAUGAUAAACCGAACGAGUUAAUCAAAUGAGCUAUUGAAAUGAAAUGAAAAAGUUGAAUUGUGAAUUGAAAUGUGAGAUUGAGAAAUAAACCAAAGUUCAUGAUGUGCCCAAAAUCAAAUUGUGGAUAUUUGAUAUCAAUUGAUGAAUUGCUAUUGUUGAAAUAUGGAAUUUAAAUCUAAAUUUGUAUAUACGAUUUAUGAAUUAUAUGUUUAUUAUUGUUAUAAUUUGAAUUAUGGUAAUACCACUGAGUAUAAAUUACUCAGCGUACGGUUGUUUCCGUGCGCAGGUCAAUAGAAGUCAAAGGUCCCGGUUCAGCAUCCAGAUUAAUCCCGGCUUCAGCAAAACUUGGUGAUGUAUUUUUCAUUUGGUAAAGGUGGCAUGUACAUAGGUUGUGUAUAAAGGUUAUUAUGUUUUAAUAUAAAUGGUUAAAAAAUGUUAGUAUUAAAGUUUAUGAAUUUUAAUGAAAGAAGUAUAUCUAUUUUUAUCUAAUUAGUACAUUGUUAAAUUUUAAAUUGAUAUUAUAUAGAUUGAGUUUGAUUAGAAGUAUUUAGAAUAGAAAAUGAGAAUGUGACAUGAAUUGGUUGAUUUGAUUUUAUUUGAAAAUGAAAUGGUUUUAAAUUGCAGGGGGUUUUAGGUAAAAAUAAGCAGAAAUGCUGUCGAAAUUUUUUGUAAAAAAAAUUUAUAAAAAAAAAGUCAAUUGGUAAACAAACAUAAGAAUUUAUGAUUUAUUUUAAUAUGUUGGUCAUUUAUGAUUUGUUUAUCUGUAAAUUGUUUAAUAUGUUCGGUAAUACCCCGUAACCCUGUUUCAGUGACAGUUUGAGGUUAGGGGGUGUUACACAUUAGACUCGACUCUAAAAAAAAGUCCCCAGCGGAGUCGCCAGCUGUAGCGACCUAAAAAAAAUUACGCGGGUGCUAGUCGAGGUGAUUAUUGAAAAUUUGAAAGCAGAAUUUUAAUUUAUUUAAAAAAAGGGAGUCACCACCGAUCUUUUUUCCUAGGUGUGAUCGGACACAUAAUAAAUUCUCAUUUUAGAAGAAAAAAUUAUUUUUUAAAAUUUUUUCUAAAAAAGAGGUAAUUUUAGGUCUACGUGAAAAUCUAGAGAAAAUUAGAGUUCGGGAGUAGGUUACGCGCGAGGAAGGUAUUUGCACCCUCGCGACGCCCAAAAUUGAUAUCUUGUUAAACGCGCGUUGUCUUAAUUUUCAAAAUAUAAGUUCAAUUUAAUAGUUAAUUGUGAUCCAAUCAAAAUACGAAUUUUUUAAAAAAACACGAAGAUUUUUGAAACAAUUAUUUUCUUUGAAAAACACGAAAAUUUUUGAAAACACGACAAUUUUGAAACACGCAAAAUUUUUUUGAAAACCCGAUUUUUUUUUGAAACGCGAAAAUUUGUGAAACACGAGAAUUGUUGAAAACACACAAAUUUUUGAAAACACGAAAAUUUUUGAAACACGAAAGUUUUUAGGAAACAUGAAAAAAAAAAUUUGAUCAUCGAAAUUUUUUAAAACACGAAAAUUUUUGAAACACGGAAAUUUUUGAAAACACGGAAAUUUUUUGAAAACGUGAAAAUUUUUGAAACACCAAAUUUUUUUUAAACACAAAUUUUUCGAUUUUUUAUUAAGCACGUAUCGUAUUUAACACGGACCGAUAAUAUUCACUCAACAUACCAAUGAAAUCAACGAAUUAGUGUCAAAUCGAUUUGUUGCCUUAUUAUUAUUUUUUUGAAAACGCGAAUAUUUUUUGAAACACGAGAAUUUUUUUUUGAAGACACGAAAAUUUUGAAGCACGAGAUUUUUUUUUUGAAAACAUGAAUUUUUUGAAUAUUUACAAUUUUUAAAAGGGGGUAUCGUAUUUAAUAUAAAUCAGUGAUAUUCACCCAACAUAGCGAUGAAAUCGACGAUUUAAUGUUAAAUCGAUUUGUUGCCUCAUUUAUUAAAAAUAUUAAAAAUAAAAUUAAUUUGAAUUAAAAUUAAAUUAAAUUAAAUUAAAAAUAUAAAUGCAUAAAUUACUAAUAACAUUAAAAUGAAAUAGCAUAAAAAUACGAACAUUAAAUUAAAAGUGAAAUAAACAAAAUUACCGAAAAGAUCCGAAACACGAGCUUGGUCGAACGGGUUACGCAAAUUGAACAUUUUUUUCUUUUUUCCUUUUUUUCCUUUUCUUUCUUUUUUUUUUCUUUCUCUCUCUUUCUUUUUUUUUGUUCGGUCGGCCUGCUGGGCCUACACACCUACUGGCUGCUGUUGGGCUGCCUGCUGGAUUGGGCCUGUUGUUGGGCCUGUUGGAUUGGGUCAUGCCUGUGCUACUAGGUCUUUUUUUUCUACUUUUUUUGUUUUUUUUGGGCUGCUUCCUAGGCCUGGGCCUGCGCUUGAAUGGCCUGCUGCUUGGUAGUGCCAGGUUGGGUCACGGGUCGGACGAGUCGGAUCAAUUAGACCCGGCUGCUUUAUUAUUUUUUUGAUUUUUUUUCUCUUUUUCUCUUUUCUCUUUUUCUUCUUUCUCUUCUUCUUCCCCUCCCUUCUUCUUCCUUCUUCCUUCUUCUUCUUCCAGUUCUCCUAGCCCUCUUCAACUCCGCCGCUGUCCUCUUGGCCGACGGUGACUGCCGGCAUACUUCUCGCUCUCCUCUUCCCCUUUUCUUUUUCCUUCUCUUAUUUUUCUUUUUUUUUCGAAAAUCCGAAGACCCAAGGCGUUGCUCCGGUCCUCCACUCGCGCUCCGUCGCUCUCGUCCGCCUCCGGUGGUUGUGAGAAAGAAAUGAAAACUUUUUUUGAAGUUUCUUCACCGUUUUUUCUUCAUUUUUGCUGCUGAUUUUUUUUGUCUUGUUGUUUUUUUUUCUUUCUCUUUUUCUCUCUUUCUUUCUUUUGAGGGUUUGAAAUCCCCUUUUAAAUUUGAUGUUUUUUCUUCCUUUUUGCAGGUAGCAAGUGGGCUAGGGAGGGCCUAGGUCGGCCGUAGCCUGUUGCAGGCGCAACUUGCGUUGAUGGCUGUCAGAGGGACCAAAAUGUAAUGGCAGCAAAACUUUUGGGGUUGAAACGUAAUUUUGAGAAAGUUUAGGGGUUAAAAUGUAAUUUCAAAAUGUUUAGGGGUUGAAAUGUAAUUUUGAAAAAAAUUAGGGAUCAAAAUGUAAUUUUAAAAAAUUUAGGGGUCAAAAUAUAAUUUUUUUAAACACAAAAUUAUUCCAGGACAAAAUUCAGUGAUUACAUAUAUAAUUUCUACUACUAUUCGUAAUUCCUCUGAACUUUUAAUUUAGAGAAUAAUGUACAUUUAAGUGCACUCAAACCCACGUUUUUGUGUAAGUUGUAACAACAAUUAUGCCAAUUGAGAGAACAAAAACCCAGGGUGUAAGAAGCUAUAUUUGCAAGAUGGGUUUGGUUCAAGAAAACUUGAUUUCAGCUCAGUAAUAGUAGAGUCCAACAAUCAUGUGAGCUAAAUUUAAGAAUAUUAAUACUUGAAUUAUUUUUCUUGCAAGCUGAAUUUGAGAAAAUUAAUACUUGAAUUGAGUAGCUUGCAGUUUAACUCGAGCUUGAAUACAAAUAAUUAAGCUUGAAGUUGAGCCUAAUCAAGAGAAUUUCUGUAGCUUGUUAUUUAUAUCGAAUUGAGCCAAUUGAACUUUUUAGAAGCUUUAAGUUCAAAAUUUUGGGUCAAGUUAGGUUGGAUAAUUUAAGCAAAGUUGUUUUUUGUUUACAAGCGGGGAGACAAUGGAACGAAGGCAACAUUUGGAUCUUAGUAGACAAGAUUAUUUCAAAGUCAAAAUUAAAUUAAAGAAUGAGAAAGAAAUAUGGAAAUGCAUACAUGUUGGAUUGCUAUGUGUCCAGGAAUAUGCUAAAGAUAAGCCACUAUGUCUACGAUUGUUUCAAUGCUUAAUAAUGAGAUUUCAAAUCUUCACCCUUCAAAACAACCUGCUUUUACUCAAGCACCACUAAUUAGCCAUGUUGUUGAGAAUAAGGUUUCAGUUAAUGAUGUAGCUCUUACAGACUUUGAUUUGAUGGUAGAUAAAGAUGCAAAUUAUUUAUUUUUAUUAGUUUUUAGAAAUAAAUUUUAAGUAUUGAAAUUUAUCUAUCUAUUAUUUUUUCGUGCGAUGCACAAGUUAAUCUUUUGUAUUUAUUAAUAUAUAUAUAUUUAAAUUAUUGUAUAAAAUUUUAAACACUUGAUAAGAGCGAAAAAUGUAUUAUUAAAAAGGAGAAAAAUAAUUGUCAAUGUAAACCAAAAGUCCUCAAAAUAAACGGUUCAAAAAACACAAAACAAACCCUCCCCAUGGGAGAAACUUUGACCGACGGUUGCUCACAUCUCACAAGCUAGAUACUUCGAUAAUCAAGCCAGCGAUCAACAGAACCAAACAGUGGGGAACAGAUUAUAAAAAACCCCACAAAAGCCAUAUAUUCGAGCAGGACUUAUGGCGGAUCCAGUAGUCGAUGAUUCUCUGCAGCCGUAGCAGCAACAACAGCCUGGGAUUCCUCAACCCAAAAUCGAUCUUUAUCGCGCGACAACCCAUCUCUAGCCAUUGCAUGCGCUGUUCUAUUCUCUGAUCAUUCGAUAAAUUGGAAACAACGAAACCCUAAUAAUUUGAGGAGCACCCUCGAUAAUCCUCGAUAAAUUGUAUCCAUGAUAAAACCCUAAACCCUAAACCCUAAACCAAAUAAUCCGAAGAGAUCCCUUGAUAAAUUGCAUGCGCUAUGGAUAGUAAAGAUAUUGAAACGUUCCCCACCCAAACCAAAUAAUCCGAGGAGCACCCUCGGUAAUCCUCGCACUGACCACCUUCUCGUUAAGAUCCGCCAGACAUAAUAAUGCUGAGAGACCUGAUAAGCCAUAAAAGUAACAUAUUUUUAAUCCUACUCUUGAUGCGUUUUUGGAUGAUUUAUUAUGUAAAUUAGUGAAUUUGAUACUCCUAAUCCUUUAAAUUCAUGUUUCUAUACUUAGGUGAGCAUAGGGGAGUGAAAGGAGCAAAAAAAGCCAAAAUCAGAUAAAAAGAGCUGUUUUCAAGAUCCACACGGCCUGGACAUUUUCACACGGGUUAGGCAUAUGCUCGUGUGAGACACACGGGUUGGCCACACGCCUAUGUGCCAGCCUGUGUUGAUUUCACACCCUGCUUCUCUUUUACGCGAAAAAGCUUAAUUUUUAGACUUUUUAAGCAUUUUAAAGUCUGUAAGUACCAAUUAGAAGAAGAUAUAAUGGGGCAAUCAGAGAAGAUCGAAGAAAACACUCGAAAAAUGCCAUUGGAAUCAACUCGAAAGCGGAUCUCCUUCAAGAUCAAAGAACUCCAUUUAAUUUCUUUUGAAGUUUUAUUGAGUUUCUUUUUGUCUUGUGGAUAUCCUAACUUCGAGAUGUUCCUAUUUAGGAUUAUGAACUAAAUUCCCUAAAUACCAAGGGAGGAUGAAACCUAUGAUAAAUCUUAUUAUUUAAUUUAUGUUUUUACGUGAUAAAUAACUGAUUCCUGUUCUCAAUUAUUUAUAUUUAUUUUGUGUUUUAAUAUUUUGGGGGUAUUAAUUCAUGUUUAAUGUGCUUAUUUCAGUGGAGCAAAAGUCCCUGUUUAAGAGUAGAUCUAGCAUAAUUGAGUGGAGUUUCAUGCAAUCCUAGAAAUAGGACGACAUAAAUCUACUGGAUUAGAGUCAAAUCUAAUAGGGGAAUACAUAGAUCGAGUUAAUGGGACGAUAGGGGUUUUAAUUAGAAAGAUAUUUCAAUUAAUAAACUUAGAGUCAGUUGUUCUUACUCUCAUAAGAGAUAUUAACAUAAUUUAAGGAUUUAUACGGAUCAAGACAUGAGUGAAUAAAUCAUUUAAUUCAGAUUCAGAAUAAUAGGUGAAGUCUAGGUGGAUUCUUUCUUGGGAAUUGUCUUUCUCAUUGGUUAUUUUUGGUUAUUUUCCUAUUUCAUUCUUUGUUGCAUUUUUAGUUAAAUUAGAUUAGUAAAUUUAGAUUUAAAACAAUCACUCUACUUUCUCCGCUAAAUAAUAGAAAAACGGUAAUUACUAGUACUUUUAGUCCUCGUGGAUAUGAUCUUCCCUACUCACCAUAGCUAUACUAUUGUUCGAUAGGUGCGCUUGUCUUUGUCGUAAUUAUAUAGUUAGUUUAGUAACCGUCAAGACCUUCCCCUUGCUUGAUCCCUCGAGUUAGAAAAAGUUGUUCACCCACCACACCAUUCGUCACCAUAGAAUAAUUGAACGAGGUAACAAAUCGCAUUAUUCGAUCAACCCAAACAUUUGAAAAACUCAUUUUGAGGAGCAUUACCUUAAUAAACCACCAUUCUACACGAUCGUAAGCUUUGCUCAUGUCAAGCUUAAGCGCAAACGUCCCAUGCCUACCAAAACGACUAUUUUUCAGUGUAUGCAGAAUUUCAUAAGCAACCACAAUAUUGUCAAAAUAAGAUGCCCCGGUACAAUGGAACUCUGAGCUUCAUCUAUACAGAAAUGGAGCACUUCUUGAAACCUAUUAACCAAAGCUUUCGAGGCAAUUUUGUAUAUAACGUUACAAAGACUGAUGGGUGGAAAAUUCAUCAUAUUGCAUGGUUCUUUACUUUAGGUAUCAAUGUUUCAAAUCAUAAAUAAAUUGUUUUAUUAAUAAUUUAUCAAAAAUUAAUCAAUUUAAAUAAUUUCAAUAUGAUGUAUUGUUUAUAGCAUAUAUAGGAAGUAACAUGAAAGAAAUAUUUAGUAUUACUUUGUAAGUAAAUAAUUAAAAUACACUAAUAAUAAAAAAUUAAAAUCAAAGGAACUAAUAUAAUAAUGUAUAAGGAAAAAUCCUUAAAUUUAAUGAAUGUACAAAUAAAAUAUAGAGGACUAAUUAUGUAAUAUCAAAAAGUGAAAUACCUUAAAAAAAUAUAAAUGUGAAGGGAUUUAUGUUGCAUAUAUAUCCUUUUCUAUUUCCUUUAAAUACAAAAAUUUAAAAAUACAUCGACUAUAAUGUAGAUAAAAAUUAAGGUUACAAAAUACCUUAAAUAUAACUUGGCUUCUUCUUCUUCUUGGAUAUAAAUACUGUAAAAAAAAUGUUAGAAAAUUAUAAAUUGGUAACUCCUAUAAAUUUUGAAUACAAAGUUCUGUAAAAGAAUAAAUUAAAAUUUCUCAGAUAGUAAAAUUGGACCUCAAUUAAAUUUAGAGUUAGAGAGGCAAAGUUCUUUGACAACUAUUAGAUCUUGAAUAUAAAUUUUAAAAAAUGUUAGGCAAACAAAAAGCACUCACUUAAAAUUGAGGUAUGUCACAUUAUAAAAGUUACAAAUGAUUAAAUUCAUAAACAAAUUUAAAAUUUAUUAUUACCAAAAUUUACAACUUAAACAUGACAAGUUUUAUUAGCACAAAUUCAGACAAUAUUCAAAAACUACUUCACACAAUCCUUAAAAUCUCAAAUAUCAUUCAUAAAUCAUAGCGUCACUUCCAGUUCUGCUCUUAAAAGAAAUUCAGAAAACAAAGUCAUGGGAAAAACUAUUAGCUGCUCUGUUUUACUAGCUUUAAUUUCUUGCUUUUACUUACCAUUUGCCACUGCUUUAGACACCAUAACACCAUCAAAAUCCAUCAAAGACCCUGAAUUUAUAAUCUCCCAGAAUUGUGUUUUCCAAUUGGGAUUCUUCAGCUUGGCUAACUCCAGCAAUCGUUAUGUAGGGAUACUCCACAAUCAAAUCCCCGUACAAACUGUUGUAUGGGUAGCAAAUAGAAACAGUCGUCUCAAAGACUCUUCUGGGAUUCUCAACAUAUCAGAUGAUGGCAACCUUGUUGUUUCCAAUGGAAAAGCUGAGGUUCUAUGGUCAUCACAUGUUACCAAUACAGCUCCUAAUGCAACAACUGCCCAGAUUUUAGACUCUGGAAACCUUGUCCUUAGUAAUGGUGAGGAUGGAGCAAGCAGCUUAUGGGAGAAUUUUGAAGAUCCUUCUAAUGCCUUCAAACUAUGAAGAUCAGCACUAAUGUUGAAAAGGGUCGAAAAGUGGAGAUCAAAUCAUGGAAAAGCCCUGAUGAUCCAUCUGAUGGUAACUUUUCUCUUGGUAUUGAACCUUUCAAUAUCCUAGAGGUCGUCAUUUGGAACAAUAACGAGCUCUAUUUUCGGAGUGAACCAUGGAAUGGGAAUAUGUUUCUUGGCUUAAUGCUUCCGACCACCGUUGAUAUUGAUGGGUUUUCUGUUGUUGCAGAUAAUCAACAACAAACGUUUUACAUGGCUUAUGAAUUUUCUAGUGACUCUAUGUUGAUAUACUUUAAAUUAGAUUCUCAAGGAAAAUUCAUUGAAUGGAGAUGGGAUGCGGGGAAAGGGAACUGGACAAACAAGUACUCUAUUUAUCUUACAGAUUGUGAUGUUUAUGGGAAGUGUGGGGCAUUUGGGAUAUUCGAUUCAACGAAACGACCCAUUUGCAGUUGCUUAGAAGGGUUUAAGGCUAGGAAUAUAGAGGAAUGGAGUAGAGGUAAUUGGAGUGGUGGGUGUUUUAGGACUACCCCUUUGCAGUGCCAAAGGGAUAACAACAAUGGGAGUGGAGCAGGCCAAGAUGAUGAUGGGUUUUUGGAGAUGAAGAUGAUGAAAGUACCAGCAUUUCCGGACCGGUCAUCAAUAAUUAACAGGGACUGCAAAGAUCAAUGCAUGGAUUUCGUGGGCUAGAUUAAGUUUUUGCUAAUUCAAUAGAGCUUUUUGGGCCUUUGACGAGAGUUAGAGAUGACGGACCUAAAGGGACCCUUCGUGGGCAGAUCCAAGAAAUAAGAGCCGAACGUGUGAAGCCCAAGUUGAAAAUGAAAUACCACAUUCAAGCUUCAUUUUUUUACUAAAUGCGCUCAUUAAUGUUUUCUAUGUCGUAAAUUAAAAAAAAAAUAAACUACUUAGUUGAUGAUUCAACUUUUAAGGGUACUUUCAAUGAAAUCUUUAUAAUUUAUUUAUUCAAUUUUUAGGACGCUUUCAUUUUAGUCAUCCAAUCGUUAAAUCUUUAACGGCUGUUAAUUAUACACGUCAUAUCAUGUUCGCACUUUUAUUUUGGUCAUCUAACUUCUAGGUCGUUUUCAUUUGGAUUAACUCAAAAAAUACUUUUUUAAAGUAUUGAUUGUAGUAAAAAAAAUUAAGAAUUAAAGUGAAAAAGUAGUAUAAACUAAAAUAAUGCAUUAAAAAGUGUCAAAUUGUACUUGUUUAUCACAUUGCCAAAAUUUCUAAAAGAAAUUCAAUAUUAAAAUUUUAAAUUUCAAAACAUAAAAAUUAGUUAAAUAACUUAUUGAAAUUAGUUGUAAGGUUUUAGCUUAUUAUGAAAGACUCAGUAUCAUAUAAUUAAAAGAAAUUUGAAUUUCAUGUAUAAUUAUUAAAUAUGAUUUAUUUGAGUUGAUUUUAAUUUGGAAAUAUAAAAUAAAAUAUUAAAAUUUAAAAGGAGAUUAAAUUAAUUAAAUUAAUUAAUUUCAAUAUUAUAAUAAUAAAUGAGUUUUUAUUAGUAAUUUUUCAGUACUGGAUAAUUAUAUUGAACCUCAAUUAAGUUUAGGGCAAAAUUAAGUUGAACUCUAAAAGAGAGGCAAAGUUCUUUAAGAACUAGUAGAUCUUGAAUAUAAUUUUUAAAAAAGGUUAGGCAAAGAAAAGCACUAACUUAUGCCAUAUAGUAUACUGUAAUUGGUAAGAGACCUUUUUUUUCCUUAACAAGACUCGGUCAUUGCUAAAAUAAUUUUGAAAAAAAGGAAUGUGCUUCAUUAGUCAAAGUUAUUCAAUGGAAGAGUCUAAAUUCAUCGGUUUGACAAAAGCUACCUAUAUUAGUCAAAGUUAUUUAAAUGUCGUCUUGGUCUGUAACUUCUGGAAGUUCUAACCUCAAUAAAUUUUAUCAAUAGUUUUUAAUUACUAAAUUAAUUACGAAAGAUUAUCUAGUCAUUUUUAUUUUGCUCGAAAUUUUUAUAAUUUCAUUAUUUAAUUUUUAGGAUGAUUUAUCUUAGUUACUAAAUCAUUAAAUUUUUAAUGGUGGUUAGCUGUACAUACCACAUCAUGUUCACAUUUCAUUUUGGUCCCUUAAAUUCUAAAUCGCUUUCAAUUUAAUCAUUCAAAAAACAUAUUUUCCAAGUAUUAAUCGAGGUAAAAAUUGCUAAAGAGUAAAGUGAAAAAGUAGUAGAAAUUAAAAUAAUGCUUUAAAAAAUUUAAAUAACUUAUUUAAUUAAUUUUGAUGUUUUGAAAUACAACUUACACUAACAGAUAAAUAAAUACAAUUUGAUAAUUUUUAAAGUAUUACUUUCCACUUUAAUCUUUAAUUGUUUUUAAAAUUGCUGCAAUGAAAAGUAAGAAGAAAACAUAAAGAGGUGCUUAGUGCUCCAAGAAAUUUCAAACCUUGAUGUAAUCAUUUGAAGAAAAUUGAGUUGAGUUCAUCUAGUGUAAAUCCUUCAAGAUUCCAAAUAUCAUUCAUAAAUCAUAGCGUCACUUCCAAGUUCUGGGUAGAGAUUAUGGGAAAAACUAUUAGCUGCUCUGUUUUACUAUCUUUAACACCUUGCUUUUACUUGCUAUUUGCCACUGCUUUAGACACCAUAACACCAUCAAAAUCCAUCAAAGACCCUGAAUUUAUAAUCUCCCAGAAUGGUAUUUUCCGAUUGGGAUUCUUCAGCUUGGCUAACUCCAGCAAUCGUUAUGUAGGGAUAUUGUACCAUCAAAUCCCCGUACAAACUGUUGUAUGGGUGGCAAAUAGAAACAGGCCUCUCAAAGACUCUUCUGGGAUUCUCAACAUAUCAGAUGAUGGCAACCUUAUUGUUUUGAAUGGCAAAACUGAGAUUCUCUGGUCAUCAAAUGUCACCAAUACAGCUCCUAAUGCAACAACUGCCCAGCUUUCAAACUUAGGAAACCUCGUUCUCAGUAAUGGUGACGAUGCAGGAAGCAGCUUAUGGGAGAGUUUUCAACACCCUUGUAAUGUCUUCCUUCAAACUAUGAAGAUCGGCGUUGAUAUAAAAACGGGUCGUAAAGUGGAGCUGAAAUCAUGGAAAAGCAUGGAUGAUCCAUCUGAUGGUAACUUUUCUCUUGGUUUUGAGCCUUUCAACAUCCCAGAGCUUGUCAUUCGGAAGUAUAACCAGCUCUAUUUUCGGACCGGUCCGUGGAAUGGGAAUAUCUUUAUUGGCAUAAUAUAUAUGUACACCGUCAAUUUUGAUGGGUUUGAUGUUGUUGCAGAUAAUCCACAACAACCGUACUAUAUCACUUAUGAAUAUUCUAAUGACUUUAGGUUGCUAUACUAUGAAUUAGAUACUCAGGGAAAAUUCAUUGAACGGAGAUGGGAUGCGGAGAAAGGGAACUGGAUAAACAGGUACCCUAGUCAUGAAACAGAUUGUGAUGUUUACGGAAUCUGUGGGGCAUUUGGAAUAUGUGAUUCAUCGAAACGACCCAUUUGCAGUUGCUUAAAGGGGUUUAAGCCUAGGAAUGCAGAGGAAUGGAGUAGAGGUAAUUGGAGUAAUGGGUGUUUUAGGAAUACCCCUUUGCAGUGCCAAAGAGAUAUCAACAAUGGCAGUGGAGCAGGCCAAGGUGACGAUGAGUUUUUGGAGAUGCAGAUGAUGAAAGUGCCGACAUUUCCGUACCGGUCAUCAAUAGUUAACGGUGACUGCAAAAAUGAAUGCAUGAAGAAUUGUUCGUGCGUGGCUUAUGCGUAUGAUGAUGGCAUUGGUUGCAUGUUGUGGAGUGGAGAUUUGAUUGAUGUCAAGAAACUCUCCAGUCUCGGAGUCGAUCUUUACAUUCGUCUGUCUUCUUCGGAACUGGGUAAAAUUUCUGAGUGUCGACAAUGUGUUUGAUAAAUUGCGUCAAUAUCUGCCUUUUUGGUGUUGAAGUUAUUAACCAAGUUUCUCUAUUUGCAGAUAAAGGGAAAAGUAGAAAGGUCAUUGUUAUUACAACAGUAAUUGCGGGCAUAAUAGUUAUUACAAUUUCUGCAGUACUCUUCUUAUGGUGUAGGAUGGCUAAACAUAAAGGUAAUAUAUAUGAAAAAUAUUUAAAUGUAUUUAUAAUUUAUUAAGAAAUUAAAAUUUAGGCUAUGAAUAUAUACACGGAUAUUAAGAUAAAAGGGCCGGGUACAUUCACCAAUAUGGUACUAACUACAUUGAUCUUAUCUCAGGCAGGAAUAAAAAACAAAAACAGGUCAAACACCAAAUUUGUAGGGAAAAUAUAGGAGAAAAUUCAAUUGGAGUUAAACUCCAGCAGCUGCCCAUAUUCAAUUUUGAAGAACUUGCCACCGCGACAAACAACUUCAAUCACGCAGAAAAGCUAGGGCAGGGUGGUUUCGGUCAAGUUUAUAGGGUAAUAAAUAAUGGCGAUUUGCAAAUCCAGUGUCAAUGAAAUGACAUUUUCUUUUUUUCUAUCAAGUCUUCUGAGUUGAACUUUGUGUGCAGGGAAUAUUAGAUGGUGGGAAGGAAAUAGCAGUAAAAAGAUUGUCGAAAUCUUCGGUGCAAGGAUUGGAAGAAUUUAUGAAUGAAAUGGUGGUGAUCUCUAAGCUUCAACAUCGAAAUCUGGUAAGAUUGCUUGGCUGUUGUGUUGAAGGAGAAGAGAAGAUGAUCGCCUACGAAUAUAUGCCCAACAAAAGUUUGGACGCUUUUCUCUUUGGUUAGUAACUUAUUCCAAUCCUUUUUUACCUUUUUUUUUGUGAUUUUUCGCUAUUUUGGACCCUAAACAAGGGACAAAGCUUUCCUAGAAUUAUUUUCUUCAUCCAUAAGACUUGAUCUUAUAUUGUUGCUUAAGGGGAAUUGAAUUCCUUAUCACUCGAUCUAAUAAGCAUUAAUAUUGUUUUCCUUCUCAUUACAACUUAAACUUGGCCUUGACUACCACAUUUACCUAAUCCGAUGAAUCCUACUCAUUUGAUUUGGUAGGUACAAUCCAUAUAGGUUAGAUCUUGGAUAUAAUUUUCUUGAAAAGUUUCAAAAAAUGAAGAAACAUAAUUUCCCAUUGAAAAACCAUUAUGUAAGGAAAAUCUUAUGUAUUUUUAUCGAAAAAUAAACUUCUAAUUUUUUUAAUUUUUUAAAGUUUUUUAACUUUUAAGAAUUAAGACUAAAUUAACAAAAUGUGUAAAGUUAAGGGUUAAAUGUGUUCAAUUUUUUAAAUUUAGGACUAAAUUGAUAGAUUCUAUAAAUAUUGAAGGAUUAAAAUUGUUAUUAUGCCAAAAGGAAAAAGUCACUAUUAGUGAUUUAACACAAGAGUGACCAAAAUAUUAAAUUUCGAUAACAUUAAACAGAAACACACUAAUAGUUGAAUGACUGUCUUUAUAGCUUACCUUUAAAAUUUUAAUAUUUAAAAAUUAAUUAAAUAUUAAAAUCACACAUAUGUCACACUAGAAGUUAGUAAUUAUAAAAUAUAGAAGUAUGAUUCUAAGUUUUUUUUUAAGCAAUAAAAUUGGUCGGCUAGUUGAUUUUGUGCAAACUUGUGUAAGAGGAUAUGAAAAAUAGUUAUGGCUUGGUCCAUGGACAUGUCUGAUGUAAUUAUAUUCUGAGAUUUGAAUGGCAGCAACGUAAUAUUUUGACUCUCUCCAUUGUUCAAUAUUUAUUUCAAUUGAUUGGCAUAACAUCAAUUCUGUCUACAAUCACAAUUAAUACGAUAUGGUAGACAAUACAACAAUGAUUGUAGUUUAGAUCCACUAUUAUAGAAAUUAACUAUAAAUCUUGAGGUCUUAUUGUUUAAGUUUUGUCAUAGAUCCAGCUAAACAAGAUGUUUUGGAUUGGAGAAAACGAUUCAACAUCAUUGAAGGGAUUAGUCGAGGAUUGCUUUAUCUACAUAGAGAUUCAAGACUAAAGAUUAUACAUAGAGAUCUGAAAGCAAGUAAUAUUUUACUCGAUGAAGAAUUAAACCCAAAAAUUUCAGAUUUUGGGAUGGCUAGGAUUUUCGGAGGCAAUCAAAAUCAAGCUAAAACUAAAAGGGUUGUUGGAACUUAGUAAGUUGGAACUUUCUCCUUAUCAUUUAAGUUUAUUCUCUCUCUCUCUCUCUCUCUUUUUUUUUUGGAUAAAAUAUGGUAUAGAUAUAUCUAUUGAUGGAUCAGGUCCGAUGCUUAAAAAGAUUACAUGCCUAGACCUAAACUUAGUUUGGCUUAGUUUGAUCUAUAGACUCAUUUUACCAUUUUUAAAAAUUAAAAUAAUAAAGAAUAUAUUAUUUUAUACUUUUAUUAUUUAAUUUUAAUUUAGACCGACUUAUGAAUAAGUUUAGGCCAGGGUUGUAAUUAAUGUUUUUUAAUGUUAAAAUACAGUGGUUAUAUGUCUCCUGAGUAUGUAAUGCGAGGGCAAUUUUCAGAGAAAUCAGAUGUAUUCAGUUUUGGAGUUCUAUUGCUAGAGAUUGUUAGCGGAAGAAGAAACACAAGCUUUUGCAACGAUCAGUAUGCACUUAGCCUCUUGGGAUAUGUAAGUUUAUAAGAUAAUUAGACAUGUUGGUGGGUUGAAUUAGGGUGUAAAAUACCGUUUUUGCAAGCUAUUCAGGUUCAAAUCAAGAAAACUUGAAUUCUACUAAGUAACUAUUGAGUUGAGCGAUCAUGAGCUGAACUUGAGAAUCUUAAUGCUUGAAUUGGGUAGCUUGCAAGGUGACAUGGAAAGUCCUAAUACUUGAAUUGACUAUAAGCUCUCUUUUUUGCUUUAAAUAUAUAUUCAACAUUUUCAAUUGAAAUUCGAGUUUGACUACAAUAUCGAGUUUAAGUUGAACCUAAGAAUGAAGCUCAAUUUAGACAUAGGUGAACAAGCUUAAGCAAGAAAUUUUGAGCAGUUGGAUCUUUUCAUAUGUUGAAUUGAGCUAAUCAAAAUCUAUUUAGACUUUGUGUUUAUAAUUUUGAGUUGAUUUAGGCUGAAAAGUUUAGGUAUUAAUUUAGACGAAUUUUCUUUUCUAUUCUCAGGCAUGGAAAUUGUGGAGGGAAGGCGAUAUUCGUGGCAUAGUAGACAAAGUGAUUUUAGAGUCAGAAACAUAUUCAAAGAAUGAAAAUGAAAAAGAAAUAUGGAGAUGCAUACAUGUUGGUUUGCUAUGUGUUCAAGAAUUUGCUAAAGAUAGGCCCACUAUGCCUACAGUUGUUUCAAUGCUUAAUAGUGAGAUUUCAGUUCUUAACACUCCAAAACAACCCGCUUUCACUGAAGCACCACUAAUGAGUCAUGAUGUUGAAGAUAGGGUUUCACUUAAUGAUGUAACUCUUACAAACCUUGAUGGCCGAUAAAGAUACAGUUUUAAGUAUUGGAAUUUAUCUUUUAUAUUCAACCUAUUUUUAUCAUUUUAUUUCUAUGAUAAUUGUAAUUUUAUUUGUUCCAUUCUAGUGAAUUUACCAUUAUAUUUGAACAUAGCAGUUUAAUGCCAAAACCGAAAAUUUUUGAUGAAAUUCAAAUUCAAAUUCAAACUCAAUCCAAUUUAAUUUGAACAUAAAAAAAAUUAACAAUUUAAACUUGUUAAAUCCAAACUUAAAAAUAAUUUAAAACUCAAAAUAAUUUAAAAUUAAAAUGAUUCAAACCCAAAUUUGCCUAACCCAAAAAUCUUCCAUUUUUUUUGGUGGAUUCGUUGUUUUGGGUCAAAGCAUCGUUCCAAUAUUGCGGCCAUAAUCUUCCAUGAUAUAGUUAGUGUUAUAAGUCUUCCACUAACUAGUACAGUUCCUCUUAAGUUGGGGAUGAUCUUUCACAGAUCUUUCCCGGCAACUCCCCCGUAUGUCCUCGCGUUUCCGUAAAGAGAUUUUUUUUGAUGUCUUAAAUCAACAAUGUAAUUUUUAAGAAGAAAACAGUGGAAAGCAAAUUAAACUUGCAUUUUGGGUGGAAGAUAAAUGAGUCUUCAAGUCAACCAAAUUAAACGUGCAUGACAAGCUAGAAGUAUUGAUUUCCAUGAUCAAGGUGACAUGCUAGUUGAAUACAAUAUAGGUAGUGAUUAGUGCUUGAAGAAAAUUCAAAUCUUGAUGUAAACAUUUGCAGCUGCCUUGAAAUAUCAUUACAUCAUAUAAAAAAUAUAAGUUAAAAUUAUAAAGAUAUAAAUUAUUAAAAUGGUGAAAUUGCAUUUUAUCUCUCACAAAAAUAUAUAACUUAAUUCUAACGCCUAGAAAAAUUUUCUGAUUUCCCCCAUGAUUAAACUUCUUAUCACUCAGUCCAGCAUGUGUAGCUAAACAAAUAUUCUUAUUUGUAAGAUUCGUAUAAGGAAUAAAUAUCAAAAUUAUGCAUAAAAUUUGAUCUAAUAUGUAAUUUAAUACAUGAACUUUGAUUUGAUGCAAUUAAACACAUCAAAAUUUAGAUAAAUUAAGUUAUUUAUGUAUGUAAUAUAAAAUAAAAAAUUGUGUUAUAUCGAUAAUUAUAUUAAUAACUUAUAAAAUUUAAAUAAAAAAAGUUUUCAUAUAUGAAAUCAUAAAUUUUUAGAUUUAUCCCUAUAGCAAACAACUCCAAGGUGUGGGACAUAUAAGCCAUGCAUGCGUCAUAUCAAACGUACAAAAAAACUUCUACUAAAGAUUGGCAAAUACUAAGGGUGAGUUUAGAUGGGCGGUGCGUUUACCUGCGGCUAGUGUAAAAACAGCGGUGGCGGUGAGAUUAGACACUAUAGCGAUACUGUAGCGUGAGAUAAAAAGUAAACUAAACGCACCGCACCGCACCUAAUUGCCCAUCCAAACCCACCCUAAGUCAAUGUGUCCGUGUGCUGAAAGAAUGUUGAAUUCAAUUAUAAUUCUACAAAUAAUGUACUUGUACGUCCAUAAUAUAAAUAAAUGAACAUGAAAUUACUUUAUCAUGUCAUAUUCCAUGAUUUGCUGACAGGAUCUGUAUCUUCCACCUUCUUUGCUUGGCAAAUUAAGAAAGACCAACUUAAGCUCCAAGCAAGUCUAGUGGGUUCUGUAUAGUAUUCUAAUACUUUAAAUUAUACAUUUAAUUGAUUUUAGUAGUUAAAUUUUAUUAUUAGACUGAUUUUAUGUGUAAGUUGUAACUCUAUUCUUUAGGUUAAUUUCUUUUUAAUCUUUAAAAUUUUUGAAUUUUAAAAUUCAAUCCUAACUCAAACGAUAAUAAUUAAAUUCAUUAAGUAAUAUAAUAUCGUUUUUAUGAGUAUUAUUUGUAAAUAAAAAGUUAAUAUAAUAUCACACAUGAUAAUAUAUUUGUUAUAUAAUAUUUUAAAAAUAAUUAAUCUAACUGCUAUUGUUUGAGUUAUACAUAUAUAAUUUAAAGAAUUUAAUUAUUUUAUAAAUCAAAAUAUAGUCUUAGGUCCAGAAUUCGAGUUUUUGGAUAUCCUAUACCCUGAUUGUAUUUGUGUGAACAUGGUGGCACAUGAGUUGAUUUUUUGGUACUCCAAUGGAAGAAAAAGCCAACAAAAAUAUAGAAAAUUACGAGUAAUUGACACUUCCAGAAAAUUUCCGUAAGUCAAAAUGAGAUUACCUAUAUACGAAGAAAAUUGAGAUGUAGAUCACUAGAUGUAAACAUUUGAGGCUGCCAUGAAACAUCAUUCCACCAUAUCAAAAUCAGACCCUAAAAAAGAGUCAAUUUCUGUAGAAGGUCCCUACCCAAUUUAUAUUUUUUGAAUUUAGUCCUUUCAUAUAAUUAGGUAUUUUUAAUCUCUCGCUUUUUAGAAAUUACAAAUUCAAUUGAAAGAGAUGGACACAAAAAUUGGUUAUACAAAUUAAAAAACUUUUUUACGUCUAUGAGACUUUAUCCAAAAUUUAAUUUAUUAUCAAUAUGCAGUGUAAGAUGUGAUUUAAGUUCAACUUUCUCACCAAAUUGUAACAUCGCUCCUAUAUAUCAAUAUAAGAUCAUUUUCUCCCACUAAGACUUUCCCUUGAAAUCUUAGCAACAAAUGGUUUACAAUAAAUUUACAUUAAGAAUUUCCUAACAAUCAAUAGACAAGUGCUCUCUCAUAAUCUUCUAUAAUGAGACAAACAAGUCUUCUUUAGAUAAGCAUUAAUGCCUAGUAAUUCUUCAAUUGGUGUGAACAUAUAUAUUCCCUUGAAUUGUUCUCGAAUAAAUUUUCAAUAAGGAAUCAAAAUAUGUAAAGAUUUUCGAGGAAUAAACUUCUGUUUCUAUAAAAACUCUCUCUAGCACAAAUAACAUAAAGUCUUUAAAUAGAGCAAUUGCUUGACUGAAUUUCGUCAUGAUCCAUUCCAUUAAAUUGUCGCUUAAAGUCUUCAAUAUGAUGUAAGAAUUAAAUAAAGAUUUUUCAAUAAAAAAUAUGCCAACAUAUUUAUGGUAGGUUGUACAACUUUCCAAUUGCACCUUAUUUUCAAUAUUGACAAUCAACUUUUUUCAUUAAUUCUGUCAAAAUAAUUUAGUAUGAUUAAAUACAUAUUUUGAAAACCAAAGAAAUUGAAAAAAAAAUUGUUGUAGGGACUAAAUCUUCCAAAAAUGUAAAAAUACAGGGACCUUAUAUACUAUUUGACCUUUAUUAAUAUCAUUCAUAAAUCAUAGAAUCACUUCCAAGUCCUGCACAAGUUACACGGUCAUGGGGAAAACUAUUAGCUGCUCUGUUUUAGUAGCUUUAAUAUCUUGAUUUUACUUACAGCUGCAGUUUGGCACUGCUUCACACACUAUAACAGCAUCAAAAUCCAUCAAAGACCCUGAUGUUAUAAUCUCCCAGAAUGGUGUUUUCCGAUUGGGAUUCUUCAGCUUGGCUAACUCCAGCAAUCGUUAUGUAGGGAUAUUGUACCAUCAAAUCCCCCUACAAACUGUUGUAUGGGUGGCAAAUAGAAACAGGCCUCUCAAAGACUUUUCUGGGAUUCUCACCAUAUCAGGUGAUGGCAACCUUGUUGUUUCCAAUGGAAAAGCUGAGAUUCUUUGGUCAACAAAUGUUACGAAUUUGGUUCCUAAUGCAACAACUGCACAGCUUGUAGACUCUGGAAACCUUGUCCUCAAUAACGGUGAGAAUGGAGGAAGCAGCAUCUUAUGGGAGAGUUUUCAACACCCUUCUAAUGUAUUCCUUCAAACUAUGAAGAUCAGCACUGAUGUAAAAACGGGUCGUAAGGUGCAGACGAGAUCAUGGAAAAGCCCUGAUGAUCCAUCUGACGGCAACUUUUUUCAAGGCAUUGAACCUUUCAGCAUCCCGGAGGGUGUCAUUUGGAACAAUAACCAGAUAUAUUUUCGGACCGGCCCAUGGAAUGGUCGUAUCUAUAUUGGUUUAAUAAAUGUUAAUAGAGUUUAUUUUGAUGGGUUUUAUGUGGUUGCAGAUGAUGUAGAAAAAACUUAUUACGAAACUUACGAAUAUUCUACUGACUCUAGGUUGAUAUACUUUGAAUUAGAGUCUGACGGAAGAUACGUUGAACGAAUAUGGGAUGCGGGGAAAGGGGACUGGAUAAACGGGUACUCUAGUUAUCUAACAGAUUGUGAUGUUUAUGGAAAGUGUGGGGCAUUUGGAAUCUGCGAUUCAACGAAACGACCCAUUUGCAGUUGUUUGAAAGGAUUUAAGCCUAGGAAUAUAGAGGAAUGGAGUAGAGGUAAUUGGAGUAGUGGGUGUUUUAGGACUACCCCUUUGCACUGCCAAAGAGAUAACAACAAUGGAAGUGAAGCAGGCCAAGGAGAUGAUGGGUUUUUAAAGCUGAAGAAGAUGAAAGUACCGGUAUUUCCAGACCAGUCAUCAAUAACUAACGGCGAAUGCAAAGAUCAAUGCAUGAAGAAUUGUUCGUGCGUGGCUUAUGCGUAUGAUGCUGGCAUUGGUUGCAUGUUAUGGAGUGGAGAUUUGAUUGAUGUCCAGAAAUUCUCUAAUCGGGGAGUCGAUCUUUACAUUCGUCUGCCGUCUUCGGAACUUGGUAAACUUGUCUUCGAUAUCGACCAUGUGUGUGACGAAUCGCAUCAAUUAAUCUUCACUUUUGGUUUAGAUGUUUUAUUAACCAUGUUUCUGGAUUUGCAGAUAAAAGGAAUAGUGAGAUAAUUGUUAUUACAACAGUAAUUUCAGGCAUGGUCGUGAUUAUAAUAAUUUCUGCACUCUUCUUAUUGCGUAGAAUGGGUCAACAAAGAGGUAAAAUGUCCACCUUUAUUUAUUUAAUCUUUGUAGUCACUUUUUUUAAGAAAUAUGUAAAUUCUUUAACAGUUCUGGAUUUAAAGGUAUUUUUCACUCUAUUUAAAUUCAAGUUUUAGAUAAAAUAAAAUAAAAUUGGAAUAGAAUUGAGUCUAACUCGAAUACGGAGAAAUGCUCUAAACUUGAUUGAGUACUAUUAUAAAAGUUAAAGACCGAAUUCAAGUGAAAUUAAAUUAUUUCAAUUUUGCUCAAUUAAGUUCGUUUAUAUAAGUUACAUAUUCGUAUUUGAUUUUUAUAUAUAUAUUCAAAGUUAAAUUCGCACUCAUUUCAGAUAUAUAUUUAUAUUUAAAUAACGUGGACCAUGUGUUAGAUAAAUUGGGUGAAUUAAUUUGCAAUUCUUUUGGGUCGAAGUUAAUUUCAUAAACCAAGUUUCUGGAUUUGCAGAUAAAGGGAAAAGUAGUAAGGUCGUCUUUGUUAUUACAACAGUAACUGUGGGCAAUUAUGUAGCCUUCAACUCAUUGCUUCUUUGAUUUCCGUCACAGGAAGGAAUAAAAGAUGGACACAUAUCAAAGACAAAUUUCAUGGUGAAAAUAAAGGAGAAAGUUCAAUCGGUGUUAAACUCCAGCAGCUUCCACUAUUCAAUUUCGAAGAACUUGCCACCGCGACCAACAACUUCCAUCCCCUAAAAAGCUAGGGCAGGGUGGUUUUGGUCCGGUUUACAAGGUAAUAUAUAAUAGCAAUUUCCGGUUGUUAGAAUUCAUCAUCACUGGCCCAAAGCCGGAUCGUAAUGAGCUCGUAGGCCAGGCUCGUUAGUCGAGAACUUUGCAAGAAAGCAAGGCAACUUGCGAGGUCACUACAAUCUGACCUAAACCCAUUCGGAUUUUGAGCUGAUGAUGAUAAUUAUCCUAAAACUGGUGAAUCUAGAGUCAAUGAAAUGACAAUUUUUUUUUAAUCAAGUAUUGUAGUCUGAAUUUUGAGUGCAGGGAACAUUAGAUGAUGGAAAGGAAAUAGCAGUGAAGAGAUUGUCGAAAGCGUCGGGGCAAGGUUUGGAAGAAUUUAUGAACGAAGUGGUGGUUAUUUCUAAACUCCAACAUCGAAAUCUGGUUAAAUUGUUUGGGUGUUGUGUUGAAGCAGAAGAGAAGAUGCUCGUCUACGAGUUUAUGCCCAACAAAAGUUUGGAUUCUUUUCUAUUCGGUUAGUAAUUUAUUCAAAUUUUAUAUGAUAUUUUGGGUCUCUAAUCAAAUUCAUAAUUCAGUUCACAAAAAUAAUGUUCUCCCAUAAAUGUUUUUUCCGUUCACAAAAUUUAAAUUUAGGUGUAGUGAUAUUUUGAUUCUCUUCACCGUUUAAUAUUUAUUUCAAUUUAUUGACAUAACUUCAAUUAUGUCUACAAUCAUAAUGAAUACAAUUUGGUAGAAAUACUAUGAUGGUUGUAGUUUAGAUCCUCAAUUAUAGGAAUUCAUUAUUAAUUUAGUAGGUUUUUAUGUUUAAAUUUUGUUAUAGAUCCCGUUAAAAAAAAACUUUUGGAUUGGAGAAAACGCUUUAAUAUUAUUGAAGGGAUCAGUCGAGGAUUGCUUUAUCUUCAUAGAGAUUCAAGAUUGAAAAUUAUACACAGAGACCUAAAAGCAAGUAAUGUUUUACUUGACCAAGAGCUAAACCCAAAAAUUUCAGAUUUUGGGAUAGCCAAGAUCUUCGGAGGUGACGAAAAUCAAGCCAACACUAUAAGGGUUGUUGGAACUUAGUAAGUUGGAACUUCCUUCCUACCAUUUCUUUUUAUGCUCUUUUUAAUAAAAUAUGGUAUAAAUAUAUCUAUGGUCGGAUUUGGUGCUUAAAGAUGAUACAUGUACAUACUUGUAUCGAGUUUAAUUUUGUUCAAUUUGUGGACUCAAUUUAUUGUUUUUAAUUUUACAAAUAAAAUAUUAAAAAUAUAUUUUUAUAGUUAACUUUAAAUUAUUUAUUAUUUAUUCUUAAUUCAGGUUGGCUCGUGGACAAGUUUAAAUAAGAGCUGUAAUUGGUGUUGUUUUUUAUGUUAAAAUACAGUGGUUAUAUGUCUCCUGAGUAUGUAAUGCAUGGGCGAUUUUCAGAGAAAUCUGAUGUGUUCAGCUACGGAGUUCUACUACUGAGAUUGUUAGUGGAAGAAGAAACAAAAGCUUUUACAACUAGGAUGACCUUAGCCUCUUGGGAUAUGUAAGUUUAUAAGAUAGUUAGAGAUGUUGGUGGAUGGAAUUAGGGUGUAAGAUUUUGUAUUUGUGAGCUAUUCGGGUUUGGUUUGAGAAAACUUGAAUUUGGCUUAGUAAUUAUUGAGUCAAGCAAUCAUGCGAAUUGAAUUUGAGAAUCUUAAUACUUGAAUUGAGUAGCUCACAAGUGAAUUUCAAGAACCCUAAUACUUGAAUUGCGUAGCUUGCAAUGCUUUUCAAUCUUAAUCAAUAUUGAAAAUUUUCAGUUCAAACUUGAGCUUAAUUUCAAAUAAUCAAGUUUGAAGUUAUGCAUAGGAGUGAAGCUCGUUGUAGACUUUGGUAAAACAAGCAGAGUUAAAACACUUCAAUUAACUCUAUUAAAGCUUUAAGGGUAAAAAUUUGAGUCAAGUUAAGCCAAAUGAUUUAGGCAUUAAUUUAGAUAAAAUUGUUUACUGUUUCAGGUCUGGAAAUUAUGGAACGAAGGCAACAUUUGGGACUUAGUAGACAAGGUGAUUUCAAAGUCGGAAUCAGAUUUAAAGUAUAAGAAAGAAAUAUGGAGAUGCAUGCAUGUUGGAUUGCUAUGUGUUCAAGAAUAUGCUAAAGAUAGGCCCACUAUGUCUACUAUUGCUUCAAUGCUUAACAGUGAGAUUUCAGAUCUUAACAUUCCAAAACAACUUGCUUUCACUCAAACACUAUUAAUUUGCAAUGAUUUUGAAGAUUGUGUUUCAUUUAAUGAUGUAACUCUGACGGGCUUUGAUGAUCGAUAAAGAUACAAAUUAAUUAUUUGUAGUGUUUACAAUUAAAGGUCAAGUAGUAAAAUGUAUUUUUAUAUUAUGUUUUGAUAUGUUUUUAUCAUUUUAUUUUGAUCAUAAUUUGUCAUUUUAUUUGUUCCAUUCUAUAGUGAAUUUACCUUUAUAUUUAAACACGGUAGCUUUGUCUAGAGGUGAUCAUGGGCAAGGUUGGGUUGGGUUCGGGUCGGGCCUAGAAAAGUUUUUGGCCCGCGUCCUAGGCCCGUGCCCAGUCCGGCUCGAAAUAUGGCCUAAAAUUUUGUCUAGACCUGGCCCGACAAAAAUUCCUAAGCUUGAGCUCGGCCCGGCCCGACCCUUUUUUUUUAGUAAACACCAAAACCGUAUAAAAACCCUACUAAAUAUAAUCAACCAUCCAGAAUAUCCAUACAUUAACCAAUCAACAUAUUUAAUUUUAUAACAAAAUAUAAAUUGUAAGCUAAAUUAAAUUUUCAACAAUUAGAAAUGAAGUAUCCUAAAAAGCAACCGAAGAAACAUCAUCCUCAUCAUCCUCAUCGUCCUUUUUGCAACCAAUUUAUUAUAUUCAGAAAUGUAUUUUAAAAAUAAAAAAUAAAAAAGUAUUUUAAAAAUACUUUAAAAUAAAAAUAUAUAUUAUAUAAAUACUAAAUGUCUAAAUGUCUAAUGGGAAAUGGGAAAAUGAGAAAUGUAUUUUAAAAAUAAAAAUAUAUAUUUAUUAUAUAUUUGGGCCGGGCCGGGCUGGACGUGGGCCAAAAAAGUUUUGCCUGAGGCUCAGCCCGUUUUCUAAACGGGUCUUAUUUUUUGCCCAAACCUAUAUUUCGAGCUUAUAUUUUUGCCCGAACCCUCCCAUAUUUCAGACGGGCCAUCGGGCCGGGCUGGGCCGCUCAACCCAUGAUCACCUCUAGCUUGUCCCAAACUUUAAAACUUGAUUUUAUCAAAUCCAAACUUAAACUUGACCUAACUUGAGUUGAAUAUAAAAGAUCAACAAUUUAAACCCGUGUACCUUAAACUCAAAAAUGAUCUAAAACCUAAAACCUAAAAUGAUUGAAUUUAAAGUGACCAAAUUCAAAAUUUCUUAAAUACAUAACUCGAAAUGUUAUGAACCUAAUAUGACCCAACUUACAAAUCCACUUGAACCCAAAAUAGCUUCAACCUUAAACUAAUUCAAAUUCAAAAUUAUUCAAAAAAAUUUAAAAUUCGAAUUUAGUUCAUUCAAAACCAGUCCAAAAUAGAUUCUGUUAUACUUUAUGUCACAAUUUGUGGUGAUUAUCACUUUUGUUUAUUGAAUUUUGCGGGGUAAAAAAGCUCAUGAAGUUUUUAAAAAAAAUAUUAAGUCAUUUGACAAAAAAUGCAUUCAAUUAUACUUUUAAAUUUGAAAAUUGUAUCAAUUAAGCUCUUUAAUCAAUGAAAUCCAUCCUUGAUCGUUAAUUUUGUUAAAAGUUGCUGAUAUGGUAGUUAAUAAUUGUUAAAUCAUUCAUUUUCUUUCAAGUCAGUCCAAAGUAGUAGAUAAUGUGUCAACGUAAUGACAUGGGAAUUGGAGAAUAAAUUUAAAGAUAUUAUUAAUUAAACUUAAUGAUAGUUGUCAAAGCAUUUGUUUUCUUCCAAGUCGCAAGCACGAGCGAUCGGUACAUCCAAACCUAACCAUAAAGAAAACACCAAAUUUUGAUGGGUAUCAUCCACCAAAAAUAAAAUAUUUACGCUUAAAAUUUAAAUCAAAUUUAAAUAUAGGAAGUAAGGUAAAUCCCAUAGAGAUUGAUCUAAUUGAAUCCGGAUUUUAUUAUAACUAGAAUGUGUCGUAGGCAGUUUUCAUUUCCACAACUCAUGCCAAUAUGUAUGAAACAAAAAGGGGGUUAAAUUGAAAUAUAAAAUAAAUAAUAAGAAAAUAAAUAUAGUACAAAGAUUAAACAUUUCUGUCUUUCAACAUUAGAAAGUUUUCUUAUCUUUUACAAUUAGAUCCCUAACAACUAGAUCUGUUCAUGGGUCGAGCCACCCAGCCUAGCCCGAAAAGUGGGAGGGUUUGGGCAAAAUAUAGGCCCAAAAAAUGGGUUUGGGAAAAAAUAUAAAGCCCAUUUAAAAAAUCGGGUUGGGCUUUGAGUAAAGCAUUUUUUGGCCAUGUCUGGCCCAGCCCGAAUUCACAAAAGGACAAAAAAAUCUACUAAUUUUUGUUGUUUUAAUGUUAUUUUCUUGUUAUUUUCUCCCUAUUUUGCUACCAUUUCACUAUUAUGUUACUACUAUUUUGUUGUUAUUAUUUGGAUAUUGUAUAACACUUGUUUUAUUAUUACUUUUGUUAUUAUUUUAGAGGCAUUUGCUUGUUAAGUUGCAUUUAUCUUAGUAUUAUUUAAGUAUAUAUACAUAUUUUUUUAAGUUUUAGUAUUUUGAUAUAUUAUAUAUUUAAAAAUUAUAUACAAAUAAUAUAAAAAAUUAGUACAGGUGGGUUAGACUCAAGUUUUAGUAAUUUUAUCCGAAUCAGGUCUAGAUAAAAUUUUAGACCCAUUUUUUAGGCCGAGUCCAGGCCUAGCAAACGGGCCUAUUUUUUUUGACUUGACCCAGACUCCUUCCGGCCUAGCCCAUGAGCACCUCUACUACCAACAUAUAUUUACUCAAACUUAUCCAAGCUUGAAUUAAUAUCUCUUAACACAUUUUCUCCAUUUUCACAUUAUAGAUUUAACUAACAUUAAAACAUCCUAACUCAAUUUUGAUAUAGUGGUGAGCAUUUGAUUGAAUCAAGUGAAAAAAAAUUGAGUUUAUGAGUCCUAUUUUAUCAUCCUAACUAAAUUUGAAUUUUUUUUUUUGAAUUGAGUCGAGUGAAAUGAAAUUCGAGUCAAGUCAAAUCGAAUCGAGUGAAAUUGUUCAAGUUAAAUUUUUUAAAAAAUUAAACAUUUCAAAUUAAAAUAUUAUUACAGUAUAACUAAUUCCAUAUUAGGGCACAUACAUUUGAAUUUUUUUCGAAGCAAAAAAAAAGAACUUGAGUAUGAUAAAUUUGAAUCAUUACUUAAGUCUCCAAGAUUAUUGUUUUAGAAAAUUUUUAAAAUAUUAACUCUUUUUAUAUAUUUUUUAGAAUUUUUAUAAUUUUUUAAAAAAUAUAUAAUUUUUGAAAUUUUUAUAAAUAUUUUGAAUUUUAAAAAUUAUUUUGAAUUCUAUUUAUAAUUUUUGUUGAGGGAGAGAGACUAAUUUGCUUAUUUUCAAAGUUGGCAGGAACCAAAAUGAUGUUUAUACCAAUUUGUUAUUUGAAUUAUUCGAGUUAUACGAAUUGUGAAAUUCAACUCGACUUGAACUCGAAAUCCAAAUUGAGUUAUUCGAGUUGACUCGAAUAAUUCAAAUAACUCGAAAUUAAAAAAAUUCGAUGUUUUCCAAUCGAAUCGAAUUUUGGUCACCCUUAAGAGGAUACAAAAAAUAAGUCAUAACUUGAUCCACGAAGAUGUCUAAUGUAACUAUAUUCCAAGAUUUAAAUAGUAGCAGCAAUGUACUAUUUUGGCUCUUUUCAUUGUUGAAUAUUUAUUUCAAUUAAUCGACAUAACAUCAGUUACAUCUACAAUGACUAUGGUAAGGUAGAAAACACAACAAUAAUUGUAGUUUAGAUCCACUAUUAUAGGAAUUACUGUUAAUCUUGGAGGUCUCCAUGUUUAAUGUUUAUAUAAUAUAUCCCGUUGGACCCAGCCAAGCACCCAAAAAGGAAGCAUUCCUCCCCUCGUUUGGGUUUUCUAAUACAUGUUUAAUCACAUUUAAUAGAUAUAAAUUUAAAUAGCGAUAAUCAUUAUAUUAGAUAUUAAUAAAUGAAAAAAAAGGAACAGAUAUUAACCCAUAUACACAUCGAAAACGCUCUUCCAUCAAUGCAUUGAAUUAUAUCGGUCAGUAAAAACAAAAUAAAACUAAUUUACAUGACUACUUAAAUUUUGAUUUGAAGUUAAAUUUGUAAUAUUUCAAAUAAUAGGUUUAAUACAUUAUAAUGUUGUAUUAAUUUUAUAUAUUUAUACAAAUUUAUUUAACAAAUUGAAUUUUAAUUUAAUGGUUGAUUUUGAAGUAAUUUACAUAUAACAUGAUAUUAAACAAAUACAGAUCUUAUAAAAAGAAAAACUAGGGAACUAUUUAAACUUAGAUUGAUUGUGUACUUUAGCCAGGUCUAACUGGACAGGUCUACUUGUAAGAUUGGAAUAGCCAAUGGUUGAUAAACAUUGGGAAAGACAAAAAAGUCUUUGCUCAAUAAUUAUAAUUUUACAAAUAUACAUGCGAGUUGACUCACAGAUCAUUCAUGAAUUUGAUUCCUCAAAAAUCAUUUAUAAAUCAUAGCCUCACCUCCGGGGUCUGCACUUCAAGAACUUCAUGGGUAAAACUAUUAGUAGCUGCCUUUUACCAGCUUUAAUAUCUUGUUUUUACUUGCAGCUGCAGUUUGCCACUGCUUUAGACACAAUAACACCAUCAAAAUCCAUCAAAGACCCUGAUGUUAUAAUCUCCCAGAAUGGUGUUUUCCGAUUGGGAUUCUUCAGCUUGGCUAAUUCCAGCAAUCGUUAUGUAGGGAUUCUCUACAAUCAAAUCCCCGUACAAACUGUUGUGUGGGUGGCAAAUAGAAACAGGCCUCUCGAAGACUCUUCUGGGAUUCUCACCAUAUCAGAUGAUGGCAACCUUGUUGUUUCCAAUGGAAAAGCUGAGAUUCUUUGGUCAACAAAUAUUACGAAUCCGGUUCCUAAUGCAACAAAUGCACAGCUUUUAGACUCUGGAAAUCUUGUCCUCAAUAACGGCGACAAUGGAGGAAGCAGCAGCUUAUGGGAGAGUUUUCAACACCCUUCUAAUGUAUUCCUUCAAACUAUGAAGAUGGGCGUUGAUGGAAAAACGGGUCGUAAGGUGCAUACGAGAUCAUGGAAAGGCCCUGAUGAUCCAUCUGAUGGUAACUUUUCUCAAGGCCUUGAACCUUUCAACAUCCCAGAGGGUGUCAUUUGGAACAAUAACCAGAUAUAUUUUCGGACUGGCCCGUGGAAUGGCCAUACCUAUAUUGGUUUAGUAGAUAUGAAUACCGUUUAUCUUGAUGGGUUUUAUGUGGUUGCAGAUGAUGAAGGAAAAAGUUAUGAAACUUACGAAUAUUCUAAUAAGUCUAUGUUGAUAUACUAUGAAUUAGAUUAUAAAGGAAGAUUCGUUGGACGAAACUGGGAUGCGGGGAAAGGGGACUGGAUAAGCAGUUACCAAAUUCUUCAAAAUGAUUGUGAUUUUUAUGGGAUGUGUGGGGCAUUCGGAAUCUGCUAUCCAAAGAAACAACCCAUUUGCAGUUGCUCAAAGGGAUUUAAGCCUAGGAAUGCAGAGGAAUGGAGUAAAGGUAAUUGGAGUAGUGGGUGUUUUAGGACUACCCCUUUGCAGUGCCAAAGAGAUAACAACAAUGGCAGUGGAGGAGCAGGCCAAAGUGAUGAUUGGUUUUGGAAGCUGAAGACGGUGAAAGCACCGGCUUUUCCGGACCGGUCAUCAAUAAUUAACGGCGAAUGCAAAGAUCAAUGCAUGAAGAAUUGUUCGUGUGUGGCUUAUGCGUAUGAUGCUGGCAUUGGUUGCAUGUUUUGGAGUGGAGAUUUGAUUGAUGUCCAGAAAUUCCCCACUCGCGGAGUCGAUCUUUACAUUCGUCUGUCAUCUUCGGAACUUGGUAACCUUGUCUUCAUGUUGACCAUGUUUGACAAAUUGCGUCAAUUACCCAAGUAUUAUUAACCAAGUGUCUGAAAUUGCAGAUAAAGGCAAAAGUACUAAGGUCAUUGCGAUUACAACAGUAAUUGCGGGCAUAGUCGUUAUUACAAUUUCUGCACUCUUCCUAUGGUGUGGGAUGGCUAAACAAAGAGGUAAAUUGUCGUCUCUAUUUAUUUAAUUUAUGUAGUCACUUUUUCUUUUUAUAAGAAAUAUGUAAUCACUUUAAGAGAACUCUUCGGGUACAUCUGAUAAAUUUGGAACAAUACCUAAAAUCAAUAAAUAAAAAAAUAAUGUAUUUCUACGAAUUCAUGUCUUCUUACUUGACAACAAUAUUGCCAUUGUUAUUACAACAGUAAUUGUUGGCAUAGCAGUAAUUACAAUUAUGUAGCCCUCAACCGAUUGCUUCUUUGAUUUCUAUCUCAGGAACGAAUAAAAGACACAAACAGAUCAAACACAAAUCUUAUAGUGAAAAUGUAGGAGAAAGUUCAAUCGGUGUUAAACUCCAGCAGCUUCCACUAUUCAAUUUCGAAGAACUUGCCACCGCGACCAACAACUUCCAUCCCGAAAAAAGGCUAGGGCAGGGUGGUUUUGGUCCGGUUUACAAGGUAAUAAAUAAUAGCGAUUUCCGGCGAAUUCAGAGUCAAUGCGAAAUGACUUCUUUUUUUUCAAUCAAGUAUUGUGAUCAGAAUUCUGAGUGCAGGGAACAUUAGAUGAUGGAAAAGAAAUAGCAGUGAAGAGAUUGUCAAAAGCUUCGGGGCAAGGAUUGGAAGAAUUUAUGAACGAAGUGGUGGUUAUUUCAAAGCUCCAACAUCGAAAUCUGGUUAGAUUAUUUGGGUGUUGUGUUGAAGCAGAAGAGAAGAUACUCGUCUAUGAGUUCAUGCCCAAUAAAAGUUUGGAUGCUUUUCUAUUUGGUUAGUAACUUAUUAAUUUUUUUAAUGUUUAAUAAUCAUAUUGGACUCCGAUUAAAUUUAAAAUCAAAUCAAGUCGAAUUCCUAAAAAGAUUAAACAAAAUUUAAAAUUAAAACUUUGGUUUAGAGGCAUUUCAAUUCUUACCAUUCAAUUCAUUAGUCAUGGGUAUAUUACCCUGAUUGCCUUAUCUGCCUAAUUUGAUAAGUUUGACUAGAUGUAUUCAAUCCAUGUAAGUUAAAUUUGGGAUAUAAUUUUGACUUUUAAGUGGCCCAAUCCAACUUAAAUCUAAUUAUAUAUUAUAUUUAUUGUUAAAAAUGAAGUGUCUUACAAUAUAUGAAUUGUAUAACCUAGCUAAGCUAGGUACAAUAUAUAAUAUAUAAUAUGUUAUAUAUAUAAGUAAAAGAAAAUGUUUGCAUCACCAUAAACUAUUUUUCUAACUUAUUUUGCUUUUUUGUAUUAUAAAUUUUCUAAUUUUUUAUAUUUAUUCAAAAAAGGAAAUUUCAAAAAGAAAAUAGAAUAACAUUCAAGGUUAUUAACUAAAAUUACUAUAUAUACUCAAUUUUGUGUUGUCUACAUUUUUUUUUCGGAAUUUUCACUUUUUCCUUUGAAUUCUCUUUUUUUUUGUUUUUUAUCUAUUUUAUAAGGAAGAUUAUAUAUUUUUUAAUAGGAGUGGGUCUAUACUCUAGGAUUUUAAAAGUAGUGGCAACAGUAAGUUUUGACUCUCUCUCAUUUUAAUAUUUAUUUCAAUUGAUUCACAUAACUUCAAUUAUGCUACAAUCAUAAUGAAUAUAAUAUGAUAGAAAUAAGAACGUUGGUUUUAGUUUAGAUCCUCAAUUAUAGGAAUUAAUUAUUAAUCUUGGUGGUAAAUUUUGUUAUAGAUCCUGUUAAACAAAGACUCUUGGAUUGGAGAAAACGCUUCAACAUUAUUGAAGGGAUCAGUCGAGGAUUGCUUUAUCUUCAUAGAGAUUCAAGAUUAAGGAUUAUACAUAGAGAUCUAAAAGCAAGUAAUGUUUUACUUGACCAAGAUUUAAAUCCAAAAAUUUCAGAUUUUGGGAUGGCCAGGAUCUUCGGAGGUGAUGAAAAUCAAGCCAAUACUAAAAGGGUUGUUGGAACUUAGUAAGUUGGAACUUUCUCCCUACAAUUUAUUUUUAUUCAUUUUUUGAUAAAAUAUGAUAUAAAUAUGUCUAUGGUCGGAUUCGGUGCUUAAAGAAAAUACAUGUCCAUACCCGUAUCAAGUUUAAUUUUGUUCAAUUUGUGGACUCAAGUUAUUGUUUUUAAUUUUAAAUAAUUUAUUAUUUAUUCUUAAUUCGAGUUGACUCGUGGACAAGUUUAAAUUAGAGUUGUAAUUGGUGUUAUUUUUUUAUGUUAAAAUACAGUGGUUAUAUGUCUCCUGAGUAUGCAAUGCAAGGGCAAUUUUCAGAGAAAUCAGAUGUGUUCAGCUAUGGAGUUCUACUACUAGAGAUUGUUAGUGGAAGAAGAAACACAAGCUUUUACAACAAUAAGGAUGACCUCAGCCUCUUGGGAUAUGUAAGUUCAUAAGGUAGUUAGAGAUAUUGGUGGAUGGAAUUAGGGUGUAAGAUGUUGUAUUUGCGAGUUAUUCGGGUUCGAUUUGAGAAAACUUAAAUUUGGCUCAGCAAUUAUUGAGUCGAGCAAUCAUUUGAGUUGAAUUUGAGAAUCUUAAUGCUUGAAUCGAGUAGCUCGCAAGCUAACUUCAAGAACUCUAAUACUUGAAACGAGUAGCUUGCAAGGCUUUUCAAUCUUAAUCAAUAUUGAAAAUUUUUAGUUCAAACUCGAACUUGAUUACAAAUAAUCAAGUUUAAAGUUAAGCAAAAGAGUGAAGCUCAUUGUAAACUUAGGUAAAACAAGCCUAAGAGAGUUAGAACAUUUCAAUCUUUAUCUUGAAUAGAGCUGAUCAAACUCUAUUUAAACUUAUUAAAAUUUUGAGUCAAGCUAAGCUGAAUAAUUUUGGCAUUAAUUAAGUCAAAAGUUGUUUUUUGUUUUCAGGCAUGGAAAUUAUGGAGGGAAGGCAAUAUUUGGGGCUUAGUAGACAAGGUGAUUUUAGAGUCGAAAUCAUAUUCAAAUGAUGAAAAAGAAAUAUGGAGAUGCAUACAUGUUGGAUUGCUAUGCGUUCAAGAAUAUACUAAAGAUAGGCCCACUAUAUCUACUGUUAUUUCAAUGCUUAAUAGUGAGAUUUCAGAUCUUAACACUCCAAAGCAACCUGCUUUCACUCAAGCACCACUAAUGAGCCACGAUGUUGAAGAUAGAGGUUCACUUAAUGAUGUAACUCUUACAAACCUUGAUGGUCGAUAAAAAUGUAAAUUAAUUAUUUGUAUUGUUUACAAUUAAAGUUCGAGCAUUGAAGUUUAUUAUUAUAUUUUGUUUUGAUGUGUUUUGUCAUUUUAUUUGUUCCAUUCUAAAGGAUCAUUUUACCAAUAAAGGCCCAUUUUCAACUUUAUUUUCGAAAAUGGGCUAAUUUUUUCAUUAUUUACCGGAAAGGGUCAAAAAAUGCAAAAAGCGUCCACGUAGGAGUGUUUUUGGGUGAAAUUUUCGUAAAUCACGUCCCUAGGGGAACGAUUCUGCCAUGUCAGCACAAAACGUGCUAACGUUUACACACUUUGCUAACGUGGCAAAAUUGUUCCCUAGGGACACGUUUUAGCCUAUGUUUUUCUAGGGUUAGGACAUUUUGCAUGUUUAGUCAUUAGGGUUUUUUUGGUUUAGGGAUUUUAGGGUUUAAGGUAGGUUUAGGGAAUAAAUCAAGGUUUAGUGUUUUUUUAAAAAAUUUAAUUAAAUUAGGUUUUAGGUCUCAACACUAUAUUCUAUAUCCACAAAACUAAACUCGAAUUCUUAGUUAAGGAACAUUGAACUCAGGGUGUUGCAAGGAUGCUAACAAAGGUUUCGUUCGCUUGCAGUUCCAACCUGAUUUCUCAUUGAAUAGAACAUCCCUAGUCAUAAAGACUUAAUUGGAUGAAGGAUCCAAGACCCUAUAGUCUUUCUUGAUACUGCUAUAGCCGACUGGAAUGCCAGGUUGAGCCUUCUUGGCCAACUUGUCUCUUUUUACUACUGGAACAUGUGCAUAACAUAUGCAGCCAAGGACCCUCAGGUCAUCCAGUGAUGGUUUGAACCCAAACCAGGCCUCAAAUGGAGUUUUUUGAAUCAAUGUCUUGGUUGGUAGCCUAUUUUGAAGGUAGACAUCAGUGUUAACUACCUCAGCCCAAAGUGUCUUGGGAAAAUUCCUUUCAAACAUUAGACACACCUGGCCAUAUCCAUUAGAGUUUGAUUCUUCCUCUCACUAACACCAUUUUGCAGAGGUGUGUAAGUGUUUGUGAAUUGGUGCUUGAUGCCAGCUUCAUUACAAAAGCCUUAAAACAUUGUUGAAGUGUACUUUGUGCCAUUAUCUGACCUUAAUGUCUUCAGCUUGCACCUUGAUUCUGUUUCUGUUGCAACCUUGAAUUUCCAAAACACUGAGGCUACUCCUGACUUGUGCUUUAAGAAGUAAACCAAGCAAAACCUUGAGUAAUCAUCAAUGAAAAUGAUGAAAUGCUUGCUACCAUUCAAAGACUGUGUCUUCAUAGGGCCACACACAUCUGUGUGGACUAGCUGCAGCUUUUCUAAGGCUCUCCAUGCCUUGUUCAAAUGGAAUGGCUGUCUAGUUUGUUUUCAUAGCUGACACACUCCACAAACAUCCUCAUUUUCAACUAAUUUUGUGAAGUUUUCAAUCGAGUUUCUUUUGGUCAGCUGAACCAUUGACUUGUAGUUGACAUGGCCUAGCCUCUUGUGCCACAGCUUGGAUUCAUCCAAAAUAGCUGUAUAGGCACUAUCUGAACCCUUGUUUCAGUCCACAAUAAAACUUCUGUCAGCCAUGGUCACUAACAUGAGUUUCGAUCCACAUGGAUCACUGAUCAGGCAUUCUUUGCCUUUGAACACUACUAAAUAGCCUUUUUCUAGCAACUGAGCUAUACUGAGCAAAUUUCUGUCAAUUUCAGGCAAAAAAAGACAUUUGAAAUAAGUUUGAUACCUGUGGGGGUGUCAAUCAACACAUCUUAUUUGCCUUCUAAUUUGAUGAAGUGCCUAUUGCCAACUUUCACCCUUGUUUUGAAGCUUCUAUCAAUGUUCUUAAAAAUAGGAGCAUUAGGAGUCAUGUGGUUUGUGCAACCACUAUCUAUCAGCCAUCCUUUUGUGGCUUUUCCUUUGGCAUCUGAGCAAGAGACUAUAAAGACUUGCUCUCCUGGUCACUACCUUCUUCUGCCACUUGAGCUUCAGCUCUUGGCUAUUGAGGUUGGUUUUGUCUCAACUUGCCUUUGUUUUUGCAAACUUUCUCUGCAUGGCACAUCUUUUUGCAGACUUUACACUGUACAUCAGGCUUAAACCAACAAUUUUCUCCUGGAUGACUGAGCCUUUUGCAAUGUGGGCAAGGUGGAUAUCUCCUUCUUGCUCCAUCUUUUCUUGGCUUGUCAGACUAGACCUUUCUCUCGUUGUAGCUAGAGGAGCUCAAGGCAGGUCUGCUCUUGGCUUGAAAGGUAUCUUCUUGAUGCUCCUCUUGUCUGCUAGCUCUUCUUUGCUCCCGAGCAUAAAGAACAAUGAUUAGCUCAGUCAAAGAGAUGCUUGUAAGAUCUUUUGAAGUUUCAAGGGAUGAGAUCUUGGCUUCAUAUCUCUCAGGUAAGGUUGCAAUGACAUUUUCCACUAUUAUUGCUUCACUAAACUAGUCCUCAAGCAAUGUAAUACUGUUUAUAAUAGACAUAAUUUUGUCUGAGUAUUGUUUCACUGUUUCUUCUUCAUUCAUCUUUAAAUUUUCAAAGUCCCUUAUCAAAUUCAAGAGUUGUUGCUGUCUUAUUCUUUCAGCCCCUUGAAACUCUUCUUUCAGCCUAUCCCAGGCCUGCUUUGGUGACUCACAAGCCAUGAUCCUUGUGAAAAUCACAUCAGACACACUAUUUUGGAUGCAAGACAUGGCCUUGUGUCUCUUAGUUCUUUCAUCUAUGUGUUACCUGAUCUGAGCCACUGUGGGAUUGACUCUUAGAGGUGCUGGUUCAACAUUAGAGUUAACAACCUCCCACAAGUUGAAUGCCUGCAUGUAUAUCUUCAAUUUCACUACCCAAAUGUGGCAGUCUUCACCAUUGAACACUGGUGGUGGAGCUGGAGAGAAUCCGGAUGAAGACAUGAUUUUUAGACUUGAAGAAUGACAAGUCCACUAAGAAAUAGGCUCUUGAUACCAAUUGUUGGAAAUAAGAAAACAGAAUGAAAGAUGUCACAUAAGCUUAAGCAUGAAGCAUUGAUGCCUUGCUGAACAAACAAGAAAAUUUAGCUUAAGAACUUGAGUAAAAACUAGAAAUUGAAGAAGAAUUUUUGAAAAAUUUUAUUACGUUGAAUUAAGGCAUAAUGCCAUUACAUAUACCAAGCAUUUUAGCUGGUCAAAAUAAUACAAAGUUACCUAAACAUCUACCUAACUCCACUGAGUAGCAUUGUAACUUGUUAAACAAAACUUGUACACUUGGUAAAACUGAUUUAUCAGCUCAAACAUUACCUAAUUAAAUCAAGUACAAUGACAACUUAGUUCAAAUCAAACUAAGUAAUAAAACGAAUACUUGAAGUAAGCAAAAUGAAUCAGCAGCAUGAGCUUCAACUGUAACUACUUGGCUCGGGCAGCUUCUGUUGCAUCUUGUCUGCAUGCAGGCCAGCUUCAACAGUUUUCAACACCCUUCUAAUGCCUUCAUUAAAAAUGUGGAGAUCAGUACUGAUGUUAAAAAGGGUCGAAAAGUAACCGAGUACUCCAUGAAGAAAUCCUACUUCUAAUCUUAUCGCGAAGGCUAGGAAAAGCUCGCUUUUUGUUUCUGCCUACAAUGCAAGGACGUCCCAAGUACCUUUCUAAAUUAUUUGCAUAAGGGACUCCAAGGAUAUGACCUACAUCCGAUCGAUUACUCUCAUCAACGUUCGCAUUAAAAAAUACAUUGGACUUUGUGAAAUUUACAAGUUGCCCUGAAUAAUUAGCAUAAAACUGUAAAACCUUCAUUAGAUUCGAAGCUCCUAUAGUCUUGGCCUCUCCAAAAAUGAGGCUAUCAUCUGUAAACGAAAGAUGUGUAAUCCAAGGAGCACCCUCGGUAAUCCUCGCACUGACCACCUUCAUGUUAAGAUCCGCCAUACAUAAUAAUACCGAGAGACCUGAUAAGCCAUAAAAGUAACAUAUUUUUAAUCUUACUCUUGAUGCAUUUUUGGAUGAUUUAUUAUGUAAAGUAGUGAAUUUGAUGCUCCUAAUCCUUUAAAUUCAUGUUCAUAUACUUAGGUGAGCAUAGGGGAGUGAAAGGAGUGAAAAAUAAGCUAAAAUCAGAAAAAAAGAGCUGUUUUCAGGAUCCACAUGGCUUGGGCAUUUCCAGAUGAGCUGGGCACACGCUCGUGUGAGACACAUGGGUUGGCCACACGCCUAUGUGCCUGCCCGUGUCAAUUUCGCACCCUGCUUCUCUUUUACAUGGAAAAAUCUAAUUUUUAGGCUUUCUGAACAUUAUAAAGUCUAUAAAUACCAAUUACAAGAAGACAUAAUGGGGCAAUCAGGGAAGAUCGGAGAAAACACUCGAAGAAAGCCAUUGGAAUCAACUCGGAAGCGGAUCUCCCUCAAGAUCGAAGAUCUGCAUUUAAUUUCUUUCGAAGUUUUAUUGAGUUUCUUUAUGUCUUGUGGAUAUCCUAACUUUGAGAUGUUCCUAUUUAGGAUUAUGAACUAAAUUCCCUAGAUACCUAGGGAGGAUGAAACCUAUGAUAAAUCUUAUUAUUUAAUUUUUGUUUUUACGCGAUAAAUAAUUGAUUCUUGUUCUAAAUUAUGUAUGCUUAUUUUGUGUUUUAAUAUUUUUGGGAUAUUAAUUCAUGUUUAAUGUGCUUAUUUCAGUGGAGCAAAAGCCUCUGUUUAAGAGUAGAUCUAGCAUAAUUGAGUGGAGUUGCAUGCAAUCUUAGAAAUAGGAUGACAUAAAUUUAUUGGAUUAGAGUCAAAUCUAAUAGGGGAAUCCAUAGAUCGAGUUAAUGCGACGAUAGGGGUUUUAAUUAGAAAGAUAUUUCAAUUAAUAAACUUAGAGUCAGUUGUUCUUACUCUUGAAAGAGAUAUUAACAUAAUUUAGGGAUUUAUAUGGAUCAAGACACAAGUGAAUAACUUGUUUAAUUCAGAUUCAGAAUAAUAGGUGAAGUCUAGGUGGAUUCUUUCUUGGGUAUUGUCUUUCUCAUUGGUUAUCUUCGAUUAUUUUCCUAUUUCAUUCUCUGUUGCGUUCUUCGUUAAAUUAGAUUAGUAAAUUUAGAUUAAAAACAAUCACUCCAAUUUAUCGGCUAAAUAAUAGAAAAACGAUAAUUACUAGUACUUUUAAUCCUCGUGGAUAUGAUAUUCCCUACUCACCAUAGCUAUACUAUUGUUCGAUAGGUGCGCUUGCCUUUGUCGUAAUUAUAGUUAGUUUAGUGACCAUCAAGACCUUCCCCUUGCCUGAUCCCUCGAGUUAGAAAAAGUUGUUCAUCCACCCCACCAUUCGUCACCACAGAAUAACUGAACAAGGUAACAAAUCGCAUUAUUCGAUCAACCCAAACAUUUGAAAAACUCAUUUUGAGGAGCAUUACCUUAAUAAAUCACCAUUCUACAUGAUCGUAAGCUUUGCUCAUGUCAAGCUUAAGCGCAAACGUCCCAUGCCUACCAAAACGCCUAUUUUUCAGAGUAUGCAGAAUUUCAUAAGCAACCACAAUAUUGUCAGAAAUAAAAUGCCCUGGUACAAUGGCACUCUGAGCUUCAUCUAUACAGAAAUGGAGCACUUCUUGAAACCUAUUAACCAAAGCUUUCGAGGCAAUUUUGUAUAUAACGUUACAAAGACUGAUGGGUGGAAAAUUCAUCAUAUUGCAUGGUUCUUUACUUUAGGUAUCAAUGUUUCAAAUCAUAAAAAAAUAUUUUAUUAAUAAUUUAUCAAAAAUUAAUCAAUUUAAAUAAUUUCAAUAUGAUGUAUUUUUUAUAGCAUAUAUAGGAAGUAACAUGAAAGAAAUAUUUAAUGUCUUAAAAAAAGAAAUAUUUAGUAUUACUUUGUAAGUAAAUAAUUAAAACACACUAAUAAUAAAAAAUAAAAAUCAAAGGAACUAAUAUAAUAAUGUAUAAGGAAAAAUUCUUAAUUUUAAUGAAUGUACAAAUAAAAUAUAGAGGACUAAUUAUGUAAUAUCAAAAAGUGAAAUACCUUAAAAAAUAUAAAUGUGAAGGGAUUUAUGUUGCAUAUAUAUCCUUUUCUAUUUCUUUUAAAUACAAAAAUUUAAAAGUUAGAAUUACAAAAAUACAUCGACUAUAAUGAAGAUAGAAAUUAAGGUUACAAAAUACCUUAAAUAUAACUUGGCUUCUUCUUCUUCUUGGAUUUAAAUAAUGUAAAAAAAAUGUUAGAAAAUUAUAAAUUGGUAACUCCUAUAAAUUUUAAAUAUAAAGUUUUGUAAAAUAUAAAUUAAAAUUUGGGGUUAAAAUUUUUUUUGCUUCACCACUAUUGAGUAUGAUUUAAAUUUUUCCAUUCAUAUUUCUAAAUAUACAUUUACUUCCAUCAACAUUUUUCUUUUUGGCGAGUAAUAAUAUGAGAUAACUAUAUUAAAUUGAAAUGAACAAAAGCAAAGAAGUCUUGUCUAGCGCAAGAAUGUCAAUUAACUCUCUAGGCACAUCUUCAACCACUUGCAUGCUCUCCUUCUCAUCGGAAGACAUUUUGGCUAUAAGAUAAGUGACUUGAUUGCUCUCCUUAGGCACAUGCCUUAUCGCCCAAUGAUCUCUACUCUGUAACACUUGUUGAAUUCGUUAAAGCAAAGUCGAAUUUGAAGACAUAAAGUAACUUUCUUAAAUAGCUUUAACUACCUCCAAACAACCUAUUCGAACCAAAACCUUAUCAUGCUUUUUAACAAGCUAUCUUAUUUUAAUGUUUCAAAAUGUUACAAAUACUUAGAUUAUGUAUUGGAAUAAUAAUAUGUUAAACAGAAUUAGUAUUAUUUUGGAAAGUAAUUUUCUAAUAGUUGUAUGCAGUCAAUAUUAACGAUGUUUCUAAGCUUAAUUUAAACUUAAAAUUUGGAGUAAAAGUGAAAUUUAUAACCUUUUCUCUAAUCUAAUUUAUUUUAGUUAGUAAUUUAUUUAAAUAUGAUUCAAAAUUUACAGAUGCAAUAAUUAUUGUAUGGUUUAAAUGGUGUACCAAUCAGAAGAUUAAAACGCUAUAUGAAUUUACAUAGUUAUUUAAAUAAAUACCACAUGUUUCAUUUGUUCAAGGAAAAUUUUCAAUUUUAAAAAAGAUUAAAUAAAAAAAAUCAUUUUAAGAGGAUUGGAGCUCCAGUCAAUUCUCUCGGCUCCGCCCCUAUGUCUCAAGCUCUAACAAAAUUUGGUACCAUAUAUCCUAGUGCCAAUCACUUGGCCUUAGAAAAUCAUUUGUAAGGCAACAUAUUGAAUCAAAAUAAUUAAAAGUUGGUAUAUUUUCCUACAAAUGAUCAAUAUGCAUGGUGUUACUUUCCUUUUUAGUUUGAGAUCCUUUGGUGUUUAGUUUCAAUUAAAUUUAGAAUUCUUUAUCGGGUUUCAAUUAAAUUUAGGUCUCAACACUAUAUUCUAUAUCCACAAAACUAAACUCGAAAUCUUAGUUAAGGAACAUUGAACUCAGGGUGGUGCCAGGGAUGCUAACAAAGGGUUCGUUCGCCUACUUUUCCCUCCCAAAAAUAUAUAGUGACUUCUAAAAAUAUUGAAAUUUUGAUUUAAUCCUUUAAAAUUAUAAAGAUAUAAGUUAUUAAAAUGGUGAAAUUACAUUUCACCUCUCACAAAAAUAUAUAACUUAAUUCCAAUCCCUAGAAAAAUUUUCUGACUUCCCCUGAUUAAACUUCUUAUCACUCAGUCCAACAUCUGUAGCUAAGCAAAUAUUCUUAUUUGUAAGAUCCGUAUAACAAAGGGAUAAAUAUUAAAACUACACAUAAAAUUUGAUCAAAUGUGCAAUUUGAUACAUGAACUUUGAUUUGAUGCAAUUAUACACAUCAAACUUUGAUUAUGAUUCAAAUGUGUACAUCAAACAUUUAAAGAAAUAAAUACAUUACUUUAUUUUUUGUAUUAGAUAAAUUAAAUUAUUUAUGUGUAUAAUAUAAAAUACAAAAUUAUAUUAUAUCGAUAAUUGCAUUAAUAAUUUAUAAAAUUUAAAUAAAAAAGUUUUCAUAUAUGAAAUCAUAAUUUUUAGAUUUAUCCCUAUAGCAAACAACUCCCAAGUUGUGGGACAUAUAAGCCAUGCAUGCGUCAUAUCAAACGUACAAAAAACUUCUAAAGAUUGGGAAAUACUAAGUCAAUGUGUCUGUGUGCUGAAAGAAUGUUGAAUUCAACUAUAAUUCUACAAAUAAUGCACUUGUAAGUCAAUAAUAUAAAUAAAUGAACAUGAAAUUACUUUAUCAUGUCAUACUCUAUGAUUUUCUGACAGGAACUUUAUCUUCCACCUUCUGUGCUUGGCAAAUUAAGAAAGACCAACUUAAGCUCCAAGCAAGUCUAGUGGGUCCUGAUCUGUAUAGUAUUCUAAUACUUUAAAUUAUACAUUUAAUUGAUUUUAGUAGUUAAAUUUUAUUAUUAGAUUGAUUUUAUGUGUAAGUUGCAACUCUAUUUUUUAGAUUGAUUUUUUUUUAAUCUUGAAAAUUUUUAGAUUUUAAAAUUCAAUCCUAACUCAAACGAAAGUAGUUAAAUUCAUUAAGUAAUAUAAUACCACUUUUGUGAGUAUUAUUUGUAAUUAAAAAGUUAAUAUAAUAAUAUAUUUAUUGUACAAUAUCUUAAAAAUAAUGAAUCUAACUGCUACCAUUUGAGUUACAUAUAAUUUAAAGAAUUUAAUUAUUUUAUAAAUCAAAAUAUAGUAUCGGUGCCCCUAAUCCUAUGAUAAAAAAAUUAUAUUAAAAUGAAGUCUUAGGUCCAGAAUUCAAUGUUUGGGACAUCCUAUACCCUGAUUGUAUUUGUGUGAACAUGGUGGCACAUGAGUUGAUUUUUUGGUACUCCAAUGGAAGAAAGAGCCAACAAAAAUAUAGAAAAUUAAGAGUAAUUGACGCUUCCAGAAGAUUUCCGUAAGUCAAAAUGAGAUUACCUAUGUACAAAGAAAAUUGAGAUGUAGAUCACUGGAUGUAAAUAUUUGAGGCUGUCAUGAAACAUCAUUACACCAUAUCAAAAUCAGACCCUAAGAAAGAGUCAAUUUCUGUAGAAGGUCCCUACCCUAUAUAUAUUUUGUGAAUUUAGUCCUUUCAUAUAAUUCGGUAUUUUUAAUCUCUCCUCUUUCUGGAAAUUACAAAUUCAAUUCAUAGAGAUGGAAACUAAAAUUGGUUAUACAAAUCAAAAAAUCUUUUUACGUCUAUGAGACUUUACCCAAAAUCUAAUUUAUUAUUAAUAUGCAGUGUAAGAUGUGAUUUAAGUUCAACUUUCUCACUAAAUUAUAACGUCGCUCCUAUGUGUUAAUAUAAGAUCAUUUUCCCCACUAAGACUUUCCCAUGAAAUCUUAGCUUCAAACUGAAAAAAAUUCAAUAUUCUACAAUAUUCAUAAAUCAGACAUGCUAGAAGUAUUAAUUUCCAUGAACAGGGUGACAUGCUAGUUGAAUACAAUAUUCUAAUACAAAAUAGGUAGUGAUUAGUGCUUGAAGAAAAUUCAAAUCUUGAUGUAAACAUUUGCAGCUGCCUUGAAAUAUCAUUACAUCAUAUCAAAAUCAGACUGUUUCUUUAACAGAAAAAAAAAUUGAGUUGAGUUAAAUAUCAUUCAUAAAUCAUAGCGUCUCUUCCAAGUUCUGGGAAGAGAUUAUGGGAAAAACUAUUAGCUGCUCUGUUUUACUAGCUUUAAUAUCUUGCUUUUACUUACUAUUUGCCACUGCUUCACACACUAUAACAGCAUCAAAAUCCAUCAAAGACCCUGAUGUUAUAAUCUCCCAGAAUGGUGUUUUCCGAUUGGGAUUCUUUGUUGGAGAAUAAAACGUGAGAGAGAUAAAAUAAUAUGUAAGAAAGUUACUCUCUUAUUAAUGAAUUCUGGAUGAGUAAAAACAAAGAAUAAAUGCCUAUAUUUAUAGGCUUACAUGGAAACUAACUUAACAUAAAAAUAGCUAACAAAUUAUUUGGUCAAGCUAAAAAAUCUGAAACUACCAAGAUAUUACCAAGAUUUUCUAAACAUCCCACUAAUAUGUUAUUUUGAAUUAUUCUCAACACUCCCCCUUAAUUCAAAGUUGCAGACACCAAGUAAACUUCUAAAAUAGCAAAACUUCUCUUUUGAUAAUGCUUUUGUUAACAUAUCUGCCAGCUGCUCUUCAGUGUUGCAAUAUUCCAAAGAUAUCUCAUCUUUUGCUACCAAAUCACGAAUAAAAUGAUAACGAAUAUCUAUGUGCUUUGUUCUACUAUGAAAUGUUGGAUUCUUUGUCAUGGAGAUAGUGGAUUUGUUGUCACAAACUAUGGUAUUUGCACAUUUCUGCUCUUGUUGGAGAUCGGUUAACAUUCUCCUUAGCCAAAUGGCUUGACAAGCUGUUGCAGUUGCUGCUACAUAUUCAGCCUCUGAGGUUGGCAAUGCUGUUGUAGCUUGCUUCUUAGAACUCCAAGUGAUCACCCCAGAACCUAGAGUAAAAACAAAUGCUGAUACACUUCUUCUGUCAUCUAGAGAACUUGCUCAAUCACUAUCUGUGAACCCACAUGAUCUGAAAUAUGAAGUUUUUGAGUACCAAAUGCCAUACUCCAAAGUUCCAGCAAUGUAUCGCAAGACUCGUUUUGCUGCUCCAUAAUGAACCUUUGAAGGUUGCUGCAUAAACCUGGAACAGAAAAUGCAAUAUCGGGUCUAGUGUGAGUCAAAUAGAUUAAACCUCCAACCAUGCUUCUAAACCUCCUUGCAUCUAUCAUUUCUUCUCCAUCCUCUUGCUGCAAUUUUUCAUUGAUAUUCAUGGGUGUAGCUGCAGGCUUGCAAUUAAGCCUACUAAAUUUACUGAGAAGAUCCUUGGCUUAUUUCCUUUGUGAGAUAAAAAUUCCAUCGUUAGCUUGAUGAAUUUCAAGACCGAGGAAAUAAUGCAAUAAACCCAUAUCGGACAUCUCAAAUUCAUUCAUCAUUUGAGACUUAAAUUCAUCAACAAGUAAGUUAGAGAAACUAAUAUAAAUGAUUUCAGCAACCCACAGGUCCCAGGAUCGAAACCUGGUUCUGAUACCAAAUUUGUUAGAGAAUAAAACGUGAGAGAGAUAAAAUAAUAUGUAGAAAAGUUACUCUCUUAUUAAUGAAUUCUAGAUGAGUAAAAACAAAUAAUAAAUGCCUAUAUUUACAGGCUUACAUGGAAAAUAACUUAACAUAAAAAUAGCUAACAAAUUAUUUGGUCAACCUAAAAAAUCUGAAACUACCAAGAUACUACCAAGAUUUUCUAAACAUCCCACUAAUAUGUUAUUUUGAAUUAUUCUCAACAUUCUUCAGCUUGGCUAACUCCAGCAAUCGUUAUGUAGGGAUAUUGUACCAUCAAAUCCCCCUACAAACUGUUGUAGGGUGGCAAAUAGAAACAGGCCUCUCAAAGACUUUUCUGGGAUUCUCACCAUAUCAGAUGAUGGCAACCUUGUUGUUUCCAAUGGAAAAGCUGAGAUUCUUUGGUCAACAAAUGUAACGAAUUUGGUUCCUAAUGCAACAACUGCACAGCUUUUAGACUCCGGAAACCUUGUCCUUAAUAACGGUGAGAAUGGAGGAAGCAGCAUCUUAUGGGAGAGUUUUCAACAUCCUUCUAAUGUAUUCCUUCAAACUAUGAAGAUCAGCACUGAUGUAAAAACGGGUCGUAAGGUGCAGACGAGAUCAGGGAAAAGCCCUGAUGACCCAUCUGAUGGCAACUUUGUUCAAGGCAUUGAACCUUUCAGCAUCCCGGAGGGUGUCAUUUGGAACAAUAACCAGAUAUAUUUUCGGACCGGCCCAUGGAAUGG